rnacentral:lncRNA from 1 species
ACUGCUACUGCGAUAUUGAAACAAGCCAAGAGUUCAUCUAGAUCGUUUGAUGGUGGUAGUAGAUUGCUAGACAGAGAUAAGCUAUUACCAGAUGCAACUGGGAAAGAUAACACAAACAGUGCCAGUGAUCAGACUCAGAUGGAUGAGACAAUUGGUAGACAUGAGGAGAGGGCAAAUGGAUCUUUGGCUGAACAAUCCAGGACAGAGCAUGAAGAUUAUGUUUCUGGAGUGCUGUAUGAUAUGUUACAGAAAGAGGUCGUAUCUUUGAGGAAAGCUUGCCAUGAGAAAGAUCAAACCCUCAAGGACAAGGAUGAUGCAAUUGAGGUUAGCUAGUAGGAUCUAUCUCAUUAAUUUUGCAACCUCGCCCCACUUUUGUUUUGCUCUUAAUUUGUUUCUUGUGUGGAAUCAAGUAGAUGUUGGCGAAGAAGGUGGAUACACUUAACAAAGCAAUGGAGGUUGAGGCCAAAAAGAUGCGGAGAGAAGUAGCUGCCAUGGAAAAAGAAGUCUCUGCUAUGCGUGUCACCAAGGAGCCUGAUCAGAGGGCACGGCGCUCAAGUGCUCCCCGAGGGGUUGUAAAUAGCUCUCAGACACUUUCUUCUAGGUAAAUAGUUGUGUAUAAUCUUUAAUGGCCUAAAACUGAUGCACUAGUUGUGGAACAGGCCGUCAUUCUUGUUCCUGCUAAGUUCUUGAUUAUAUAAAACAAACAAAAAUGCAUGGUGCGAUAUCUUUUUUUUCCCCUUCCUUUUUUGGUCAUCACAUGGUGUGAUAUCAAAUGCUUAAAAUUGAUUGAUAACUUUUGAGCUACUUUGAGUAGAAGACCAUUGAUCAAUCUGAACGAAGUUUUCUUAUUUCUUUCAGGAAUGCACACAAGUCUAGGUGAUUGACAUGGCCGUGACACAAUGGCCACAUCAAGGGCGCCACACCAAUUCUUCGGAUCCGUAAUCAAUAUAAUUGUAUGGUUUUGUCGUGAUUUUUCGCUCGUCCCCAUCUAUUUAAGUUAUCUUGUCCAGGUAGGCAAUUUGUAAAGAACUGACUUAAGGUUUCUCAGGUCACCCUGCCUUGUAUAUUUCUUUUGUACUAAUAUUUCCCGGAAAUAUACCACCGAGGGUGUCAUGAAAGUUAUGAAAGAGAUGUGGCUUGUUAGAUGCUUUUCAAGGAAACUGCAGAUAUGAUAAAACUCUGUAUACCAUAAAUGAAUAUUGGUAAGGAAGUUCACGUUAAAUCAAUACAGCUUUUAGGCUAUAUAGCCUUUUCCAAAAAUGGGUUUACUGGGUUGAUGGCAAAAAAGGUUUUGUGCGGACAAAGGCUAGAGUUUUUUGUUUUUUUGAGGGUAAAAGGGACUUCAUUAAUCACAUCAACAUGACAAAGAUAUGUAGGCAUGGGUAUAGUGGCCUCGUUAAAACCUCCUUAGAGAAAACUCAAUGGGGUAAAACUUCAGGGGAGGAAAAAAAGUGUCACAGAAGACUUAAACAACGACAUUAGAUGCAUGCCAAUCAUCAUAAACAGCAUCCAUGAGCCACAAAGGACCCACAUCCAUCUAGCACGACAAACUUUGUUCGCGGAGACUGAAGCGAGCAAUUCGAUGGGCAGCCUUAUUCGCUUGACGAGGGAUAUAUUUAACAAUAAUAGACACAAAACUGGCCAGAAGGCGACGCACCCCUUCCACCAAACCUCCCUCAGCUACAAGGCAUUCCUCCUCACUAUUAACCAUAAAAACUGCCUGCAAGGAAUCAGAGUCAAUCUCCAGAGGCACCAGAGACGCAUCCAACGCAAAAGAGAUUCCGAUCUUUAGAGCAUACAACUCCGUGGCAAGUACAGAGAUCCUGCUUGGAGCCCGCAUAGCCAGCGCCCCAACCAAAAUCCCUUGAGAGUCACGAACGAUCACACCAGCUCCCUUAGCUCCUGUCUCCAUAUCAGCAGCCCCAUCCACGUUUAGCUUAAACCACAUAUCCCUAGGAGGCUUCCAUUUAACAUCACGAACCGGCGAGGAUAAACUCCAUGAUUGGCAACAGAAGACCGUUUAAAUUCAUCAUCACAGUCCUUUGCUCGUUGAACCAAAGUUCCGGGAGGGGUGGGUUGAGAGCCGAGCAGCACCCCAUUUCUUUCAUUCCACAACACCUACAUAGUGAACGCAAAAAGGGACUGCUUAUCAGGGGGAAUAAGAGUCUAUGCUGCAUCCACCCAGUUGCCAGCAUCAGAUAAAUUAAGAGGAAGAAAAUCGCUGGGAAAAUCUAAAGCCUCCCACACCUGCAAACAAACGACAUAGCCCACCAACGCAUGCAGCGUGGUUUCUCUCGCAGCAAGACAGCGGCAGCAGACAUCCUCCUGUGUAAUCCCGCACCGAAACAGUACCUCCUUGGAAGGGAGGAUGUUUUGAGCCACCCGCCAUAAUAGGUGGAGGAUUUUCUGUGGCACUUUCAAUUUCCAUAAGUGCUUCCAGCUCUUCAAAGAGGGAGAGCAAGGACCAGCGCCACUCCCAGUUGACUUCUCCUCUAGCCGCUUAUACUCCAGUGCUACCCAGUACCCACUCUUAACCGAAUAUCUCCCAUUUUUGGUAAUGUUCCAUAUUUUGCGAUCCAAGUAUCACUCAUCAAGGGAAUAGAGAGGAUAGCUUCAGCUUCUAGAAACGAGAAAGUUUCAUAGACCUUCCCCACAUCCCACCAGCCACUCACUGUCAUAAGAUCACAAACACGAGAGGUAGGAAGAAGAAUAGGAAUAGAUUGGAUAGUGAAAACUAUGUCAUAAGGCACCCACGGGUCACUAUAAAUAUGAACCAAGCAGCCAUCGCCAAUGCGCCACUGAAGGCCCAAACGGAGCAAAUCCCGCCCCUACAGUAAAGAUUGCCAAGUAAACGACGGAAGCGACCCACUCGAAGCAGCAAGAAAAUCAGAGUUUGGAAAAUAGCGCGCCUUUAGCAUACGUGCAAUCAGUGAAUUUGAGAAUUCCAACAACCGACAUCCUUGUUUACAUAGAAGUGCUUGAUUAAAAUUUGUCAAUUCUCUAAACCCAAGCCCCCCUUCAGAUUUGUGUUGGCAUAUGAACUUCCACGUUUUCCAAUGAAUACCUCUACCAUCGCUUUUAGACCACCAAAAUUGGGCUAGGAUGCUUUCGAUCUCACGGCAUAAUCCGAUGGGCAGACAGAACACACUCAUGGAAUAUGACGGAAUUGCCUGACAUACUGCUUUAAUGAGCACUUCUUUCCCAGCCUUGGAUAGGAGCUUGCCUUGCCACCCAUUCACUUUAUUCCAAACUCGAUCUUUAACAGUACGAAACAGUUUCUUCUUAUCCUUUCUGAUGAUGGUAGGGAGGCCCAGGUACCGCUCGUGGCAAGGGGCAUGUUCAGGAGCUGACAAAUAUCUUCCUGCAACGCCCUCGGGGUAGAAGGGCUAAAACAAAUAGCAAAAUUUUCAAGAUUGACCUUUUGUCCAGAAGCUGCCUUAUACACUCCAAAAUAUACGUGUCAACUCUAGAGCCUCAGCUGUCCCACCGUUACAAAACAGAAGGCUGUCAUAAGCAAAAAAUAGAUGGUUAAUAGCAGGAGCAGAAGGGGCAAUGGAGACACCCUGCAGUGUAGAGUCCUUCUCUGCCUGCUGAAGUAGAGCGGAGAAGGCUUCAGCCAUAAUAAGGAAAAGAUACGGUGGUAUUGGAUCCCCUUGCCGUAACCCUUGAGAGGGGAUAAUAUGCCCAAAAGGCCAUCCCUGAAUUAAUAACGAAUAAGAGACAAUAGUCACACAGCCCAUAAUCAAUUGAAUAAACCGAAGUGGGAAGCCUAUAGUCCGCAACAUCUUCUCCAGGAAGUGCCAUUCAACUCGGUCGUAUGCUUUGUGUAACAACCCAAAACAAAAUAUCUAAAAAGAAAGAAAAUAUCGAAAAAGUAAAGAAAAUAUCUUUUAGCGAAAAGACAAUUUUGCCCUUGCAUUAUUUAAUGGGGGAAAUUUGACUUUUAAUCGAGAAAUAAUUUGGGAAUUUCGCUUGCUCCGUUGCGUAGAGCACGGCGAAAGGAGUCCGUAAACACGGAGUGGGCCCGAAUCGGAGUUGUAACGAAAGAGUUAUGGUCGAAAGAGUCUCAGUGGCAUAACCGUAAAUAUUUUGAAGUUGGAUCUAUAAAAAACCCAGCAGCUCUCUCUUCUCGCGCAGAAAACGACCGCCGCCUUCCAGAGCUCGCUGGCGCCGCCUCCGAGCACCCCUGGCCACGGGACCGGUGGCGUUGGAACCGCCAUCGAGUCCCCUACCUUUUCCACCUACCUCCACCCUUGGACCGCCCGGAGCUGAUCGGAAAACCAUGUUUUCCGACGGAUGUUCGUCCGAUUCCACCCGAACUUGCAGCUCGAUUUUCUCCUUCAAUUCUCCACCAAAUCGAUCGAGUAAGGUAUGGUUUCUCAGUUAUUUUUCACGUUCUAGCUGAUGGAUGUAUGGGUUUCGAUCGAUUUUAGCUCUAAAGCGAUCAAUUUUCGACUUGAAUUCUGGGGCCCCGGAUACUCCGAAAUUGCGAACCCUGGGGCUAGGGUUUGGAUUUUAAGCGAUAAUGCGAUUUUGGCUAAUCCGACCGUCCGUUUCGGACCAAAUUUGCGGAACAUGGUUCCUUCUCUAUGAGGAACCUUUAGAAAAGCCCAGAUUGGCCAUCGGAGGCCGUGGACCCGCGGGGUCUCGGGUCGGCCGAUUGGGCAGCUUAUCGCUUAGUGGGGCUUCGGGUCUCUUACGACCAUUCUAACUAUCUAAAAAGCUAAGGUGGGCAUAUGAGUAACUUGAAACGAGUAUACGUAUUUCUAGGAGCCGGGGGGCAGGGUGUUUAGUUGAAAUUCUUUUUAUUCAGCAGUUUAUUAAUUUAAUCUUUAUGGGUAAUCAGGCACCAGGAGCCCGACAGGAUCGCAGAAGAGACCUUCAAGAGGUCCAAUUAGCUCGGACCAUCUGUGAGUGGACUUUCUUUCAUGAAGUAUUUUAUAUAAAUGAGUUAUAUAGAGGAUUCUAUAAAUAAGAUUUCAUAAAUGAUUUUAUAUUGAUUUUAUAUAAAUAAGUUUUUAUAAAUAAGUUUAUUUGAAUAAAUUUCUCUAUUUGGUCUUGAGUAAGCUUUAUUGUGGUUCCGAACAUGAUUAGUACAGUAACCGUUCUAUAAGUCUGUGCUGCUUACUUAUCAGUUAUAGAAACAGAAUUUGAGGUUAGAAUCAGUUGAGAUCGCAGCACAACUUGAGCUUUACAGUUAUUACUCAGAUAUUUUUUUCUAAAGGAAUUUAUUUUAAAACCACCUCGUACCCAUUUUCUUUGGUGAUUACCCACAGUUGGACCGAUGUCUACGGACAUCUAGUCCGAUUUCAGUUUAUGUCAGUGCACUUGACUUUGCCUCACGAGUUUCGGGGACGCUCGGACCGUGAGUGCCAGGAUUUGCGGCUCGGCAGACUUGGUGUCCCGAGACCUGCCAGGAUUGCGGCUCGGCUGACUCUGUGUCCCCGAGACCUGCCAGGAUUGCGGAUCAGGCUGACUACGGUCCCCUGCAUCCUGCCAGAGUGACUCGAGCUGACUUGGUGUCAUCGAGGAAUCUGCCGGCGGAUCAGGCUGAUUAUAGUCCCCUGAUUUCGCCAGUUUGCGGCUCGGGUAGACUGCGUGGCGCCCGAGACCUGCCAGGGGAAUUGACGGACAUGACAGGGGUACAAAUAGGUGGUAUUUUCAAAGGAUUUUGAGUUUUCUUUAUUUAAUUAUGAUUUUGAAUUAUUUUAUAUCAGCUGCUCUGAUUUUUCAAGCAUUGAUACCUCUAUAUAUUUGUUCAGUUAUGCAAGGUUUGAAUACAGAACUUUUAUACAAGUUUGAUUUCAGUGUUUUAUGCAAGCUUUGAUUUCAGUGCUUUUGUGCAAAACUUUUCGAGCUUGAAUAUGAUUUAUAUAGAAUGUCUUGAGUUUAGUAUGCGUUAACUGAAGAGUACGUAUUCAGUUUUAUUUAACUAUUUUUACAAUGGGGGUUAUUAUGGUUAUAAAGUUGUUUCUAAGAACCUUAUUUUUGUCCACUCACAUUUUUCAACCUGUUUUUCGCCCCCAGGCUGUAGAAGUGCACGGGAUCCACCACCGGGCCAUUCAAAGUUUUCGCGUCACCACGUAAGGUAGAGUUUCGUAGAAAGUCCUUGAAACUUUGAAAAAUUUAGAAAAUGCUCUGAUAUCUAGUAUUAGUGGAAAAGUGGAGUUGAGAUCUAUUACUUGAGAUAUUCUGGCAGUUGGUGUGAAUUUAUUGAUUGUUUAACAGGUGAAAAAUUUUGGGAUUGGUCAAAAUACAGGGGAGACUCUGCCGAAUUUUCGGCAGAAGUCGAAGGAAAAUUUUAAGGAGAAUUUGUUACGAGAAGGGUAAAAGGGUCUUUUGUGCCCGACAUUCGCCAGGUGUCGGACACGCACAGGACUUGGCUCGAAUUUCAAAGCGAAAAUUGGGUUGGGUCCUGUCACUUUGGCCAUAUCUGACUUCAUAACUAAUUUCCUUUUACCUAUUUUUCCCCUUCUCUUCAGACAUCGUACAGUUUCAAAAGCCGCUAGGACAUUGUCCAAAAUCAUACGGUUUGGGAUAAACGCACUCUAGAACUCAGAAAUAACCUCAGGCAGCACCUUCUUUAGUCUGUUGGCAAGAGUUUUAGAGAUCAUUUUGUUGAAGACAUUGCAUAAACUGCUAGGGCGAUAUUCAGAAACGCGAGUGGGAGAACAAACUUUUGGAAUCAAAGUCACCAGGGUAUGGUUAAACUCGUUGACGCCAUCGCUGCCAUUUAAAACUCUCAAACACAAAUCACUAACAUGCUGACCCACAAUGUCCCAAUAUCGUUGGUAGAAGAGGGCGGACAUACCAUCUGGGCUCGGAGCUUUCGAUGGGCCAAUGGAUUUAAGAGCUAUUUCUAUUUCAGCUUUAGAGUACGGGAGAAGCAGAUUUUGAUAAGACCGUGAUGACACUCGCGCUUGGACAACAUUAAAAAUCUCCGCAUCAGCAGCUCUAGCAUCUGACUUAAAAAGGCUGGUAAAAAACUCCACAAAAACUCCCCCUAUUUGAUCAUAGUCCCGUUGCCAUCGAUUAUGAACAUCUAAAAUCCCAACAAGAGCAUUUGUCUUCCUGCGACUUGUGGCUUGCUUAUGAAAAAAUGAUGUCUUACGGUCUCCAUAACGAAGCCAAUUGACCCGCGAUCUCUGUUGCCAGUAGAUUUCUUCCUGUUCAAGACACUUAUCAAGCUCAGUUUCAACCAGGUUACGGGUAUGAAAAGUCUGUGACGACGGCUCUUCCAACUGGAGAUUUGCUAGCCUACCACAUAGUUCUUUAACUUUUUUGGGGACCUGGCCAAACUUCCUAGCACUCCAACACAUCAAGUUGCUUGCACAAUUUGCUAAAUUAUAAAUGGGUGACACUACAGUCUGCCAAGAUUGACGAACCACCUCACUACAGUUAGCCUCAGUAGUCCAUGCCUCCUCAAACUAAAAACGACGGCGACCUCUAAGAAGUCUAUCAUUGGCACCAUGUGGACUGUCAGAUGCAAUAAGAAUCGGAUGGUGGUCAGAGGAGGCAGCAACUAAAUGAUGGGACGUGAAGUUGCCCCAGCGUUGCAGAAGUGCUAGAUUUCCAAAACCUCUAUCCAAUUGACCCUCCACAUUAGCAAAGUCCUUUCUUUUAUUGCUCCACGUAAAUGGGUAACUGUAAACUCAAGCUGAAACAAACAACAGUUUGCAAUGGCCUGUUUAAAAUCCUCUAUUUGCGCAGUACCUCUCAAUCGGCUCCUACUCUUCUCAUGACAUUCCAUGACCUCGUUGAAGUCCCCACAGCACAGCCAGGGCCCAUUACCCACCUACCCAAACGCCUCAGCAACUCUCUUGAAUGAUGGCGCUGGGUUUGGUCAGGAUGACCAUAGAAAUCAGUCACUCUGAGAGACUCUGAAGUGGCUACAGUAACCCGUACAUCUAUAUGUCCCGGAGAGGAAGAGAGUAGAUCAAUUUGUAGCCCCGAUCGCCAGAGUAGACCUAACCCUCCUGAAAAGCCAACACGAGGGACACAAACCACCCCACCAACACCUAACCUUGUAUGUAACUUUCCCAUCUGUACUGCAAUCAUAAGCAUUUCAAUUAAGAAAAACACAUCUGGCCUCUUAUCCUGAAGAAAGCUCUUUAGGUCACGGAACGUUCGUCAGUUGCCAAGCCCCCGAACGUUCCAACUGAAAACUAACAUUGAGCCCAGGGAGACCCUUCAAGGCUGGUCUCCUCCGCUUGUUCAGUAGUUACAUUAACAUAUAGACGCCGUUUUUCGGGGGCACCAAACCCUCCCUGCUAGCUAGCCUCCGCGUUCGGGUGAGCUACCAGAUGCUUUCUUUUAAGGGAAGGCGCAGAGACACCCUGCAUACCGGUUCCAGUCGGGUCAACCACUCGCAGAGACAAAGGCUAGAGUUAACUCAUGCUUUCCUUUUGUCCCCCCGUCUCUUGAUAUAAUUUCCUAGAGAUAAGUUGGCUCACAAGGAUUUGCUAUUCAACUCUUAUAUGAAAUAUUCUUCCUCAUCGUUCAAAGAAUAUACCGUCAUCGAAAAAAAAAUUUAAAGUCUUUUAUUUGAAUUGAUAUGAUAGAACCAAUAUUGUUCCCAACUUAACAAUUUAUGUCUAGUAUUGUGGGAGCAAAUUUUCCCAUGAGAAUAUUCGCCCAAGAUUCCUUUGUCUUCUCUGCCUCUCUUUCUCCUUGUAAAACAGAUCGGAGUAAAUGGACCACACCCGGGGGGGUGUUGGCCAAUGGCCCUCCGAUGCCUAAGUUAGGUAGGGUAAUUCAAGGAAAACCGGGUGGCCGAAGCUGUGUGUGGUGGCCGGAGCCUUGUGUGAGAGAGAGAAAGAGAGGAGGUGGCUAGGGUUUUUGAGAAAUAAUUUAUGCAGAGUUUUAGUAGGAAUUUAGGCGUACCUCAACCUUUAUGUGUGGCCAUCCUUUUAUAGUGGUUUCAGAGGCUAGGGUUUCAGAGGAAUAAUUCUGUAGAUGGAAAGGAAUUAUUCCUCCCCGAUUUGGAAUUGAUUUGAUUAAUUAGGGAUUUGAUUCAUUAGGGUAAAUCAAAUCCCUAAUUGGGGUAGGUAUCAAAUCAAUUCCUAACUUAAAUAGGUAACUCCUCAUUUAAUUGGGAAUUGGGGUAGGAAUAAAAUUAAUUCUCGACCCGAUUAGGUAAUAUUCUAUUUAAUUGGGUAAUCUCCAAUUAAAUUGAAUAAUUCCCAAUUAGGUCGAAUAAUUCCAAAUCGGGAAGGAAUUAUUUAACCUAGUAAUUAGGUUCCCACAAGUAUUGUGAGUAGAAUUAUACUCAAUGUACUCAUUUAGGUUGUCCAGGUAUUGGUCUGGGGAAAUUGGCUCGGGUUGGAGGUUGAUAGGGUGGUGGGUUGUUAGGGAGAGAGAGAGGAGAGAAGGGUGCUAGAGAUUAGUGCAUGUGGUAGAUUGUGAUCUUAUAAUAUUACAUAAACACCAUUGGCUUAUGCAUACUGCUUGAUUUGUAAAUUAUAAACAAUUUUCAUUUUUUUGAUAAUGUCCUCAUAUGAAUUUCGUAGGAUUUGAGAGUUAAUAUAUAUAUAUAUAUAUAUAAGGAUUUUUUGUUUCUUAUCUAUGACAAGUUAUUUACACUAUUACCCUCUGAGGUUUCUUGUGUUUUCACAAAACCCCUUCAGCUCUCAAAAAUUACAUGAACACCCCAUGAGGUUUCAAUUUAUUUUCACAAAACCCUUUUCGUUGAUUGUUUGUCCAAAAAUUGAUGAUUUUAUUGAAUUUUUUUUUAUACAAAUGACAAAAUUAACCUCAGAGCAUUCACAAUCAUGUUCUCUAUUUUUUUAGUUAAAUUUUAGCUAAAAACACAUAAAAGUUAUUUUUGGAGCUCUCUAUAAAAUUUAAACUUCAAUCAUGCUCUCUAGUUUAGGGAGUCAUAAAUGUUAUAACUCUUUUUUAAUUGGUCCAUCUCUAUUAAAAAAUAAUAAUAAAAAUAGUUAGCAUUGAUUAAAGGUUUGAAAUACUCAUUAAAUAAAGCAUCAUUAAAUUAUAGGGAGCCAUUAGGAGUCAUUUCUCUCUCCUUAGAUUUAGGAGCUCCUAGAGGUCUCCUUAUUUUAUAAGGUGGAUAGAGAGCAUGGUUGGAGUUGUAUUUUUCCAAUUCCUCCCUAAAAUUUGUCUAAGGAUGUGGUUUAGGGAGCUCAUUGUGGAUGCUCUCAAUGAAGUACAUGCAAUCUAAUCUCAAAGGACAAUUGUCAUUUGGAGAAUUUUUUUGGUAUAAAAUCAUCAAUUUUUAGAUGAAAAAUAAAUGAAAAUGAACUUUGUGAAAACAAUUUAAAUCAGGGGGUGUUUGUGUCAUUUUUAAAACCUUAAGGAGUUUUGUGAAAAAGACAAAAAUCUCAAGGGGUGUUAGUAUAAAUAACUCUUCUAUAACUGCCUCUAAUAGUUUAUUUGAAAAAUAUGUGACGCAAGUAUUCUUUUGGAUAUUAUUUGUCUAACUUGUACUCCAUAUUUGUGGUCUUAAAUAUCCCAUUGACUGAAAUUGCUACUUUAAACUUCAAAGUAAUUAUCUGGCUUAAGUGUUGAUGGGGUUGGACUAUUUACCCCACAACUCAACUUGACUUUGAAGUCUUUGCAUGCAUGAUCAUAACAAUGUCGUUGUGUGUAUUUUACCUUUAUCAGAGAUUUGUAAGUCGUUUAAUCGAAGUUCACACAAUUUGUGUAGGUAGGGACCGGAUUAUGGAAAUUUUUCGUUCUUGGUAGAGUGUCCGUGACGCAUAAUUUUGAACAAUUCGAAGUGUACACAUUCUCAACCAUCUGAAUUCUCAUUUGCUCCUAUAUAUAGGGCAUCUUUGUACUCUUCAAUCUUGCAGACUCAUAUCUUUAGUCCUGCAGAUCAUCCCAUUGCAUAAGAAUCAUGGGUCACACCAGUGCUAGUGCUUCCAUCCAACUUGUUUCACUAAUUAUACUAUCAGGAUUUUUAUCCUUUGGAACCAUUAAACUCGGUUUCUGCAGUGAUGAUCAUAAUGUGGGAUGCAUAGAUAUAGAGAGGAAAGCACUUCUCAAGCUCAAACAGAUCCCUGGGACUGGCUUUCGUCUUGGGUGGGAGAAGAUUGCUGCAAAUGGAGUGGUGUAGGCUGCAACAACAUAACUGGAAGUGUCAACAGGCUCGAUCUUCACAAUCGCUAUUCAGAUGGGUUGGAUUAUUCCGGAGCAAAAGUGUCUGCAUUUGGAUUUGGUGGUGAGAUCAAUCCUUCUUUGCUUGUUUUGAAAGAUUUGGUUUACUUGGAUUUGAGCAUGAAUAACUUUGAAUGUGUCCAACUUCCAAGUUUCAUUGGAUCACUAGAAAAACUGAAAUACCUCAAUCUCUCUCGUACAUCUUUUGUUGGAGUCAUUCCCCCCAAUCUUGGAAACCUCUCAAGGUUGCUUUAUCUUGAUCUUAGCAAUUUCCUUGAUAAUAACCCAAGUGAGACUGACUUUCAGUGGCUUGCAACUCUUUCUUCCUUAAAGUACCUUAACUUGGAAGGAGUGAACCUUGCCAAGGCGACAUCCUAUUUGCUUCCCACUAUUAAUAUGCUCCAUUCACUUGUUGAAUUGCAUUUGCGCUCUUGUGGACUUUCCAUCCUUCCUCUCACUCUUCCUUCUAUCAAUUUCACAUCCCUUUUGGUUCUUGAUCUCUCAAACAACAGUUUCAACUCCAUGAUACCUCCUUGGUUGACCAAUCUCAGUGAACUAGAGAUGUUGGAUUUGUCAGGUAACAGGCUGACAGGAAAACUGCCUGAUUCUUUGGGAUAUCUUAAAAGCUUGAGAUACCUGAACUUGUCAACUAACUCAUUUCAGGGUUCAAUCCCAAAAUCAAUUGGAAAUUUAACAUCUUUGGAGGAGUUUGACCUUCGAUGGAAUCUAAUGAGUGGGAUCAUCCCAGAAAGUCUUUGGGAGCUCUCAUCGCUGGUUUCACUUCGUCUCUCUGAAAACACAUGGGAAGGUGCCAUUACAGAAGCUCAUUUUGCGAAACUUGGAGGCCUGAGAGAAGUAUCAAUUGCAAAUAAUUCCCCAAACAUUUCCUUGGUUUUCAACAUAAGUUAUGAUUGGAUACCUCCUUUCCAAUUAAGAUACUUCAUCAUUACAUCAUGCCAACUGGGUCCCAAAUUUCCUACAUGGCUUAGAUAUCAGACUGAGUUGACCACGGUGAUACUCCGUAAUGCUAGGAUUUCAGACACCAUACCAGAUUGGUUUUGGCAGUUGGAUUUGCAAUUAGAUUAUCUAAAUGUCGCUUUUAAUCAACUAAGCGGCAGGAUGCCCAAUUCAUUAAGAUUCAGAGUUGAUAUCAUUGUUGAUUUGACUUCAAACCGCUUUGAGGGCCCACUCCCACUCUGGUCCUCAAACAUUAUCGAGCUAUUUCUUAGAGACAAUCUAUUUUCAGGGCCAAUUCCUCAUAACAUUAGUCAAGUGAUGCCCAAUUUGACACAUCUAGACAUUUCUGGGAACUCUUUGAGUGGAAGCAUUCCCUUGUCCCUUGGUAAUUUAAGCCAUUUUGAAUUCAUGAUUAUCUCAAAUAACAACUUGUCUGGUGAGAUUCCUCAUUUUUGGAACAAUAUACCAUCAUUGUAUUUUGUAGACAUGUCAAACAACAGUCUCUCUGGUACAAUCCCAAGAUCCUUAGGCUCUCUUACUUCACUCAACUUCUUGAUCCUCUCUAGCAACAACUUUUCAGGUGAAGUUCCUUCCUUGAAAAACUGCACUGACAUGAGGAUUCUUGAUCUUGGUGAUAACAAGUUUUCUGGACCAAUUCCGGCUUCCAUAGGAGAAAGCAUGCUCUCUUUAUUGAUUUUAAGCGUGAGGUCCAACUCAUUUACUGGAAGCAUCCCUUUACAAUUAUGUGGCCUUUCCACUCUCCAUAUAUUGGACCUCUCAUACAACAAUCUUUCUGAAAAUGUUCCCCACUGGAAGCAUAGGUAAUUUGAGUGGCUUUAAUUCUGAGGUCACAGACAAAGAUACAGAAACUUAUGGUCAAUGGAGAAGAUUGGAGGUGGUGUUGAAAGGAUGAGUGCUUGUAUAUGACUCCAUCCUUUACCUUGUUAAUAGCGUUGAUCUCUCGGACAAUAACUUGUCAGGAGAGAUGCCUGUGGGAAUAACAAGCCUAAUAAAGUUGGGCACCUUAAAAUUUGUCCUUGAAUCAUUUGACAGGAAAUAUUCCAGCAAAUAUCGGAAACUUGAGGUCGAUAGAAACUCUUGAUCUAUCAAUGAACAAACUUUCAGGUUCAAUUCCACAGAACAUGGUUUCUUUAACAUUUUUGAAUCAUCUGAACCUGUCAAACAAUAACUUGUCCGGGAAAAUUCCAACGGGUAACCAGUUUAAGACCUUUGUUGACCCGUCAAUUUAUGAGGGCAAUGAUGGUCUUAGCGGGUGUCCAUUACCAACUGGUUGCCAUGAUAAUGAAGAAGCACCUCAAGUUCCAAGUGGAGAUGGAGGAGAGGAUGAUGACAGCAAACUUGAAAAGCUAUAGUUCGUCAUCAGCAUGGUGAUAGGUUUCUGUGCAGGGUUUUGGGGAGUUUUUGGAACUUGGCCAUGAAGAGAUCUUGGAGAUAUGCCUAUUUUCACUUCCUUGACAAAGUGAAACAUGUUGUCCUUGAUUUUGUCUCAGCCAUUGGUUCUUAUCUGCAGAAAAGAUCAUAGAACAAGCUGCGAAUGUGAAGGCACUUAUGUAUGCAAGCAAAUAAAGCAAUGUUUAGUAUUGUCCUUUACAAAUUUGUAAGUUGGUUGUAAUAUGCAUUUAUACUUGUAUGUGUUGUGCUAGAAGCACCAAGCCGUAUGGAAAUAAUUGCUUCAAUACAUUUCGAAAUCGAGAAAUUUUUACUAGAGCAGGUGCUGCUAAUUAACCCAAGGAUUAACAGAAAAUAAAUGUAAAAACAAGAAAAUAAAAGAUUUUACGAAGUUUCUCAUAACAAGUAUAACUGAGGUAUGUCCUAGAGCAGCACAUCAACUAUCAACAAAUUGGGAUGUUUACAAAGUGUUUGGCAACCUCACAACCCAAAGCGCCAAAUACACCCAAUAACACUCACCGCAGAAAAACAAAUAGGGGAGGAAAUUAUGAACCUUAACUAAUGCUCUCUGGGCCCGAGUGCUAAAAGGACCUUCAUGGGUUUGGACAAGUCUUCUGGAAGGAAAAAGGGCAGUCAUUGAUAGAGGUCGAACACAAAUCCUAAAUGGUGAGAAUACUUGUAUCUGGUCUGACAGCUGGUUCCCCCCUCCACAUGAUGGUCGCAUUACUCCGAUCAACCCUGUCCCCCCUUCUGCACCCUAGCAUGUAAAUUGUUGGCGUGUGCGUGAGUUCAGGAAAUUGAUUUCCUAAUUAGUGUAGUUGACUAAUUCUUGUACAAUUAGGACUUUGUUUCCUAGUUUAUUUUAUUUCCUUGUUAAACCUGUAAAACCCUAUGUAAACAUAUAAAUAGCUCAUUAUGGAGAUGAAUAGAAAGUAUCAGUUUUGCCUAAACAUAUAUUUCUACUUGGUAUCAGAGCCACCGAUCUAGUGGUUUCUUGUUUAUCCCAAACCCUCUAAUUGAAUUCAAACCUAUAUUGAGUUCAUAAGUUUUUCUUCCAUCCUCCACAUAUAUUGGGUUCAUACUUCCACACCAUCAAUUCCCGCUGCGAUGACAACACCCGAGGCUUCCCUUGUUCUCCCGGAUAGUUCUUCGACCUCCGCUGCACAACCUCCAACUUCGUCGGUUCCACAGAUUGUCACCAUCCAGAAUGAUAAUUCUGCGUUGCCUACAGGAGUUAUUCUCAAUGAGACCAAUUAUGCUCUUUGGUCUCAACUCAUGGAAAUUCGAAUUGCUACCCGUGGAAAGUUGGGCUAUCUUACUGGCUCUAUUUGUGUGCCAGCCGAAUCUGCUCCUACUUUUGAUGCUUGGACCACUGAAAAUCUACAAGUUAAAGGUUGGUUAAUUGAUUCUAUGUCCCCUGAGUUGAUGGGCCGCUUUAUUCAUCUUCGCACUGCCAAGGAGAUUUGGGCUGCUGUCAAGAAAAUUUUCUAUAAUGGAUCCGACGAAUCUCAAGUUUACUAAUUGAACAGGAAGGCAUUCACCCUCAAACAGAAUGGCUAACCUGUUUCCAAAUAUUAUAGCAUGCUUCAGUGUCUUUUCAGGAACUGGAUCAUCGCGACCCCCCAUUUAUGGUGUGCAUUGCUGACACUGAUACAUACCAAAAAAAACUCGACCGUCUUCGAGUUCAUAUUUUUCUUUCUGGAUUGGAUCCCGAAUUUGAUCAAGUCCGUAGUGAAAUCCUCCGCAAGGAACCUAAAUUGGAUCUCAACCAAAGUUUUGCUUAUGUUCGCCGUGAUGCACAACAACGCGCCAAUUUUACUGGUGCUGCCGCCUCUCUUGAUGCUACUGUCAUGGUGGCUCAACGUUCCAAAGGACCACCUUCAUCUCAUGGGAGUUCAUCGACCCAGGGGGUGAAGGACAAACCAGUUUUCAAGUGCACUCAUUGUGGUGGUUCAAAGCACACUCGUGAACAUUGUUAUGAAUUAGUUGGCUUUCCAUCUUGGUGGGAUCAUUCUAAGAAUAAAAGAAAUGGUCAUAAGGCACUCCAAGCCUCUGCUACUCCAGAGACCCCCCUGUAAGUGGCAACAAAUCAAAUGAACAUACUUCUGCAUCUACGUCCAUGGCUACAUCAGGUACAACUGGUUAUGCAUUGAAUGUUUCUUCCACCUUAUCCACCAGUCAUGUCUGGAUUAUUGAUUCAGGCGCCUCUGAUCAUAUGACAUGUGAUUCAAAUAAAAUCACAUCUUUGUCUCCAUCUUCACAGUCGGUAGUAUCCAAUGCAAAUGGUAGUUCCUCUCCUGUUGUUGGAGAGGGUUCUUUAUCCCUUACAGAUUCGUUACACCUGGAUUCAAUACUUGUUGUGCCGUCAUUGGAUUUUAAUUUGCUAUCUAUUGCGCAAAUUACUCAUGCUCUUUCUUGUACUGUAACAUUUUGGCCAAAUUGUUGUAUUUUUCAGGACAUCCUCACAAGGAAGAUAAUUGGUUAUGGUACUAGAAAAGGCAAGCUGUAUUUUCUGGAUUUGGCAACAAGUGGUGAGACUCGAAUUUCUCAAGCCUUCAAGACUAGUGGAGAUUCGACUGAGAAAAAUCAGAAUUUUAUUUGGUUGUGGCAUAGACGGUUGGGUCAUGCCUUCUUUGGAUAUCUUAAAAAGUUGUUUCCUUCAUGGUUUAGUAAACUUUUAGAUUUUAAUUUUAAGUGUGAUGUUUAUGAACUGGCAAAAAGCCAUCGAGUUUCCUUCCCUUUGAGUAUGAAUAAAAGUACGGUGCUUUUUGCAAUUGUUCAUUCUGAUGUUUGGGGUCCUGCUCCAAUUUCUACUUCUUCUGGUGCUCGUUGGUUUGUUACCUUUACUGAUGAUUGCACACAUAUGACUUGGAUUUCUCUCUUCAAAACCAAGGGGGAGGUGUGUACCACAUUUCAACAGUUUUACAAGAUGGUAGACACUCAGUUUCAUGCACAAAUUAAGAUCCUUCGUUCUGAUAAUGGGGGUGAAUUUGUGAAUCAUGAUCUUUGUCAGUUUUUAGAAGCUCAUGGAAUUGAACAUCAACGAACAUGUCCAUAUACUCCUCAGCAAAAUGGGGUAGCAUAGUGAAAAAAUCGUCAUUUGUUAGAAGUGGUUCGAGCUUCAUUGUUUGAUGCUCAAAUGCUUCUUCUUUUUAGGGAGAAGCAGUGUGUUCUGCUGCGUAUCUUAUUAAUCGGGUUCCCUCCAGUAUCUUGAACUUCCAAACACCAUUACAAGCCCUUCGUCAGUUUUGUGCCCUUCAUUCCACUCCCAAUUUGGAGCCACGAGUUUUUGGAUGUGUAACUUUCGUUCAUCUUUAUACACAUCAGCGCAACAAGUUGGAGCUUUGAGCACUCAAGUGCGUGUUUAUUGGCUAUGCCCAACAUAAAAAAGGGUAUCGCUGCUAUCAUCCCCCUACUCAGAAGCUCUACAUCACUAUGGAUGUGGUUUUUCGAGAAGAAGAAAUGUAUUUUUCUGGGGGAGUUCAGGCACAGGCGAGUCCAGAUACUGUUGAUGAUCAGUUCGACCUAGAAGGAUUCGUUACUUUGGAGUCGUUAUGUCAUCCGACAGUUCAGGAUGCACUAACCAACUCGUCAGAUACCACUCUAGAAACUACGCAUGACAGUCUUGAUGACCGGUCACGGUUGGUCUCCUCACCCACAACUCAGUCACCCGGUCAGGGGGAGAAGAAUGAUGUACUGAUGCCCGUUUAUGAAGUUUUUGUACCAUUUAACCAAUUAUCUUUUGAGGUGUCUUCUGAACCUACAACCCAGGUAAUGUCCUAGAACAUUGAUGUUGAAGAUUUAUAUUUAACUGAUUUGUUUUCAGACGAUCCAUCUAAUGAGAUACAUCUACAACCAUACCAAUUACUUGUUCGUAAGAAUCGUGGUAACCCAAAGAUUCAAUAUGAAGCGGAUCCCAAAGCUAAAGUGAAAUACCCGAUUAGCAACCAUGUUUCCACUCAUAGAUUGUCCGCACCACAUGCCAUGUUGAUAAAACAACUAGAUUCUUUGUCUACACCAAGCAGUGUACAAGAGGCUUUGAUGGAUUCAAACUGGAAACAAGCAAUGAAUGAUGAGAUGCAAGCUCUUCAAAAGAAUUCCACAUGGAAACUUGUUCCUCUCCCAAGUGGCAAACGAACUGUGGGUUGUAGAUGGAUUUAUACCAUUAAGUUGAAGGCAGAUGGAUCGAUCGAACGGUACAAAGCUCGAUUGGUGGCAAAAGGGUAUACUCAGAGAUAUGGAGUGGAUUAUCAGGAGACGUUUGCUCCAGUAGCAAAAAUCAAUACUGUACGAAUCCUGAUAUCACUUGCUGCAAACUUGGAUUGGCCAUUACACCAAUUCGAUGUCAAAAAUGCUUUUUUACAUGGUGAUUUAGAAGAAGAAGUUUAUAUGGAUCCUCCGCCUGGAUGUAACUUGAGUUCCGAAUCGAAACACUAUGUGUGCAAAUUAAAGAAGUCUUUGUAUGGUUUGAAACAGUCACCUCGAGCAUGGUUUGGGCGGUUGACAAAGUCUAUGAGGGCAUUUGGAUAUAAACAAAGUAAUUUUGAUCAUACUUUGUUCUUGAAGCAUAAGGAAAAUAAAAUUAUAGCUUUGAUAGUAUAUGUUGAUGAUAUGAUCGUAACAGGUGAUGAUCCUGAUGAAAGAAAAGCAUUGCAAGAGUCCUUAUCUAAGGAGUUUGAGAUGAAAGAUCUUGGUACACUUAAGUAUUUUCUCGGGAUAGAAGUAUCUAGAUCACAGCAAGGUAUCUUCUUGUCUUAACGAAAAUAUGUUAUGGAUUUAUUAACUGAAACGGGGAUGCUGUGGUGUAAACCAGCUAAUACGCCUAUGGAGGAAAAUCACAAGCUUGGUGAGUGUACUGAUCAUAAACCAACUAACAAGGAGCAAUACCAGAGCCUAGUUGGGAGGUUAAUUUAUUUGUCACAUACGAGACCGGACAUUGCAUAUGCUGUGAGUGUUGUAAGCCAGUUUAUGCACUCUCCAAGUAAAGUUCAUAGAGAUGCAGUGAAUUGCAUCUUGAGAUAUUUGAAAUCAACUCCUGGUAAAGGGUUAAUGUAUUCAAAGCAAGGACAUCUGGAUGUAAUUGGGUAUACAGAUGCAGAUUGGGUUGGGUCCCAAACAGACAGAUGAUCCACUUCAGGUUACUUUACUUUUGUAGGAGGUAACCUUGUUACUUGGCGUAGUAAGAAACAAAAUGUUGCAAGAUCAAGUGCGGAGGCAGAAUAUAGAGGUAUGGCACAUGGUGUUUGUGAGUUGUUAUGGAUUAAGCAUGUUCUAACGGAGUUAGGUUUAAAGCCUAAAAAACCCAUGGAAUUAUAUUGCGAUAAUAUUGCGGCCAUUAAUAUUGCUCAUAAUCCAGUUCAACAUGAUCGAACUAAACAUGUUGAAGUGGAUAUGCAUUUCAUCAAAGAAAGAUUAGAAGACGAGACGCUUCAGUUCCCGUUUGUAAAGUCAGAAGAUCAGUUGGCAGAUAUCUUGACGAAAGCAGUUUCAAGCCGAGUAUUUCAGGACACGCUGAGCAAGUUGGACCUUGGUGACAUUUAUGCUCCAACUUGAGGGGGAGUGUUGGCGUGUGCGUGAGUUCAGGAAAGUGAUUUCCUAAUUACUGUAGUUGACUAAUUCUUGUACAAUUAGGACUUUGUUUCCUAGUUUAUUUUAUUUCCUUGUUAAACCUGUAAAACCCUAUGUAAACAUAUAAAUAGCUCAUUAUGGAGAUGAAUAGAAAGUAUCAGUUUUACCUAAACAUAUAUUUCUACUAAUGAGCUUUUUCAUGUCCGUGGGAGAUAUUGGAGAUUGCAUGAAGUCGAGAAUUUUAUUGAUAAGGAAGCUAUGGAGCUGAUUUCCCGUAUUAAAAGAUGGUGGCCAGAUAUAACCGGCCUGGGAUCCUUCUGUGGUGGUGCUGCUAUUCCUACCACCACAGUUACGGCUCUUAUUGCAGAAUCUGAGGCGGCUAUUCAGGGUCUACUGCUUGCUAGUGUUACGAACAAGAAAAAAGUCAUUAUGGAGUCGGAAUGUAGCACUUUCAUUGAUAGCAUUAACAACUCCAAAUGCAGAGAUUGGACUAUUCUCAGGAUGGAGUCCAACUUUGAGUCAGUUGAGUGGUUUUGGUCCCCUCGGAAUUUGAACAUGAAGUGGCAAGGAUUGGUUUAGGUGCGGUGGAUCUGCAAAGAUGGGCUGAUAGGCCACCUCCGUCCCUGGUUCGUGUUCUGGUUUCAGAUGGUCUCUCUUGUCCCCCGUAAGGGACCUGGGUGGUUUGUGAGCAUCGCUGACAAUGGUCGUGGGGUAUGCUACAUCUUCUAUGCCUUUUAGUCAAAAGCUUCAAAAAUCCUUUUUAGUAUAUAUUAAAGUAAGAACACAGUGUCAUGAUUUCUUAUAAGGCUUGUCAAGAUAUUCUAAAGUUCACAUGUAGUUUGAUGUGCCUUUAUACCCUAUCAUGCCUUUCAUACUUACAUUUCUCAUAUGUAUAGUCAAUAUGUCUAGAGUCUGUAAAUUGUUCAUUAAACAUUGUUAAGCAUGCUACGUAAAUUCUGUAACGCAGUAAACAUUUUGGAGCAGAUAAUGAAAUACCUACCAAAAACAAGCAAGAGGUGGAAUACCACAAAGAGAAAGUGUACCUAAUAAAAAAGCAGUGGGAACAGUGAAGAUUCAUGUGGUCUUUCUGUCUAGGUGCCGGUAGUCCAUGUCUUCACAGACAUGUCUAUUUCACCGAGCCCCUCCGGUUUAGGUGGACAACCCGGCAAAUAGACAUCAACAGGAAUUAGCUUAUCAAUUAUGGGAGCAUAUAUAAAAGAAAAUCUGAAUUUUUUUCUUCUCAUAUUGCAUUGAUAGUAACCUUGAAUUUGCAACCAACCAUUAGAAAUUUUUCUGAAUACUCUUCUCAAGAAUAUGUACACUAACUUUCAAUAUAUGUUGCCACUAUCUUUACCUAUUUUUCUUUUUUUCUUGUUCAUUGCUGAUUCCGACUGAUAUGCACCCACCCAGCAACCAAGAAAUAAUCUGCUCUGGAGGCUCUGUUGACGGUAUUAUUUCAUAAACUGUCAUUCUCAUUUCUAAUGUUUGUGUAGAGGUAGAAUGCAAUCCACUUCACAUUGCAUAGGGUUAGUUACUUUUUUCAUUAAAACCAGAAAGAUAAUAUUAUAUCAAAAAAUUAGGUUAUAAAGCUGCUCUAAAUAAGUCAAAUAUCACUACUACAAAAAUUGACAUAGACGACGGGAAUUCACUGUCGUCUAGAAGGUUUUUAAACUGUCGUGAAAUCGACCGCCAUAUUUUGAUACAUAAAACAAUGACGGAAAAAAACCACUGUCUUUAAGACAUACAACGUCAUACCAAAAUAAAAACCGCUGUCUAAUUACUUUAUAAACAGCAAAAAAGGAAAACUUCGACAACCUUAGACGACGGUUUUAGUAAAAUAGGGAAGUUUAAAGCGUAUUACAUGUCAAGAACUACAUACACGCUGACAUAAAAAAAGUUAUCCACGUCGCUAUUUGAAAAAAAUACCGUUGUGGUUUAUAUGUACUACUAAAUAAAAAAAUUGACAUCUAAAAUCUAUGAAAAAAGCAACCAAAAAAAAAAAAAAAGACGAUCUUAGACGAUGCUUACAGAAAAGAACAGACGUCUAAAGGGCAUUACAUGUCAAGAAUCAUAUCGUAGCCGACAUAAAAUGUAUUAACCACGACACAUAUGUAGAACGACCGAUGCUUAUAAAAUAUUCCACGUCGCCAACCAAGAAAAAACCGCCUUGUUAAAAUUUUUCCAUGGCUGUUUCUUGCGAGAACCAAUGUUUAAAUGAUGAAAAAAAGCCACUUGGACAGUGUACGACACUUUUUUUAUUUAUUAAAACACUGACGUCUGAAUAAUUUAACAUGUCACAAUUUUAUUACACACCGACGUAACAAACCCUAACCAAGCCCCAAUUGUUUACCCACAGUCGUUAAAAAUGAUUUUCACAGCAUGAACAGGAAAUAAAACGCUGUUGAUUAGAGUUUGAAUGGUGGUUAAUGUAAAUUAAAGGUCGUAGUGAAUCUUUUCACUACGUACCUAGAAUACAAUUUGUCGACGUUGUUAAUUUAGUUACCACGUCGGUUUUUGUAUAGGACUGGAUGUGGUUUCCCUCUCAAAGUAGCUUUUAUAACCCUAAUUGACGUGUGUAUUCUCUAAGACGUCAAAUGUUUUAGCCUAACCGACGUGCAGAAUAGCUGUUACAACAGUUAAUGGCACUGAGUUGCCUUUAUUGCCCUCUUUAGACGACGUAAUUUUUAUCGGUGGAAGUAGUAUUUUCCUAAAAUUCGUCUGUUGGAGUACUGUUCCGUCAUGUUAUUCUUAAAUCUAUGACGUGCAUUAUUUUCAUGACCGUCGUUGUUGUUAAUAUCUAUUUGCCGCGUGUAAUUUAAUUUUAAUUAAUCGACGUGUUUUCUUUUUCAAAUGGCGAUUUUUAUUUCUUUACAGUCUUUUGCAUUGUCAUUCCACGUCGUUUGUAAAAGAUACGAAACCCAGUAUUUUUAAUUUUGGAUUUGUCGUGCCCAAAUCUUGCAUAAUGAAAAUGAUCAGAAUAAUGUCAAACAUUGAAAUUUAUUGCAAAACUAAUGUCAUACAAAUAACUGCAUAACUAAUGUCAUACAUUACAACAAUCAAUCAAUCCAUAUAUCUUCACACCCAUCUCUAAUAUUUUCACUCCCAAACUCACCCACUAGGUCAUCAAAUGUGUCAACAUUUGGUAUCCCUCUAGUAAAUGGCUCACACUUACUUUUAAUAUCACCUAGCACAUCAUCACCAAUAACAUCAUUAUAUUGUCUAUUAGGCAUUGAUAACACUACCGACAAACCACGAUGCAUUGGGUCGUCAACAAAAAAUACUUGUUUGACUUGAGAAGCCAUAACAAAUUGGUCAUUCCUAUGUCCAAUUUUACUUAGAUCCAAGUUCUUCAAUUACAAGGCCCGAAGUGUUAUCUAUCCAAUCACACCUAAAGACUAGGAUUCUCAACUUUUGGCAGUCAAUGUCCCAAAUUUCUUGAAAGACACCAUAAAAACCCAUAUUGGAGACAAUAGGGUUUUUAUCCUUGGCAUUAGCAACUUGCAUAGUAUGUGCAAGUAAAUAAACUCCACUGUUUUGGAUAGUUCACACAUCAUCUUGUGCCUUUUUUUUUUUUUUUUUUUUUUAAAUUUAACACCAUUAAUAAGAAAGUUCCUAUAUGAUGGCACUGCCAUGCUUGGACCAGCUGCUAGCCACCUCAAAUUUUCUAAUACGCCAUUAUUCUCUUCCCCAUUAAGUUCACUUUGAACAAGCAAAUUAAUUAUAUAUCUUAAUUCAAUCUAACAUAGAAAGAAGAAAAUUAAAAGUUCAAUAUGUUAUUCUCACUACUACAAAAAGUGAAAAAGACGACUAGAAAACAACGACGGUAGAACAAAAAACAGUCGUUGUGUUUGAAAAGACGACGGUAAUAUAAAAUCAUCGUGGAUGAAUAACUUAAACAACUAAAAAAUAGAGAUUCCCAUGAAUGUUUUUAAAAUACGACACACCAAAUUAAACAAGUGUCGUCUUAUUGAUAAGGUUUUGCUUCAGCGUAAAACUCUGAGCCUAAAAACAACGACUGUAGUUAUGAAUCCACUGACGUAGAAAGUAAAGACGACGCUUUUCAACAACAGCCACUGUGUCUACUCAUAAAUAAACAUGACCAUAUUUUCUUAGUCAACAUCGUAUAAUUUCAAAGGAAUCCAUGUCGGUAUAUUACAAAACAUCGCCGUAUUAAGUCCAUGUACCACGACGGUAAAGUUGAAUUUAUCGACAUUUUAUUCAAAGGAUACUUCGACGGUAUCUAUUACUCUACUGUCCGGGGAAGAUGUACUAACCACAUCAGUUUUUCAAUAAACGACGUAUAAUAUCAUUUACCACGUUGUGAACUUAAAUAUACUGUCGUAUUUAUUACCUUUAUACGUGUGAAAUCUUACCAUUGGGAAUUCUAUUCCUCAUCAUAAUCAAUUCACAAAUGUGAGAGAAAGGCAAUAUUUUAGACGUUGAUGAUGUAUGUAUCUUUGUGUCUUUGAGAUACACAAAGGCACAUACACAUCAAAAUCCAAAAAAUUUUCCUCUAAAAUUUGAUGACGGCAGCCACACAUCAACAUCCAAAACAUUUGGUUUCAAAAAGAUAAUUUUUUAGAAGUUGAUGAUGCAUGCGUAUUUGUGUCUUUCAGAUAAACAAACACGCACACACAUCAACAUCCAAACCAUUGCCUCCAGAGAGGUGAGACAGAGCUAAGGGCAAGAAGAAGUUGGAACCCUAAUUGAAAACUGAAACUGAAAGAAUGCAUGAAAAAAACCCUAUUUAUAAAAAUAAUCUUCAACAUCCACGUCGGUUCUAUUACAUGUACCGACGUCUAAUCCACGUCAGUGCGUAAUACAUUGGGGUUGUCUAAAAAAAAACCAUGUCAGUUUAGUAAACUAAACUCAUCGACUUUAAGACAAACAAAGUCGGUUAUUCAUAAAACGAUGACGUGGUAACUUAUAAUAUCACUUCUUCAAAAAUAAACUUUUGACGUGUAGUGCCUAGAGAACCACGUCGAUUUCGGAAUACAAAAAGUCAACUGGCUUAUUACUAACCACUUCGGUUUCUACUAUUAUAACGUCGUGGUAAGUUCAUACUAGGGCGGUUUUAGUCAGAACCGUCCUCGCAUUGAUCUUUGGGAUAAUAUAUAAACUUUUUAGUCACCUGACCUAAACUUUUACGUUCUCUCUAAAAUUUUCAGUUUUCUCUCAGUUUCCCACUCAUUUCCCAAAAGCUGCUUGUCUGAUUCUCUUCAUCUUCCUCGUAUUUAGUCUCCAAAACUCCAAAGUUUAAUUCCGAAGAAAACUUUCCUUGCAAGCCAAAGGUAUUUUCUCACUUUUUUUUUUCAAUAUCAUUUGAAUUUUUUUUUUUUAAAGAAUGAGUCUCACUGAGGUUUGAAACAAGACUCAGGUUUGAAAAGGACGAAAUCUUUCACUGGUCCCACUCUCAGGUCGUGUGAGGACGACGAGUUUGUCUUGUAUUUGACGUUUUUAUUCACACACCACGACGGUAAUUAAAUUUGUGCUAUUUCAAUAGCACGGCUGUUCUUAAUAACCAACGUGAUGUGAGAAUAAAUACGACGUUUUAAAGAUAAAAUCGUCAUCUUAUUUGAAACGAACGUGGGAGAGAGAAAUCUGAGCCCUUUUUUUUUUCCUGUAUGAACUCAUAAUAAGACGAUGGUUUUAUAUACUUCGCAUCGUUUUAAUUAUCUUACCAUGACUUAUUUGCACAUCCACGUUUCUAUAGGUUAGCACAACUGUUUUAUUUUUUUGCCAACGUCUAAACUUUAAUAUUACGUCAGUUUUUUUACUUGACAGUCAUCGUUUUUCUUGUAGUUUGUAUUUCCCUCUAAACAUGGUUUUGAAAUCUCAAAGUAAGGAGGCUCAAGUGUGAAAAGCUUAAAGCAAGGACCACAUGAGUGAAGCCAAAUAUGUUUAAAGCAAUCCCGCAAAGAAGAUGAGAUUUAUUGCAACAUCCGAGAAAGACCCAAGCUCUGUGACAUUUGAUGAGGAGACAAAAUCGACUCGCGGUAUCAACACAAUGAGCUGUGUUGUGAAGAGGAAAAUCCAGAAGAUUAAGCAUAUGGUUGAGUACAAUAAAAGUGGCAGACCACAUGGCAAGGCUGCUAUUGAGAUGCAGAGUUACAUUAGUGUUUUGACACGCACCAGAGUCCCUCUUGUGGACAAGAAAUGGACUUAAUUGCCUAAGGACCUGAAGGAGCAGGUUUGGGAAACUGUUCAAAUGGCUUAUGUUGUUGGGGAAGGGGGCAAGAAGAUGGUGCUGUUGUCUACAACCAAAAAAGGAAGGAUUUCAAGUCUACCUUAACUAGGCAAUUUAUCCUUCCAUUCGCAAAUGAGAAGGAGAAGUUAAAGGAACCCCCUCAGCUUUAUAACUUCAUAGAGAAAUCGCAAUGGGAUGCCUUUGUAGCUUCAAGGUUAUCCCCAAAUUUUGAGGUUGUGCAUUCUGAGUAGUCACAGAGAAGGGAGAAAUGCGAGUAUAACCAUACGUUGUCUCGAAAAGGGUAUGUUGGUUUGGAGGAUCAAUUGGAAGAAACCAUGCCCGGUGAAAAAAUCGAUCAAUCUCUGCUAUGGAAGAAGGCAAGAGAAGAUAAAUAGGGAAACAUCCCUGAUCCAAAGGUUGCAAAGAAGGAAAAAUUAAUCGUAAGUCUCACUGACUCUGUUCUAAACUUGUAAAACAGAGGUUUUAUUUUUUAUUUAGACGUCGAUCUUUUUAGUAAUCGUCGUUAGACAUGAAACCCCAUGACGGUUUUUAUUUACCGCCGUUUAAAAAUAUAUAACGUCAGUAUUUUUUUGAAACCGAUGCAUGUAUUGAAUUACCACGACGGUUUAUAUUUCUAAGUUAGACGUUUUAAAUUUAAGUUUAAACUUUCUUCAUAUUCAUUUAGACGUCGUAUGUUUUAGUAACCGUCGUUAGACGUGAAAUGCCAUGAUGGUUUUUAUUUACCACUGUUUACAAAUUGAUAUGACGUCGGUAGUUUUGGUAAGCUGAUGUCUGUAUUGAAUUACAACGACGGUUUUGUAUUUCUCUGCUAGACAUUUUAAAUGAAAUUUUAAACUUUCUUCAUAUUCACACGCACACAUACUCUCUCUCUCUCUCUCUCUAUUUCUCUGCAAUUGGUUUGUACACUAUUACUGGAUCUAUGAAUAUUUUGGUUAAGGUUUUUUUUUUCUCUGGAUGUCAAAUGUACGACGGUUUUUUCAUGGACUGAUGUUAGAAUACAUACAAAAUGAAGGUAGUUUCUGACCGAUGUGUUAAAUGAUUUACCACGUUGUCUUGACUGCUUUACCACGUCGAUUAAUUUUUUUAUUUAUAGUUAUUUAUUUAAUCUGUUUUAACUAUCUGUUCACUCACUAACAUUCUCUCUCUCACUUUUAGGAUGAUUUGAAAAAAUAAGUCUUCGAGGGGACUUUGACUGUCUCUGGGAGCAUAGAUAUUUUGACCUUGGCUUUGGGAACCCCUGAGCAUGGUGGGAGAGUCAGAGGUGUUGGAGCUGGGGUUUCCCCAACUCAAUUCUUCAAUUUGCCAAGACAGCAGAGAGUAAAAUUUGCUGACAAAUUGAAGGAAAGUGUUAUGGAGGCAGUGAGAGAAGAAACCAAAAAGAUUGAGGCUAGGGCAAAGGAAACUGUUUUGGAGGCAGUCAGGUCAAAGAGGGAAAUUUUGUUGAAACAAUUCAGUCAACUAAUUCCCAACUUUGAUCCCAACUUGCUCAAUAAAACUCCAAUUACUCCAAUUCCUUUACUGCCUCAAGAGCAAAGCCCAAAAAAUCCAAUGUCUGACAAAGCAAGUUGCUCAAAUGUGAGAUCCCUUGUUUUGGAGGAAGAAAAUCCCACAAAUGAUGCUGAUGCUGCUGAAAAAUGGCAAAAUGAAAUGGUAAAAUCUCUGACAUUUGAUUUUUUCUUAUUUAUAAUUUAAAAUAGAUGUUGUUGAUAACCGUCAUCUCAGUAUUUUACUAUGUCAGUUUUUAUUUUAUAAACCGCUAUGUAUUUCAUUGAAGCCUUCGCUGCAUUUUAAUUAGACGACCUCUCUAUAGUGUAGCGACGUUAGAACAUAUACACAACGACGGUUAUGUCUUUACCGUGGUCUAUAACCUCUACUCCGUCAGUAUGUUUUAGAAACCGUCAUUUAUAUUAUAUACCACGUCGGUUUGGGUGGUUUAGUUAGAGUUGUUUAUUAAACUUGAUGUACAAACUAACUUAUAUUUCUUUAUUUAUUUCGUGUAACGUGAUCUCUCAAAGCUAGACAUGCCACCUCCUCUGUUAGCCCUAUGCCAAUUUGUCGAGACCAGGUUGAAGCCUGCUAACGAGACCAUUAGAAUUCACAUUCCAGAGGAAGUGUUUGGCACUGAUCAUGAUACCUUCCUCUUGUGUGAUGAUAUUUUACAGUUUGCUUCCAUGGUUGAGAUUGGAUCCACAAUGAUUGCAGUAUACAUGAGGUAAUUCUAGAAAUCCAAUAUAUAUAUAUAUAUUUUUUACAUUUCCUUUCUUUUAAAUUAAAAUCUCAUUUAAUUGAAUUUCAUAUAUUUAGGUACCUAUUUGACUAUUUAAAAAUGGCAAAUAUGGUAAACCUUGUUGGCCUCGUGGACUUUGGACAAGUCAGCUCUCAAUCUGGAACGUCAUCUUACCAUUCAAAACAUCUCUCAGAUCAUCUGAAAAACAUAAAUUGGGAUCAAUUUUAUUUGGUGCCUUAUAAUCCAGGGUUAGUCCCCUUAACUAUACUUGGUGCCUUGUAAUACUUUUCUUUGUAGUAUAUUUAACCUAUAUGGAUCAUUAUGUGUAGGGGUCAUUGGGUGUUAAUAAUUAUGAGACGAGCUAAGGAGACUGUCUAUUACAUGGAUUCAUUGCAAACCGCUUUGUUGAUGAAGACAUGAGAAAUAUAGUGAAUACGUAAGUUAAUCUAUGAAAAUCUAAGAUUUUUUUUAUUUCUGCAUUUGAAUGAUACGAUGGCUUUUUCUAGUACCGACGUUAUAAUGAAAACACAAUGACAGUAAGUUCAAACUGACGUUUGAAAUCAUUUACAACGUCAGUAUUUUCUAUAAACCGUCGUCUUAAUUGAAAUACCACGUUGUUUGUGUUUUUCAUUUAAGGAAGUUUUAAUUUUUUCUGUUCAACUUUUGGUUAUAUGUCAUUUUUUUUGUCGUCACCGACGUUAGAAUGCUACACAACGAUGGUUUUUAUUUACUGACGUUUGAAAUGAAAUACAACUUCACUUGUUUUACAAAACCGUCAUCUUUACUUAUUUACCAUGACGUUUAAUAUUUUUUAUUUAGAUUUUUAGUUUUGUCAUUAACACUUUUUGUUUUCUUGAAACAGUUCAAUCAAAAUGUAUUACUCUCACACGGGCAAACAAUCAUCACGUAAAUCAGCCAUAUGGAAAAAUCUACAUGGCACUCCUCAACAACCAACAAAUGUAGAGUGUGGCUAUUACGUGAUGCGUUUCAUGAGAGAUAUAAUUCAUGAUCCAGGCCUAGCAUUUGAGAAGAAGGUAAAAGGAAAAAUUUAAGAUAUAAUUUCUUUAUUUUACUACCACAACUUUUUCUUUAAAAACCGUCGUUUUAAUCUAUAUAACACGUCGGUUUUUGUUCUUUAUUGGCAGUUUGACAAGAAAAAAGAACCAAUUCAGUAUGUACAAGAACAUAUUGACGAAGUCAGGCUGGAAUGGGCUGAAUUUGUUGGGCUGAAUUUGUUAAGAAGCAAUUACAUAAUAAUAAGUGAUGUAAUUUAUUUUAACAAUAUUUAGGUUUAUUUUAAUUUAUUGACAAUGUACAUAAAUAUAUUUUUGGUACAUGAACUAUCAUAAAAAAAAUCAAAUUUUGUUUGAAUUUUUUUUUUUUUGUUUAGGAUAUUUAUGUCGUUACAUGAACUAAAAUGACAAUAAAUCAUAAAAACUUAAUUUAAUUCUCGAAGACCGACGUCUCAUUGUAAUUUACACAUCUCAUAUGUAUAAACAAUCGACGUCUUAUUGCAGUGGGAAAUAAAACAUCGAUGGCAAUUCUUAAAAAUGACAUGUAAUAGAGAGAAACACCACGGUUUAUAUAUAAAACUGAAAUCUACGAAAUUUUUUUGCAUAGAUAUACUACGUCCAUUAGUACAACAAGAACGACGUCUUAAGUGUUUCUUGACCAAAUGUGAUGUUGUACACAUAAACAACGUCGGCAUCUACAAAAGAAUCGAUGUUGCGAAUGCUACCCACGUCGGUUAUUCAGCACAAGCUGACGUUGUAAAGACGAACCACGGCGGUGGCUGAAUUUCGACGUCUAACAUCAUCUAGGACGACGUCAUGUGUUGUUUUACAACAUCGGUUAUGUACAUUUGUCAUUUCAAUUUUAUAUGACUUUUAUAUUUUAUUUAAUUCCUAAUAUUCAUAAUAAAUUCAAAACAAAUUCCAAAAAAUAAACUAACAACUACCAUGCACUCAUUGAAAGAUCUCUCCCCUAAAGUUUUAAAAAAUGUAAUUUUAAAAAUAUUUUUUAUUGUAUUUAAUUACUAAUAUUCAUAAUAUAUUUAAAAAUUCUGAAAAAUAAAUCGACAAAUUCUAUGCACUCAUUGAGACAAUAUCUCCCCGUUAAAAGCCUGAAAAAUUUAAUUUUAGAUUUCAAAAUUACAAGUGAUAACAAAAGUCAAAAAUAUUUACAAACAAAGCACAAUAGUCCUUAUACUUUCCAUAACAUAACCCUAAGGUUUAUGUGAUCCAUUGGUGGUCAUAAAAUUCAAAAUUAUUUAAUCUAGAUUUUAGCCUACUAAUAUAGAAGGCAUUGUUGUAAGGAGUCCGUAGCAAUUUUCGGUUCAUUUUUCUCGUACUUGUGUAUUUUUUUUAAUAAUUAAUUAUUGUAAAAUUUAGGGUUUAGGGUUUAGGUUUUAUUGAAACGACGCUGGUUUUCUCUCGUUCUUUUUGGUCAAUUACAAUUUUUCGAAUCCCAGGAAAUGCAAACCAAAUCUAAUUAUUUAAUAUUUUAGACGUCGGUUUUUAUAAAGGCGACCUAAAAGUGAUUUACAACGGCGGUAGUUUACCUUAACCGUCGUCGUAAAUGUACAAUUAAACGACGACUGGGUUGUAUUUACCAUCGUCUUUGAAAAACACGGUCCUUUGAAAUUUUUGACCGCGAUCUAAAAUUUUCAGAAUUUCCCUUUAACCCUAAAAUAUUUCCUUCUCUCUCUUCAACAUAAAUUUGUCUUAAAGUUUUCGCUCUCUCUCAAAGCAUUGGGUAUAUUCUCUGAGCUCUCUCUGAAGCAUUUGUUAUAUUCUCUUAGCUCUCUCUCUCAAUAUCCAUGUAAGUAUAUUCUCUCAGCUCUCUCUCAAUAUUCUCUUAGUUUGUAAAAUCCAUAAAUGAUUUCGUUCGUUUUGGUAACUUUGGUUUCUUAAUAUAUGUUUUGGGAGCUAUGGGUUCUUACUUGGGAGCUAUAUAUGGGUUCUUUUAUGUUUUGAUGUUUGUAUUCUGUUAAGGGUUCUUGGAAAAGGAAUGGGGAUGGAAGAUUUAAACUUUGAUUUUUUUGUAAACCACGACGACAGUUGGUGGAACAAACCGUCAUCUAAAUUUUUAGGAUACGUCGGGUUUUCUUUUGCUGUCGUCGUCUGAGUUGUUGUUUGCAUUUGGUAAUCUAAAGACGACUGUUUCUCCAUUUACUGUCGUCUUUAGGCUACCAGAACCUAGGACCCGGUUCUUCAAAAAGCAAUACAAAUAUCUGGGUUUGGAUAGCUUAAAGACAUCGGUAACUAGAUAUGCCAUCAUCCGAGUCUUUGUUAGACGACGAUUAUUUAGUAAAAAUCGUCGUCUGAUUCUUGUUUAAUUUAUUUUUUUCAAUUUAUUCUCUGCUAUGUGAAUAAAGUAGUGUUUCAUUGCUGGUCUUUUUGUCACAUCCCGGGAUCACGGUUUUGUUUCUAGGAGCUCACGAGCAACUUCCCAGUGGUCACCCAUCCUGGGAUUGCUCUAGCCACAACUCCCUUAACUUCGGAGUUCUCAUGACUCCGAAACCAGUGAGCUCCCAAAAGGCCUCGUGCUAAAUGGAGGCGGGCAUGUAUAUAUAAGGCACAUCACCCCCUCUCCGUUGGUCGAUGUGAGAUGUUACACUUUUCACUUUAUUAUAUAUAUGAUUUUAUAGUGUGCGAGAUGGAUAAGUCAUGGAUGCAUGCAGAUAGAAGAUUGAAGGCAUAUGAGUUAGGGGUGGAAGGAUUUUUGAAUUUUGCUGUUGAAAAUCUUGGAAAUACAACUCAUAUUCGUUGUCCAUGUGUUAAAUGUGGGAAUAUUCAAUUGUUUGGGGUUGGAAUUAUAAGGGACCACUUAUACUUUAAUGGAAUUGACCAAAGCUAUAAGAUUUGGACAUGGCACAGAGAACCUUGGGAAUGGACUACUAAUGCUAGUAGAAAUGUGGAAGAAGAUGAGCAAAGUAGGUUAAGUUAGAAUUAGGGAUGGAUGAGAAUGAUUUAGGUGAUAUUGUUUUUAAUCCUUAUGAGUUUGCCAAUGUGAUUGGGGAUGGAGAUCAACCCUUGUACCCUGGUUACAGUAAGUACACGAUGUUGUUGGCUUUGGUAAAGUUAUAUAAUUUGAAAGCAAAACAUGGGAUGAGUGGUGUUUGUUUUACAGAAUUAUUAAUACUUCAAGGAGAUUUGCUUCUAGAAGGAAAUACACUACCUUCCUCUAUGUAUAAGGCAAAAAAGACAUUGUCUGCUUUAAGGAUGAGUUAUGAGAAAAUCCGCGCAUGUCCCAAUGACUGCAUCUUGUAUAGGAAGGAUUAUGAAGAUUCAACUAGUUGUCCUACUUGUGGUAUCUCAAGGUAGAAGGAAGACAAAGAUUCAAUCUUGAAAGAAGGUGUGCUAGCGAAGGUGGUAUGGUAUUUUCCUCCAAUUCCAAGGUUUAAAAGGAUGUUUCAAUCACAUAAGACAGUUAAGAGUUUGACUUGGCAUGUUGCUAGAAAAUCAGUUGACGGUCAUAUGUCUCGUCCAGCGAAUUCCCCGUUUUGGAAACUUGUUGAUGAUAAGUGGCCUGAGUUUGGUAAAGCGCCGAGAAACUUGAGAUUGGCUCUCUCAUCUGAUGGAUUCAAUCCCCAUAGUUCUUUAAGUAGCAAAUACAGUUAUUGGCCAGUCAUCUUAGUUACAUAUAAUCUCCCACCUUGGCUAUGCAUGAAACGGAAGUUCAUGAUGUUGACCUUAGAGCCCAGAAAUGAUAUAUACGUCUACUUAGAGCCUUUGAUUGAUGAUUUAAAAUCUCUAUGGGAUGGGAUUAGAGGAAUGUAUGAUGCACACAUAGGAGAAUACUUUACACUCAGAGGUAUAUUACUAUGGACAAUUAAUGAUUUUCCUACCUAUGAGAACUUAUCUGGUUGAGUCGUUAAAGGAUAUAAAGCUUGUCCAAUAUGCGGCAAUGAUACACCUAGUCAUAGGUUGAAAAAUGGCCACAAAAUUUUGUUACAUUGGGCAUAGAAAAUGGUUAGCAAUCAAUCAUCCGUAUUGGAGGCAGCGUGUAGCUUUUAAUGGGACACCUGAAUAUGGCACGCCUCCCAGGCUAUUAACCGGAGAAGAAGUGCUGCACAUGGUUGAAGAUAUUAAUUACAUAUGGGGCUCGAAAAAUGGGGGAAGUGUUGGUGAGAAUGAUGGUGAUAGAGUUUGUUGGAAGAAGAAAUCAAAAUUCUUUGAUCUUGAGUAUUGAAAAUACCUUCCUAUGAGGCAUGUCCUAAAUGUUAUGCAUAUUGAGAAGAAUGUUUGCGAUAGUUUCAUUGGUACAUUGCUGGAGAUCCCUGGAAAAAAAUAAAGAUGGGAUUGCUGCUCGGUUAGAUUUAUUGAACAUGGGGGUCGUUGAUUUCAUUUGUGGUUGCUAUGGUGCGAAUUGGUUCGUUCAUUUGGUCCUUUUCUUCAUUAGAUAACCUUCUUUUCAUUUGUUCUCUUGUUUGUCUCAUAUCGCAUUCUUCCUCUUUUGUUGGGUUUCCUUCUUCAAAUUUUCAGAUAUGUCUUUCUUUUUAUGUUCUUCUUUUUUAAUCGCGUCUUCUUUUGAUGUUUUGUAGGUAGUGUUUCGACGGAUGGUUCUGAUGCCUCACCUGUUGGAUCUCCCGAUCACGCCUCAUCUCCGAGAUUCAAUGACAGUUGUCCGACGAUGACGUGAUCAAUUUUCUGGGACCGGCGGUCUCUUUGAGGAUCUCAAACAAAAAAUUAUUAAGCAGGCAAGAUCUCUCUAUAUCUCUCUAUUUGAACAUGUAGAUAAUGAACCCUAGGAGCUUAAUAUAUGUUUGUAUCUAGAAGAAAAUACGGUUGGUUUAAUAUAAGAUCAUUUAAACAAAAAAUCUGAUUUAACACUGUAUAAAACAGGUAGAAACCUACUUACCCUCUAUUUGUUUUCUAAGAAAAUGCAAGAAAAAAAAUAGAAAAUUUCAUCUUUUUAAACAUUUUACUGUUGUUUUGUGGGUAGGAGUUCAAUAAUUAUGCUUAAAGGGCGUUUGAGGUCACCCACUUAAUAACAUUAGUACUUUUUAUUGAAAUCACUUGGGUUUCUGUGGAAACUCAAGGACAUAAAAGCAAAAGUUUAAGUCUUUGUUCUAUAAUUAUGUUGGAUUGAAAAUUUGGUGCCUUUGUUCUUUCUUGCAUGUGCUUGGAAUUACAAUGAAAAUUUUCUUUCAUUGUUUUUUUGUUGUUGAAGGGUUUGAGCAUGAGGACAAAGGUGAUUUUGCAAGUUCACCAAAGUAUUUAAGGUAAAAACCAUAUCCUCGAAUUGCUCUUUUGGACCAAAAUUAAGCCUUUUGUUUGAUGGUUUAUCAUCUGAUUGGGUUAUAUGUUUGAGCUUAUGGAUUGGUUCAUAGUGGAUUUGAAUUGACAUGCAGAGUUGCUUGGGUGAAGUUGAUGACUGUGUGCGUUGUUAAGGUUUGGAUUACAAAGGGAGCUAAAGAUCUAGAGAGAGUGAGAGAGGUAGCUAGGAGAAAACAGAAUUUUAGAAAUGUUCUCUGGUGCAAUCUACCAAACCAUUGCAGAGAUCACACCUUUUGUAUAUUUCUCAUUCUCUCAUUACAUCAGCUAAUUAGUACCUUUCAAUUACAAGGGCCAAUGUGAAUGUGACACAUGGCACUACAAGGCCUAAGAGUCAUUGGAAACUAACUGACUGCUUUACACCUUACACUUGGCAUAUGAGCUCAAGUCACUUAACUAACAUAAUGCUUAAUGAAGCUAAGAGUAAAAAUAGACUAAGUAAAUUACUAACUAAGAAGAAAUUAGCUAGUCAAUUUACAUUUCAACACUCCCUUCUAAAGUGCUAGCUGAUUUCACACCAAGUAGACUUCUCAAAUAACUGAAUCUAUCCUUGGAGGGAGCCUUGGUAAAGAUGUCAGUAAUUUGUUCUUCACCUUUGCAGUAAACCAAAUCAAUCUCACCAUCUUGAAUUGCAUCUUUGAUAAAAUGAAACUUCCUACGAAUAUGCUCACUUCUUUGGUGAAAAACUGGAUUUUUAGACAUGGCUAUAGCUGAAGUGUUGUCACAGAAUAGAGUAAUAGCUGUGGCUUGUUCUUCUCCAAAGUCUUCAAGUACAAAUUUGAGCCAAAUGGCCUGUAAGGUUGCUUCAGGUACACUCACAUACUCUGCUUCUACUGUAGAAAGUGCUACACUAUGCUGCUUAACUGAGGCCCAUGAAAAUACACCACUUCUAAAUGAAAAUGCAUAUCCUGAGGUGCUUUUCAUGUCUUCUUCAGAUCCACUCUAGUCACUAUCACAGUAACCAAUCAAUAGUGCAUAUUUUCCAGCUGCAUACUCAAUUCCAUAGUCAAUUGUUCCUUGUAUGUACCUUAGAACUCUUUUAACAGCUCCAUAGUGCUGCUUAGAAGGACUGUGCAUGAACCUUGCAAGUAGGCUAGCAGAAAACAUAAUGUCAGGCCUAGUUGCAGUUAAGUAUAAGAGACUUCCAACAAUUUUCCUGUACAAGCUUUCAUCUGCAGCUUCACUUCCAUCCUCCCUUUGUAAUUUAUCAAUGGCAAUUAAAGGAGUGCUCACUGACUUGCAAUCUUUGAGCCCAAAUUUAUCUAAAAGAGUGAGAGCAUACUUCUUAUGGUGUAUGAAUAUGCUCCCUUCAGUUUGUGUUACUCCCAUGCCAAGGAAAUGGUGGAGAAGGCCUAAGUCUGACAUUUCAUACUUGCACAUCAUCUCAACCUUGAAUUCUUCCAUCAUUUCAUCCCUGCUUCCUGUAUAUACUAUGUCAUCUACAUAGAUUGACACAAUUAGUUUCCAACACCUUCUUUGACUCUCACAUAAAGAUUUGCUUCACUUGGACUUCUAUGGAAACCACACUGAGUUAAGUAACUAUCAAUUUCGCUAUACCAAGCCCUUGGAGCCUGUUUGAGUCCAUACAGAGCUUUUCUUAAUCUAUACACUUUACCUUCAGCUCCUUGAAUCACAAAACCUUCAGGUUGAUUACAUAGACUUCUUCUUCAAAAAUGCCAUUCAAGAAAGCUGAUUUGACAUCCAAUUGACACAGUUUCCAGUCUUUCUGUACAGCUAGUGCAAUGAGAGUUCUAAUAGUGUCUAACCUUGCUACUGGAGCAAAGGUUUCAUUGAAAUCAAUCCCUAUUUUCUGUGUGUAACCCUUGGCUACAAGUCUUGCCUUGUGUUUUUGAAUGGAGCCAUCGAGGUUUAGCUUUGUUUUAUAUAUCCACUACACUCCCACAAUUGGUUUGCUGCUUGGUCAGUCAACCAAUUCCCAAGUGGAAUUCUUCUCUAUCAUUGAUAUCUCUUCAGUCAUAGCCUUAUUCCAAGCUUUAUCUUUGGCUGCUUCAUUGUAACUUUCAGGUUCAAUAAUACUCAUUUUGCAUUGAGCAUAGACCUCACUUAAGUUCUUCCAUUUUUGUGGAGUAUGAUCAAAAGUUUCAGAGAUUGAAACUGAUGAAUCAUGCGUAGCUGACUCCAUAGAGUUUUGCAGGUCAUGAACCACUUGUGAUCUCUGUGGAGAUUGAACUGAUUGAAGUGAUUCACUAGAACAUGAACCAAUUUAUGAUAUUCUCGGACUUUCUUCAUCAUCCCAUGGAAUAGUCACUUGUACUGCUUCAUUCAACUCCCAAUUCCAUAUUGCUUUCUCAUCAAAGAUAACGCUCCUUGAGAGUUCAAUCUUUUUAGUUUCUAAGUUAAAAACUCUAUACCUUUUUUCACAAAUCCCAUAUCCAAGAAAUACUUCUUUCAUUCCAGUUUCCUCUAGCUUGUGUCUUUUCUAAGAAGGAAUAUGGAUAUAGCACAAUGAGCCAAAUAUUCUCAGGUGUUUGACACUUGGUUUUCUCCCACUAAACUUCUCAAAUGGUGUUGUGUUGUCCAAAGCACUUGUUGGACUUUGAUUCUGUAGAUAAAUAGCUGUGUUCACAGCUUUUGCCCAAAACUUCAAUGGAAUCUGCUUCUCAUGCAUCAUGGUUCUUGCCAUUUCUACCACUGUACGAUUCUUUCUGUCUGCAACACCAUUCUGUUGUGGAGAGUAAGCUACAGUCAGUUGUCUUUCUAAACACAACUCUUCACAGAAAUUUGAUAAUUCCAGUGAUGUAUAUUCUCCACCCCUAUCACUUCUUAGCUAUUUAAUUUGAUAACCACUCUGCAGCUCAACCAUCCUUUUGAACCUUUUGAAAAUGUUGAAUGCUUGAGACUUGUGCUGUAAGAAAAACACCCAACACAUUCUCGAGUGAUCAUCAAUAAAGGUGAGAAAAUAUAUGUUCCCUCCAAGAGUGGAAACCUGCAUUGGACCACAUAUAUCUGAGUGAAUCAAUUCAAGUGGUUGAGUAGCUCUCCAUGUCUUUUCUUUAUCAAAUGAGCUCCUGUGACUUUUGCCUAUAGCACAACCAGAACAGACUUUCUCAGAUCCUUGUAGUUUAGGUAAGCCCUGCACCAUGUCUUUCUCUUGUAGAAAUAUUAAGCUAGUGUAGUUUAGGUGUCCAUAUCUUCUGUGCCACAACCAGGAUGAUUCUUCCAGAGUUGCUUUAUUUGCCAUGGGAGGAUUGACAUAUUUGAGAUCUAAGGGAAAACAUCUGUUCCCUUUCAUUCGAACUCUUGCAAUCAACUCUUUCAUCUGCUCAUCUUCAUAAAUGUCAACCUCAUUAUCACCAAACACCAACCAAUAAUGCCCAUGUUCUAUCAUCUGUCCUACACUCAAUAGAUUCUCAUCCAAACUAGGUACAAUCAUAACUUCUUUAAUGUACCUAGUAACACCUUGCACAUCUAUAGCGAAAGUACCUUUGCCUUUUGAUUGUACUAAAUCACCCGUACCCAUCUUAACUUUACAGUUCACACUUCUAUCUACAUCAAUAAGCAAAGAAUCAUGGGCAGUCAUAUGGUUACAUGCACUGUCAACAUACCAAACAUUCACAUUUCUUCCAAUAGUAGUAGAAUGGCAAGCAUAAAACAUAGUUGCAGGUUCUAUUACCUUACUAGCCAAGUUUGCAAGUCUCUCAGUCUUAUUGGAUUGUUCACAGUCUUUAAUAAGAUGCCCAAAAUGAUUGCACCCAUAGCACUUUGGCUUCCCUUUAAACCAGCAUUCACCAUAGUAAAGUUUGUCACAAUGCUUGCAUUUCCCUUUAGUUUGAUCUGAUUUUUCUCCUUGUUCAUGCAGGACUAGAAUAACAAAAUGGUGCAAUUAUAUCUAUUUGUGGACUUUGAAAUAGAAAAAAGGUUUGCAUCGUUUAAUCGCCUCCACUUUAUUUUAAUUUCUUUCCCUUUUAUUAAUUUUGAUUGUAUUUCUUGCCAAUGAUGGGAUUGAACAGGCUUUUGAAUUGGUAAUGGGAGGUGACUGUUUGUGCUUGAAUAAAGGCUUGCCAUUGCCAUUGCUGCUGUUGUGGGACAGAACGAGUGUGUAUGUACAGAAGUUGCGGUAUAGAAUUUCGUCAAAUAUUUUGGUUUUGGACUUUUUGUGUUGAAGAAAUUUACAAUAAAGGUGUUUUAUGAUGUUGACUGACUUUGAAGGUGCUACAAGAAAAAGCGAAGUAGGGUUCGGCAUUUGGACUAGCAAAGAGGUUUGUCAAUCGUUUUUCUCAUCCUCAGUUUUUUCUUUCUUUCAGUAAGUCGAUUACAUCUCAGCCUUAAAUUCACUGUUUUUUUUUAUAUAUUUCAGUUUAAUUUAUUGAGACAAUUUCUGUUACAGAAUUCUAAAUUAUGCAUUUUUUUACAUUUUAGGGUACUGGGAUGCUUGGGGGGGUUUUUUUUAUUUUCUUUUCCACUGCAUAUUAUAACUUAGAUGGGCAUGCUUCAAGAAGGUUGGUUUUAUUCUUGAAGAAUAUCCAUUUGGUUUUAGACAUAGUUUAUUUAGUUAAAUAUAUGGCUACUAGUGAAAUGGAUUAGCCAAAUUCUUAGCAUUGUUGUAAACAGUCAUCUUAAGUGGAGGUUUGUUGUAUGAAAUUUGUUAAACAAAUAUCUAGAAAAUUAUCUUCACAGUUUCUUAGGUUCCAUUUAAUUUGGUAUUUGUUUUUGUGUGAUAUAUUUUUCUUAGGGCGUGUCAAAUGGCAAAGCUGCAAUUAAUGGUGUUGUUUUUGUGUUGCGGUUCCACCGGUACCAGGUUGUUGGGAGGAAGCUCCCUACGGCAUCCGAUGAGCACCGCAAGAUUUACCGAAUGAAGCUUUUGGCCACCAAUGAGGUUCGAGCUAAGUCCAAGUUCUUGUAUAAUCCUUAGCCUUGGCUUUUAUGAUCCAGAUGUGCAUUGGUGAAUUUUGGGUUAAACUUAAUAUUGUUGGUUGAUUUGUUUGGAUUAUGUAUUUCCUGAGGAAGCUGAAGAAGGUCAAGAAGAGCAAUGGCUAAGUGCUUGCCAUUAAUGAGGUUUGUUCUCUCUGCCAUUUAUACUUUAUUUUUUUUUUCUAAUUAAUAAAUUUGUACCCAUUUUGAUUAUUUGUCAGUGUCUAAUGUAGUAAAUGUUGUUUUGCAAUGGGGAAGUGGUUCCUCCUCAACUCUCCUCGUGGCGAAAUCCAAUUUGUUGCCAAAGGUCUCGCCUUUUACCCCAAAGCGUCACUCUUUUAUCACAUUUAUUUCGCUUUUUUCUAAUUUUGUUUCAAUCAUUUGAAUCGCAUUUUGCAUUUGAUGUUUGGCUUUGGUGGCAGAUGUGAAGGAGGCUGCGUCAGAGGCAUCCCCUCGAAAUGCCCGGUUGAAUUGGAGACGUAUGCUUUCUUUUCUUUUUUUGUCUUUUUUUUUCCUUCUUCAAAAUUGAAGCCUCCACUUUGCUGAAUAAAGGCUCCUCUUGGCUUUAGUGUUUCAUUUCGAUGAAUUUUGGGCUUUCACAUGUGUCUCUGAAAUUGCAAACCUUUCUUUUGUAUUGGGGUUCCAAUUUUCCGAGUGAUAAGUUUUUUCUCUUUUUUUUUUUAAUAUUUACUCUCAUGUCUGUGUCCAAAACAUUUUUUUUUUUAUAGUACGUUUUGUGCAAUGACAGAUAUAUUAUAGGAAUAGAAGAUGAAUCUGUCUUUUCAACAAACAACAAGAGUUACAUAUUCCGCGAGUACUUUACUCCACCAGUUUUAGAAUGAGUUUUUUAAAAAAAAAACAUAUAUAUUUUUAAACUCAACAUUUAAUUUUGAAUUUUCCAAUGAAAAUGACACAAUUUUUGGAACAGUUUUCUUCCGAUAAUGGGAGUAGGCAAUUAGCAAAAGAUAAACUACCAAAAUCGAAGGUAGGUUACGGGAACCCAAAUUAUUGUAAAGUUUGAUUGGUAAAGAUUUAAACGUAUGUUAGAUUGACAAUGAAAAAGUGAAAGAUCAAUUAUAGAGAAAUGGGUGGCGCGAGUGGUCUAAAUUGUUGCAUGUCUUCCUUAUAUGUGCAUAUUCUGUCUGUAAUUCUCUGUUUCAUGAUUGAUUUGAUUAUCUGUUUUUAUCCUCUGGGUUUGUUGGGAUGUUAAUAAAGUUUUGUGCUUUUGCAAAAUAUUGGUUCAUCCUUUCAAUUUAUAUGAUAUGAAUGUGUCCUGUAGUAUGCGUAUUUUAGAUUUCUUAUUUGACGAUUUAUGAGCUGAAAUGGGAUGUGCCACAAUUUGGUACAUACAUGCCGCCACUAAGCUGUGGUUUGAUUUGAUAUUUGUGGAAGUUUUGCGACUCAUUUAUAGAUUCGUACAUACGGACAGUGGCGGAGCUAGAAGCUUAUUUGUGGGGGGGCCAGUACCAUAAAUGCAAAAUUAUAUAGAGUUAUAUUUUAACUAAUAUUGUAGUUGAUGCAUAAGAAAGAAUUGGGUUUUCAUGGAGUUUAGGGGGGCCCUGGCCAUGGCAGGCCUACAUGUGGCUCCGCCCCUGCAUACGGACCUUUAAGAAUGAAAAUUUCCUUUUAUGGCAACCCAUAACAAAUACCAAUGUAGCUUGCAGGGCUUGGAUUGUGCAUCGAGUACUGAAGAGCUUGGAUUGUGCAGCAAGUACUGAAUUUGUUGUGGCACUGGAACACCAAGGAGUUUGUAAGUGAAAGGAGCUGCCAGCAAAGGGCUAAUCUUCUACAAGUGGUGACUCAGAUUUUUGUUUUUUGUAUGCUCAAUGAUUCUUUGGCACUUCUUACUUCGGCAUUUAAUUAAUAGAGGAAGAGGAAGAAAAAGUAAAAACGGGCAUCCAACAUUCAAAAACUUUUAUGUGUUAUAAAAUGACCUGGAAUAUGUGCGAAUAUUGAGCUGCACGUAAAGUAGAUGAGACACAGUAUUUAACGAGGUUCGGCUAUGCCUACGUCCCCGGAGAGCAGCAGUAGUAACUUUUCCACUAUGUAAAAUAAUAGGGCUACAACUUUAGUGUUUACAAUAUGUGUGGCUCACUGAAUUUUCUCUCUAGGAGAAUUUCUCUCUGCUCUCUCUUUCCUCUUUCUUCCUUCUCUUCCUCUUGUCUCUUUCCUUUUCUCUCUUUCCUCUUCUCUCUUUCCUCUCUUCUCUUUCCUCUCUUUGUUUCUUUCCGUUUCCCUUUCUCUUCUUUUUCUUUUCCCCUCUUUCUUUUCUCAUUUCUCAUCUCUCUUUCCUUUCUCUUGGUCUUAUUUAUAGGCUGAGAAAGGAUACCCGUGAGUGUACAAUAAGAGAAAGUUGCAGACAAACGUUACCCAAAGUCUCCAAAUGAAUAGUUAGUGGGCUCUACACAAAAACUUUUACAACACUCCUCCUUGGAGACCACAAAUGAUAUGUCAGUUGCUUCAUCAGACUUUGCUUGGUGAAAACCUAGUAAGGUAGAGAACUGAUGGAAGGAAGAAAGAAGAGUACAACAAUCUGUAUAGCAUACUUCUGGAUGCUCCCCCUGAUUAAUAUCUCCCCCUGAUGUCUUCAUAACUAUCUUUUGGAGUGAGAAUCUUUCGGAGUGAGUGAAUGAUGUAGCCACCAACAAUGCAUAUAGUAAAUAUAUUUCCAGUGAGCUAUCUAUGUAAAUCAUAGAAAUUUUCAGAGUCCGUGUUUCCAACAAAACCUGGGCUAUUUGUAAGAUCAUAUGAAAGAAUAUGCCCAUACAUGGUGUUAUGCGGAGAUAGCAUCAAAUAUACCUCACAUCAUCCCAAAAUGAUGGUGAUGGAGUUGAGCCUUAUCUGGAAAAUAUGAUGUCCGGUCCAAUAUACUUCCGGAAAAUCAUUAAAGUGUCCAACGGAUAAUCCUCAUAAAAAUGCUUCAAUACUUUCUUAGUAUAAGCAAGAAUCUCGUUGGCAUAAUGCUCGAUCCUUAAGUCGAGACAAAUAUUUCUUGAAUUCUGCAGAAGCUUUAAUGUGUUACAAUCACAUUAUAAUCAAUGUACUCAUUGAGGUAAUUUAUGCAUAUUAAUAUUGAGUACAAAUUUUGUGCUUCAAGCACAUGUCCUUUAGGGACUUGCUUUAUGCAAUGUCAAUCCGCUUAACGGAUUUUGUCUAAAAAGGGGAUUAAACUUUAUGACACAUUAUAUAGCUUUUACCCAGCUAUUUAUAUAUCUUUAGGAAAAUCGCUUCUGGCGAUAUGCUCCGUGCAUUUAAUAACCCUUAAAGAUAAUAUGUUGGUCUCCGUAAUUGUGUAAUAAGGGGGGCACAAUUGAAUCUGUAAAUAUGGAGAAAACCCAACAUUCCUUGUUUCUGCCAGAAACAUUGUGUCAUACAAAGUAGGUAUAUUCCCUUUUAUUCCGAACACCCAAGUAUAAAUUUCAGUAUUAACAAAUUUUGGGGUUCGUAUUGCGGGUUUGUUCUUUCACGUUCAUUCUCAUUUAUAAUGGAUUUACCUCGUUCCAUUUUGGCCAAUAAUAUUGUCGACAUUUAAUAAUUGAACGUGGUUCCAAUCAACACAGCCCAUUGAUGAUUUGAGUAGCUACUCCAAAACCAAAAAUUGUCAUUCAUCAAUUCAUGAUCCCACCAUUCUCAUUUGCAUGCGCAUACAUCAAUUAUAAGCAUUUCUUUGCUUUUGGGUACCCAAGCCACUUCAGGGGGUUUUUAUUAUGUGAGAAUGUGGAUUAUAACCUCCAAUGGAGCGUUAUUUUAUAGUAGGGCGUGGAUAAUCUCCAUUUAGGGAGUUGGAACAUUUAGAACCCAUAUAUCUGUCAUGCUGCAGGCAUGCCACAGAUUAAUACAUACAUGUCAAUUAAUUUAUGGGACUUUAACCCAUAUUAUGGGACUUUAACCCAUAUAAUUUGCUACGCAUUAGGUGUGCAUAAUAUCAAUAUUGACAUGUCAAAGGAUUGUCCUUUCGGGACUUCAAUCCACAUCAUUUGCUACGCAACAGGCGUGCAUCAUAUUGAUCACUGCUAUACCCAUAUUCUGUUCUUAUGGGACUUUAAUCUGUGCAGUGUAUUAUCAAUGUAUCCAACUUGCAAUCUGUAAAAUUUGCGUUAAUAAUUCAUGGAUACAUACAAGCCAUUCUUUUGGAACGGACUUAUCUCCCCAUUUGGUUACCUUUCAAGAUAAAAUAUCAAAUAGGUAUAUAAGCAUAAAAUAACACAAGUAUUGCUUACAUCCUUAGGUGGGAGAAACUUUUCUCAAGUAUCAUUCAAGCUCGUAUCGGCCCAGUAAAUAUAAAGUAUCGCUUGAUGAUCUUGUUAUAUCCUGCAAGAGCAAAAAUCACAAUUCUUUUCUCUGUAAAAAAUAAAUAACUCUCAGAGUUAGGAUCACUGCAUGGAUUCUUUCUUCGGAUGUUCAUUCUAAAGAAAUAAAAUCCCUUAUGAACAGAGAGUUAUAAAAAGAAAGAAAAGAUACAAAAAUUGUGAUAUUGAUUGCAAGGUAAGGUAAGCAAUCAAGGAAGGAAGCUGGUGGGAGCAGACAACAAGCUCUCAUUUCUCCUAGUCUAGAAGGACCUCAGGAGAUUAGAGCAUAAGGUCGCCUUCACAGUUCCCUGAUGUGGCGGAAACAUGAUCAAGGAUAGUCUUGCUUCCUGAAUGGAUGAUCAGAGAUAGUCUUGCUUCUUGGGCAUAUUGAGUGCUUACUGAUAAGAAAAACAAGUAGAUAUCGCAUCACUAGGUAUGGAGUAAACUGGAUGUCUUCUGCAAAGAAAAUUUCGUUAGUAACACAUUUAUACACAAAUACAAUGAAUAGGUAGAACCGGUGAAUUUCAAAUUAACCAUAGGAAGAUUGCGAGAUUCUCGGGAUGCUUUUGAAAAAGUAGCUCCGUGAAAUCCGCAAAGCAAGAUCGGCUUUUGACGAAAAUAAUACUUUGAAAACGCCGAAAGUGCCGACAAACAUUAAUGGAGGCCACGUGAAGUUUUGGAAUCUGGGAAAGAAAAAGAUAAUAUGGGGAUCUGAGAUAAUAUUGGGAUCCUGGAAACUGUAGCCAUAUUUCCUCCUAUAGAUAUGGCCUUUGCAAAACUUGAUUGGAGCAACUGCGUUUCAACUUGCUCCUUUCCUGUUAUAAUAAUUGCGCACAUUCUUAAAAUUUGCACCUGUGGUUUUUACGUCUUUUCAAAAUGACGGUUUGGAACCUUGUGCCUUAUAGGUUCAAAUAACCACAUUGUCUCUCCCAAAUUUCAUAUUUUAACGCAUGGUAGCCCGGAACUUUUGGCCUGGGCACAAACUCAGAAUUUAUUUGCCCUUUUCAAAUGGACAUGAAAUAUGAAUUGAGUAAAAGCUACGAUAAUAUCGCAAUAUAGUAGUGAAGAGCAUUAACUACUAUAUACCCACAGCCUCAAAUUCGGGAUUUCUCAUAUAUUUGAAUCCAUGUGAUUCCAGCCCAGAUAUAACAAAAUAUGUGGGGAGCCUCAAUUCAUUAUUUGAGGUUUAUAUUGAUAUUAUCCAUUUCGCGGUGUAUUCUUAACAACCGGAAUUCACAAAAUAUAUUUCUUCCUUGAGGUGUCGAUUAUAACAAAAUCGAACUUUAUUAAAUUCAUCAUCUUCUUAUGCCAAAGAAAUAUGUGGCAUACCACAAUUUGCAAUAAUACCUCAAGGGUUGUCCAUUUAAUUGUUGGAACUUCAGGUUCUCAACACUGUUAAAUUUUGAACUUCAGGCCAAAGCCACAUAUUCUCAUGGUAUGGACAUUUUUACAAUUUUCUGUACAUAUUUCGGGACUUCAAGCCCUUACAUAAUUGUCCAUAUUUUGUGGAACUUCUGGCAUCUCAUUUAAUUGCUCAUCCAUGAGUUUAAGGAACUGCAGGUUCCCUUUUGUAUAUAGUGACGGUUUACCCAAAAUGGUUCAUAUUUAUGCAUACGUCACUAUUUAUGUGAAUAGUACUAUUCAUCAAGUCAUGAAUACGUAUCUAUUCAUCUGCCAGUACAGUUAUCAUCAAUGUGUACGGCACUAUGAACCAAUACGGUACUGUUACAUCAUUAAGGAACUCUAGGUCCUUAUUUACAUGUCAGGGAUCAAGGACCCUUAAGUCCGAUCACAUGUUUACAAAUACAGUACCGGAGAGACUGCCAGCUCUCAUAUUAAUAUCAUCAUCAAGGAUCUUCAAGUCCUGAUGUAAUUGUAUGAUGAGGAUCAAGGAACUUCUGGUCCUGAUCUGCAUACUGUAAAAACUCAUCAUACAGCACAAUUAAUCCAUAAAAUAAAUUGCGGAUAAAUAAAUUACUGGUAUGGACGAUAAACCCGCACCAUACUUUAAAUAAAUGUAAAUGUGCGGUAAAAUAAAUUCAUAAAUUAAAUUGCUUGCUGUAUGGACGUUAAUCCCGCACCAUACCUUAAAUAAAUUAAAUAGCUUGUUGUAUGGACGUUAAUCCCGCACCAUACCUUAAAUAAAAUUAAAUGUACGGUAAAGUAAACGUGCCUGUAUGGGCACUAAUUCUGCUCCAUACAUUUAAAUAAAAGCAAAGGCGUGGACGAUAAAUCCGCACCACCCUUUAAAUAUUGCCGUAUGGGUAAUAAACCUACACCAUACCAUAAAUAAAAUAAAUAAGCAAAGGCGUGGAUGAUAAACCCGCACCACCCUUUAAAUAUUGCAGUAUGGGUAAUAAACCUACACCAUACCAUAAAUAAUACUUUAAGUAAAAGUAAAUUUGCGAUAAAGUAAACGUGCUUGUAUGGGCACUAAUUCUGCUCCAUACAUUUAAAUAAAAGCAAAGGCGUGGACGAUAAACCCGCAGCACCCUUUAAAUAAAUAUUGCCGUAUGGGUAAUAAACCUACACCAUACAGUAAAUAAAUUAAAUGUGGGGACAAAACCACCACUAAAAAUAUAUGGGGUUAAACAGUCCAUAGAAUUACUAUAUAAAUAGAUUAUAUAGAGUAUAUAAUAGGCAAGCGAAGGAAACUAGUGCAUGAUAGACAAAUAUCACGCUUGCUCUGCCUUUCCACUUGUAACCAGCACACGUGUACUAAUAUUGGUGUUAAAUAGUGUAGGAUAAUAAUGAAAUAAUUGAAAGAAUAAGGAGGCAGAGAGCUUUGCUUUAGCACUUCCCUGAGAAAGCUGUGUGGACGAAAACAAAAGGUACCAAUACUCUUCAGCACCCAAAGCUGUGCCCUUGCUGUAGCCACAUAUAAACUAUUAACUUUACCCACCAAAAUUGAUCAUAUAAUAAUAUAAUAUUUUAUACUAAUAUAUUAGUUUGAAAGCUAGACAUAUCAUGUUGGCUUUUCUUCUUUCCACUUGCAAUUAAGUUGAACUUGUUGUGUAGAGAAAUAAUAAAAUAAUAAAAAAAAAGUAAGAGGCAGGGAGCUUAUCCUUCCAGUUGGUUUGCUCGUAUAUCUCUCUAGCAGACCACAGCUCCUCCACUACUUUUCUUCCUUACAUCAACAUAAUGGUUAGUAGUAUAAAUAAUAGUGCAGCACAAAAAUUAUACCUGAGAGCUUCUCGUGUUGAUAACGUGUUAUAAAAUGACCUGGAAUAUGUGCGAAUAUUGAGCUGCACGUAAAGUAGAUGAGACACAGUAUUUAACGAGGUUCGGCUAUGCCUACGUCCCCGGAGAGCAGCAGUAGUAACUUUUCCACUAUGUAAAAUAAUAGGGCUACAACUUUAGUGUUUACAAUAUGUGUGGCUCACUGAAUUUUCUCUCUAGGAGAAUUUCUCUAUGCUCUCUCUUUCCUCUUUCUUCCUUCUCUUCCUCUUGUCUCUUUCCUUUUCUCUCUUUCCUCUUCUCUCUUUCCUCUCUUCUCUUUCCUCCCUUUGUUUCUUUCCGUUUCCCUUUCUCUUCUUUUUCUUUUCCCCUCUUUCUUUUCUCAUUUCUCAUCUCUCUUUCCUUUCUCUUGGUCUUAUUUAUAGGCUGAGAAAGGAUAUCCGUGAGUGUACAAUAAGAGAAAGUUGCAGACAAACGUUACCCAAAGUCUCCAAAUGAAUAGUUAGUGGGCUCCACACAAAAACUUUUACAACAUUAUGCUCUUAUUCUCUGUUUUAGAAACACUUGCUUUGGUCUCUAACAAAAGCAAUCAAUUCCUCAAUUGUUGUUAGGGUCACCAUAAAUUGUGUAAUGAUCUAUUGUUGUUAAUAUUUGUUUUUUUUUAUUAUUUUUUUGUCUUCAUGUGUUUUUAUACUGAUUUUUUGUAAUAUUUACUGAUUUGGUGAUGUCAUGGUAGAGAUGUUCAAAGUUUGAAGACUACAUCCAUUAUCUAAAUUCUAAUUCCGAAUUUUAAUUCUUCUCUCUUUCUAAGUUUGAACACUACCUCUAUUAUUUGGAAUUGAUUAAGAUUCUUUUUUGCGUCUGUAGUUUAGCUAAUUUUUUCUUUGGGAGUAUUAAACUUGCAAAACAAAGAUGCCACUAUUUAGAUCUCCAUGUCUAUAUAAAUAAUACCAUCUUUCCUACAUAUUUUCAAGACUAUGUAUAUAUUUCACACGGUUUUAAACCGCAUCAUCGAGCGGGCACCAUUGCUAGUUAUAAUUUUAUUUCUCAAUAAAUCCUUUAAUCAUGUUGUCACUUCCUUUCCUACCGUCCAAGCCAUUUGCACUUUAAACAUAAACAUAAUUUAAUAAAAAUAUUUGAAUUCAAAUCGUUAUGCUUGAUUAAGUCAUAAAUAAUUCAUUCAAGAUCAAUUAAUGAAACUUUAAUUGUAUAAAAUCCAUUUAUAAAACAAAAGUCCACUCACUGAGCGUCCGAGUUAGCCUGACCUUUGAGUGUCCUUCCUACGGCUUCAACGAAGCCCGAGUACUUAUUUAAGCAAUUAAAAACCUUGAAUUAAUAUAAUAGCUCAACCAUAAAUAUUUAAUCAUAACCCUGACCCCCGGCCUCAAAAGUGCGUGUACAUAACUUACGAAGGUUCCUAGGCCCAUUUUCAACAUUUCUGACAGGUGUAAUGGUUUAAAAAGACUCGAGAUUAAAUAAGCGAUUAAAUUCUCAUAUUGGUCAACCGGGUACCCCGUGGGGUCCAUGACCUUCGAUUACCAAUCUGAGAGCUCGUAUAGGUUCAACACACUUUACUAAACAUGCCCUGUAAGUUUGGUCCGAAUCGAACCGUCGGAACGCUCGCGAUCAUGCGAUCAGAUGGUUACCGUUUCUCUAAAUUUUGAAUUAUUGAAUCGGAGUAUCCAAGAUUCCGAUUCUCUAUCCGCGAAUUUCUACACGAUCCUGGAGGUAUCUAGAUUAACAUAUUCAAAAAUGAAGUUGAUCCAACGGUCCGAACAUAUCGGACCCAGAUAACGCCUAAUAUGCGAUAACCGAUUGACGAUCAAAUGGUAACCAAAUUGAAAUCCGAGCAUACCGUCGUGUUUGGGAUGACGUGGGGAACAUUCUAGGACAAAAAUCCAACCUUGACAACCUGCCGACGUACCGCCACCGUCGGCGGGUGUGUAGAGUAAUUUUUCGACGAUCGGAAAACUCCAAACUGCCAGACAAUAAUAACUACGGAUUAAGCACAUUAAGGGGAGUAACUUUAUACCUUGACUCGACGAUCAAUUCCACAUUUAAAGCCCUUGAACGAACCUUUGUCUCUUGAAAAACCUAGAAAUUUUAGUUUCAAAAUCAAUGAUUUUGGAGUGAAUUCACAUUGGGUUUUCGAGGGAUAAAGCAAAGGGAUGGUAGGAGAGUAUUUUGCGUGUAAUUACCUGAGCUGUGGCGGACGGAAUUGGCCAGAGAAUACCACGAACAACGGCUGUUUUUGCAUAGUUGGUUUGGGCUCAUUUUUGGCUCUGUUUUCGAUCAAUUUUCUGGUUUUCUCGCUUGAAUUUGGGUUUGGAAAUUGAUAUGGAUGUGAAUAGGAGAGAAAGAUGAAGAGUUUUCAAGUUGUGGCACCCAAUUUGGUGGCUGGACGAAGAAGAAAAUCGAGUUUGAAAAUGUCUGUUCGUGAAAUUUACGAGAGGAAGAAGAAAUCUGGAUUUCGAAAAAUUUACGAUUAUGUCACUGGACUUCUUUUGAUUGUAACUUCUUCAUUAUAACUCCGAUUUGAGCCCACUAUGUGUCUAUGGACUCAUUUCGACGUGCUCUAUGCAACGGUACAAUUGAAAUUCCCAAAUUCCUUCCCAAACAAAAAGUCAACUUUUAACCCAAUAAAAUAUUUCCGGGGUAAAUUCGUCUUUUACUUGAAUAAAUUAAUAAUUAAAUAUUUAUUUAGGAUUGGGUUAUUACACUUAAUUUAUUAGAUCUUAUAUGACAAAAAUUAAAGGACCAAUAGAAGGAAAAAUUUGGAAUGAUGACAAAAACACCCUAGGAAAUUAGAUGUAUCGAUAGGAGCAAGAAUACAACAUAUAUAUGACAUAUUACAAUAAGAAUGUAGUCAAAUAAAAGCAAAAAGACAAAUUAGAAAAUAAUUUUAGAUGAGCCGUAAAAAUAUAGAUGUACCUAAACAAUAUGGAUGUCAUAGAAAAUUUAAGCAGAAAAAGCCAUAUGGAGAGAGUUAUAGAAAAUAUAUUCCGUAUAAACAACAAUAUAAAUUUUUAAAAAUUCAACCUUCAAAAACUUUUAGAAGAAGAAAAUAUAUCCCUAAAUAGUUUAGGAAAAGAACAAAUAAACCAUGGAUUAGAAAGUAUAAAGUACCCAAUAAAAGUACAUGUAAAUGUUAUCAUUGUGGUGAAGUAGAACAUAUUAGACCUAAGUGUCCCAAAUUAGGAAAACAACCUAGAGAAAAAAAUACAAUCAAUUGAGCAAUUUCAAUUAGAAGAUGAUGAAGACUUAGAAUCAAUUUAUAGACUUGAUGAUAAUUUAAGUGAUAAUAAAAGUAUUUAUAGUGUUAAUGCCUUAGACUUAAAAUCAGAAUCAGAUUACUCUAGUAAUUCCGAUAGUGAAUUAGAUGAAUAGAUGUGUAUAUUUGAAGAAGAACAAAAAGAGCAUGAGGAAUUUAAAUAUAUUAAUCUAGGAUGGCCUCAAGAAUGUAAUCAAUGUCAUAAAAUAGUGGUAGAAAAAUAUUACACUAAGACAUUAGUUUAUUGCAAACCUUGUUUUAAUAAUAGAUCAAUAGAAAUAAAUACAGUUGAAGUAAUAGAUAACAAUAAUCAAAAGAAUAAUUGCCCUAGUAUAGAGAAACAAAAGACUAGUUCAUUAGUAAAAUUGUGAGUUAGAAUUGUCAAAAGAAAAUAAAAUUCAAACCAUAGCUAUGAUAGAUACAGGAAGCACAAAAAAUGUAAUAAAAGAAGAGUUAGUGCCAGAACAGUUUAGGCAAAAACUGGGUAGACCAAUAAGAAUUAUACAGUUUGAUACAAGACCUGUAUACUAAACACACUGAAUUAAUAAUAUACCAAUUAGGAUACAAAGACAACAUUUUAAUUUACCCUUAACCUCUCUAUCCCCAGUAGGAUCAUAUCCCUUUAUCUUAGAAUUAAAUUUCUUGAAAAGUUUACAAGGAGGAUUUUUAUAUUAGAAAAUUAGUUAAACACCCAUUCCUAGACAUAAAACUAUAAAAAUACCCUAUAUUAUUUAAUGUAUAUAAACACACCCAAAACAAACCCAAAAAUCGAUAGUUGUAUUUUUUUAAAUUUAAUUAUUAAGAUGAAAUACCUUUAUUACCCUUUUCACAUAAAAUUGGGAUUCUAAUCAACACCAGAUCAAAACUCAUUUCACGACCUCCAGUCUCUCAUCUUCAUCUUCAACCCCAAUUUUCGGUUUGUGUUCACUGUUUAUACCGGAAAUAAACGGCCUAUGACAACCGAACACGUGGACAGGAUCGAUAUUGGCUGCAGGAACCCUUCGGCAGUUUGCCUUCCGAAGCCAUCUAUCUUGCCCCUUUUUACCAUCGGACACGUGUCAUGCGCACAAUCCAUGUUCACAGUCCCACAUCGGAAAUAUGAGCACAGUGCACACCUCCCAAGGCCUAUUUAAGAAGACCCCUAUCCCCAAAAGGAAGGGAUCAGAACUGACGGUACGCUAUGGAUUGAUCUGUCAGUUAACAUUACUAAAACCGUACUUACUAAAGCAUCGGAGAGCCUUCGGCCGGUACCACACCGGUACCCCAAGGACUUACCGAACGCGUCCUUUUGCAGGUACUUACCCUUUCGAAGUAGAACAUCUUACGAGGACAGUCACCUACCGAAGGCAUAAUAUCACUAAGUUGACGAAAUACGUGCUGAACCACUUUUUCGCAUCAACAGUUUGGCGCCGUCUGUGGGAAAUCAGAGAAAUCAUCAACCCACUAUCUCCAACACACAUGGGGACCACUUCAGUACCCACGUUCUUAUCGGAAGAAAGGGUACCGUUCGGAAGGCAGAGCGGAGCUAGCCCAGCGCUACCCCCAAGCACUUCAUUCGGAAACGCCCCCGCAACCCAAACAACCGCCGAAGCCGAGCUGGUAGUCCAGAUCGCAUCCCUACGGAAGGACAUGGCAAGGCUUCAGGAGCACAACAACCUUCUUUCGUCCAAAGUGGACGAAACCCAGCAGCUGCUCCACCAGCAGCACACGUAGAACAUCCAGACAACUCACACUUUCGAGAGCUUGCAGACCCCCCCAUAGGAAGAAGAAACGCGAGAAGGUAGCGAAGGCAACACCCGCACCUUCCAAACAGUUGGUAGUUCCGGCACCCAGGGAUCAGCCGCACAUCCCCAAGAAAGUCUACUCCGAUUGCCGACAUCGGAUUAACGACCGGGAACAUCGGAAUAACGAUCGGGAGGCAGAGAGACAGAGGUCUCCGAUCAGGAUUAGCGCUCGACUAAGGGACUCACGGAUGAAAGUCCUAGGAAACAAGUCGCCUAUUCGGAAAGUCAGAGGGCUGGACUCCGCAGAGGAGUCGGAAUCCGAGUAUAUCCCUUCCGGGACGCAAACUUCCCACCUACCGUUCGGCAAUGCCUUCACGGUACUCGGGGGUUAAUCCAUUAGACCUACAAAGGCGAUCGGAAGAUUACGGUUCCGAGGAAAUCCCUAGCCGAGACCCCAUUGUCCGACUCCUUUUUCAGAAAAUCCAGAAAAUGGAAAUCGACAACGCUCGCUCCCAAGAACCGGAAUGGGGGAAGCUUCGGCCCGGACCAUUCACCAGGCGCAUCCGGGACUCUCGGCAGGACAGGGAAGUGCAGCAACUGCGUAUACCGUUCUAUACGGGAACGGAGGACCCCUUAACACACCUCCACUCAUUCCAGUCCGCCAUUGGAUGCAAGGGCCUGAGCGAUGAAGGGCAGUGCCUGCUAUUCCCGUCUUCCCUUACCGAAGCAGCCCUGAACUGGUUCUACCGGUUGGAGCCGGGAACGGUAGAUUCCUUCGACGAGCUGAAGCAAAUUUUCCUCAAUCACUUCAUGAUCUAAACGGACCGUCUUUACUCUGCUGAUGAUCUGUACACGAUUCAGAAAAGAGAGGACGAACCGUUGAGAGAAUACGCGACGCGCUUCAGUCACGAAUACUCAAGGUGUUCGGAAACAGACGAUAGGGCAGCCUACGGCGCCUUCAAGAGUGGCCUUCGGUCCUCGCAUUUCCGAUACCUAGUACACAGCAGCAACUGGCGCACGUACGACGAACUGAUGAAGCAGGCAGCGAUCCACGCCGAAGCCGAAUACUUCAACUCGAAACCCGCAGUUUCGGCACCGCGAGGAAAUGCCGAACCAAGUGCUUAUCCGGCAAAGGCGCCACCCUACGAGAGAGUCGACCCAUAUUUGGCAGGUCAUAAGAGGAAAGACGACCGUGCCGAUCGGAGAGACCACCCGAAGAAGGGAAAAGGGGGGUAUGGUCGCAACGACAACCGAGCGCCCCUGCCGAAUCGUGACCACGGUAAUGAAGUCUUCACCCUAUUAAAUACUACCUACGAGGCCGUCCUGAUGAACGAACAAGAAAUAAUACCAAAGCCGAACCUGCGAAGACCCAAUCGGCAAGACAACCGGGAUACCGGUAAAUUCUGCCGAUACCAUCAGCAAAACAGCCAUAAUACGGAAGAAUUGUCGAACGGUUGAUCAGAGAGGGGAAGCUAGAUCAGUAUAUCGCCCGGCAGCCACCGGCGCCGGUACCGAACAUAACUCGGCAGAUAAACAUGAUAAGCACUAUCAGCGGUGGCCCCACCAUCGCAGGAAUGAGCAACCGUUCAAUGAAGCAAUACGUGCGUGCCGCAGAAUUUCCUCAGGUAUUCGGUAUAGAGGUGAAUCGGCACCAUGAAAUACCGAAAGUUCGUUGGGAACCAAUCACAUUUUGUGAAGAGGAGGAAGAGGGCAUCCUCUAUCCCCACGACGACCCGAUGAUCGUCCGAGCAGAAAUUGCCGACUACGAUGUAGGACGGGUGCUGAUCGAUACCGGGAGCUCGGUAGAAGUAAUUUUUGCCGAAGCUUUUCGAGAGAUGGGAAUAAAGGACAGCCAGGUCAACCAGCAGUUGACACCUUUGUUAAGUUUCUCUGGCGACCUGGUCCAACCGGUCGGUAGUGUAAAACUGCCAAUUACCUUCGGCACCGCGCCAAGGAAAACGACGGUAUACGAUCAGUUCCUCAUCGUUGACUGCCCAACAGCAUACAUCGUCAUAGUUGGACGAACGGCACUCACCAGGGUCAAGGCACAUCUUUCCCCCCACAUGCUAUUGAUGAAGUUCCCGACCCCCAACGGCACAGGGGCUGUCCUAGGAAAUCAGUUAAGCGCGCGGACUUGCUACGCCACGGCCCUCAAGUCAACCUCUUUCAAAAUCCCCGACGAGACCAUGUCAGUACAGGGGAUACCAAACGGUACGGGACCAGUUGACGACCCAAGAGAUGAGUCCCCAACUCCUCACACACAACCUGCCGAAGAACUGGAGACGAUAACCCUGAGCGAAGAGCAGCCCGAUCGUCGGGUUAGAAUCGGCACCAAACUCACCCCUGCCCUCCGAGUGCAGUUCAUAGACUUCUUGCGGCGCCAUUUGGAAGUGUUCGCAUGGUCCUACGAAGAUAUGCCCGGCAUAGACCUCGAGAUCAUCAGCCAUAAACUCAGCAUUUCCCCAGCUUAUAAGCCUGUGAGACAGAAGCGCCGUUCGUAUGAUGCCGAACGAUAUGAUGCCAUGCGCACAGAGGUUGACAAACUUCAAACUAUCGGCUUCAUCAGGGAGGCUACAUAUCCGGUAUGGCUGGCAAAUUUGGUGAUGGUCCGGAAGGCUACAGGCGGUUGGCGAAUGUGCCAAGACUAUACCGAUCUGAACAAGGCCUGCCCGAAGGACAGCUUUCCGUUGCCACGGAUAGACCAGCUCGUGGACGCCACCGCCGGACACGAACUGCUCAGCUUCAUGGACGCCUAUUCGGGAUACAAUCAGAUAUUGAUGCACCCUUCCGACAGCGAACACACCGCCUUCAUAACAGACAGAGGAUUGUACUGUUACAAUGUCAUGCCGUUCGGCCUGAAGGACGUGGGGGCAAUGUAUCAGAGGCUUGUCAACAGAAUUUUCGCCAAAUACAUCGGCAGCAUCAUGGAGGUUUACGUUGACGACAUGUUAGUGUUUGGGCCCAAAUUCGGCACGCCCAAAGCCCUAAAAACAGGCCCAGAGUAAAAUUGCUUGCCCAGCCCAAAGACUUGAGAAAAACAAAAAUAUGAUCCAGGCAGAUUGGGCUUCACACCAAGAAUGUUGAAAACAAAGCUUCAAAGCCUCAGCCCAAAAGAAGGGCCCAAUAAGGAAGCUGACAAAAUGAACUUCAAGAGAUCAGCCCAUAAAUUUUGAUUGGGUUCAAACCCAAGAAAGAAAAAAAACUCACAUGUUUGUCACGUAAUUAUCUCAACGUUGAAAAAUCAGCAAUUCCAACUAAAGUUUAAAAUAUAAAGGGGACAUUUCUAAGACACUGCCGACAAGAAGAUCAAAAACCCAGCUGUGUUCAAGAUCUACCAUCUCCCAAGGAAUUCACAGGCCACGCUUCCUAAGCUAAAGCAGAAAAAAGGGAACUGUUCCAAGAAAUACAAAAGAGAAGAACCAAACCGCCAUAAAAAGCCCACACAGACAAUGACAUCAGAGAAAUGCCACCCAAGAAACCAGGGAAGAAACUGCUUUAGGAGGUGACUGCGUGGAGUUUGUCUGCCAUGACUGAUAAAGAUCUUUUUACUUUACGAUGUAAGAGAUUUUUUUGUGCCGCCCAUUAUUUUAACAUCACAGGUCUCUUAUAAAAGACGAAGGCAAGCAAGGAAGCAAGGACAUCAACACAACAACAUCAAAAACAUACACUCAAACUCAUCAAACAAAUGAGAAAACAGCUUUAGAUCAGAACUCCAAAGUUCAGACUUAGAAAAUAAGUCUUCUGAAAACGAGAUCCCUCUCGUUACAAAUUUGGUUCAGCAAAAGCCAAGACAAACACAGUUUGAGUUUUCACAAAAUAUGAAAACCUCAACAAAUUUUACAGCAUAGUUCCAGCCUGCUAAAUUCUCGAGAAUAGCCACUUCUGUCCCUUCAAACUGAAGAAGUCGCAGUUCUGCCCGCUCAAAAAGUCUCCCAAGGCUUGAAGUAGAUUGAAGCUCUGCCAAAAUCGAACUUUGGUAUCGAUUUAUAGCUGAAGCCAAGAAGCUAAAGUUGUGGACAGUACAGUCCAGCAUAGACGUGCCCAGUCCAGCCCGGAUCAGAAGUUUCUACCCAGGCAGAAAUGGGAUUUCAGCCAUCCUGUUUGCCUUUCUAGAGUUGAUUUCUCCCUGUUUAAUUUUGUAAAAGGCAGUUUUGCCUGAAACAGUGCUUUAUUGUUAUCUAUUCUGGCCAGAACAACCAUUUUGAUACUGAGAUAAAUUGUGAAAGUCCUCACCAGUCUGAGGCAAGAAAAGAACUUACUUGGGAGAUAUUCCUCACCCAAAUUCACAAUCGUUUGUUUUAGAAGUCAGUAACUUGAGGCGCAAGUUAUCCACUCUAAAAAUAAGUCUGCUAGAAUUUACAUUGCUAGCAGUGGCACGCUCGCACACCAAAGAAAGCUGACCUGUCGACCAACUAGUGGUCUCCAAGUCAGUGGGGAACUUCGCCCUUCCACCUCAAGAGUGGAACGCGCAAAACGGGUGAACAAUUUGGCACGCCCAGUGGGACUUCUCAGUAUACAUAUUCUGACGAAAUCAGUCACAGAUUUACAAAAACCGGAAGAUCUAGUCAGAACCCACACCAGAUAUGGAGAAAAACAAGAUGGUUCUUAGGGAAGGCCUCGAGUCAGAAGAAAGUGAUGCUAGGCAUUCUGCCCACGGCAGUACAGGAAGUAGACGUUCCAGGACUGGCUCCAAAAGGAUGGAUCAAAUGCAGGAGUCAGUACUCCGACAAGAGAUCACAGUACAAAGGAACCAGGACACUCUCAAUAACAUGACAGCCAUGAUGCAAUGGCAGGUAAACAGACAAUUCCGGAAGGACCGAGAAUCCGCCUUGGCCAGAACUCCAAACCCAGAUCCUGUAAUCCAGCAGUUGGAUCUCCCUUAUGGCCCUCCGCCAGGACUAAUAUGGCCAUACCAGGAAAAUCCCCUAAUUGCACAGAUGGCUGCAGUGCCAGACCACAGAGAAAUUCAGGCUGGUCCGAGGGAAAGAGCCCUUCCUAAUCAAGAGUAUGAGGCCCCAGCCCAACCAGACAACCUGGCACUGGCUCAGAACCAGCCAGAACCUCAGCCCAUUCCACAUCAUGCGCCCCCGCUUGAUCAACCUCUGGCACUUCUGCCUGAGCCACCGGCAGUAUUACCAUAUAGACCCAGAAGGAUGGACCCUAAUCCAUUCCCUCCACUUGCAAGAGGGAGGAGAGGCCGAGGAGGGAACAACCUUUUGGCUAAUCAUGACAGGAAUAGACAGGGGGCAAACUGGAGGAAUCAUCCAGAAGUCGAAGAGCAGGAAGAACACAGGGAGGAAGUUCCACCCAGACCACUCAGGGCAGAACCCAGGUUUGAUUACGUUCAGCCAGAACAGGGACAAAAUUUUCCCCCAGCCAAUGCUUUAAAUGACGUAGGGGCAUUACGAAGAAUGGUCAGAGAGAUCAUGGAACCCGAGGCUAGAAGAGGGGAAAGGCCUACUUACAGAAAGCCAUACCCAGCCUACAUCGAUCAAAUACCAUUGUCUCCAGGUUUCAAAGUGCCAAACUUCACUUUGUUCAACGGGGAAGACCCCCAUGCUUCCUCAGUCGAACAUAUAGGCAGGUUCUCCGUCCAAUGCAUAGCUAUAGAAAACAACCCUCUGCUGAAAUUAAGGCUUUUUGGCAACUCUCUCUCUGGGCAAGCUUUUACCUGGUACACCAGUCUGCCAGCUAACUCUGUUCAAACCUGGGAACAGAUGGAAAAUGUCUUCCAUGACUACUAUUACAGGAUUCAGCCAGAAGUCACCAUCAGUGAUCUAGCUGCCCUCAAGCAGAGUGAAGAUGAACCGGCGCAAGAUUUUAUAACCAGGUUCAGAAGACUCAAGAUGAAGUGCCGAAUCCCAAUGGAAGAAAGACACUUCAUCCAGAUGGCCCAAGCUGCCCUUAAAAUCUCCCUCAGGAAGAGGUUCGACGGGAUAUUAUUCGGAGAUCUGACAGAACUGGCUGAUAAGGCAUCCAAAUAUGAAGAGCUACUCAGGGAAGAACAGCAAAGGAGGAACUCCUCCAAAGGUACAUACUAUAAAACCCCUUCUUCUUCAGUCCACCUGAUCGAGGUGGAAUCACCAGAAGACACAGAAGAAUCAGAAGAAAAAGAGGUUUCAGUGGCGAAAAUGGCAAAACUAAAACAUCCCAUUAGUUGCAAAGCCCUCACAAAGCCACCUAAAGACCAAAAGCCGCCACCAUUCACAGAAGGAUUCGUUCCAAACAAACCAACACAAAACAAGGUUUACUCCUUUGAUUUAACCAAGGUCGAUGCCUUGUUCGACGAAAUGCUACUACAGAAGGCAAUAGAAACGCCUCACAGAAUACCGAAGCCAGAAGAACUCAAGGGCAGACAGUAUUGCAGGUGGCACAACUCUUGGAAUCAUUCUACCAAUAGUUGUGUUGUUUUCAGGGACGUGAUACAAGAAGGAAUAACGGCAGGAAGGCUUAAACUGGCAGAAAAACCACCAUCGGUCAUAACGGAUCCUUUUCCUCAACCUCAAGUUAAUAUGGUCAACUUAAAUUGGCCAGAACAGAGGAAAACCCAGCCAAUCACAGAUACCGGUUGCAGCAGAGGCAGAAGUAUCAUAAGAGAGACUAGUCAAAUACCAAGAGCGACCAUCUCGGCUUGGGUAGUGCUCUGCGGUAGGUGCAAAUGUGAAACAGAACUAGAGGUGGUUCUAAACAGACAAAAUCAGCCCACACCUAGUGUCUUUGAUAGGAUUGGAACCUCAUCCCAAGACAAAACGAGGCAGAAGAGUUGUCUUAAGCCUACACAGUACAGCGAGAGGAAGAUGGAGCAGCCCAGAAAGGAAAUACCAGUCAAGGCACCCGGGAACGAAAAGCCCUUGGCAACAAUCAUAGAAGGAAGAUGGUAUUCCGUAGGAAGGAGUGGUAGACCAACUCUGGAGCUGACCAGAACUCAGAAAAGGAGAAUCCAGAGGCAAUACUGCACAUAUCUUAAGAGCCAGGAUAAUGCGCAGGUACGUUCACAACCCAGUUCUGCCAGGAAAGGAAGAAAUCCUGAAAUACUUCCCCAGACAGAACAGAAAGCUUGCCAGUCAGGGGAAUUGCUGAAAACAGAACCACCAGCCGAGUCUUCUAUCCAUGUAACCUCGUCGUCCAGCAGCUGUCCUGACACCACGCAGGUACCAGAGAAAUCCAGGUCUACCCCGUCACAAGGAGAAGACGACUACACUGAGGAAUAUGAACAAGAGCAAUUGGACUAUGAACCUUCUGCAGAUGAUCAGAAAGAGCCCUUCGAAGUAGCAGAACAGGAUGACUGGACGGAAGAAUACGGGGAAGAAUUAAUGGAAUUAGGUGAAGAAUUGGACCCAGAAGCAGAAGCUUUUGGCGCAGAAUUAGAAGACCUCCUACAGGGUGAUCUGGGAAUUAACAUGGUAUUCAUCCUACCAGGUAAAUUCAGGGCUGUCGAGGGACAAGAAAGCACUCUGGAAGGAGAUGUUUUUUCUCAGGAAAGCUUUGAGUGUAGAUUGGCAGAAGCAGAGGAGCCACCAGAACCACAAGUAGACAACUCCAGGACAGGCAGAACAGCCAACAAACCAGCUACAGAGCAACCUUGCUUCGCCAAGCCAACCAGAGAAAUGGCAAAUCACCUCAGACCUUUGUUUAUAACGGCAAAUCUUGGGGGUAUUCCUAUUUCCAAGAUCAUGGUAGAUGGAGGUGCAGCCAUUAAUCUAUUACCCCACAGAAUGCUGACCAGGUUAGGCAGAACAGAGAAAGAUCUGAUUCCAACACGGUUGACCGUCACCAACUUCGCUGGGGGCAUGACCAAAAUAUAUGGCAUCUUAGAUGUGGAUGUCAUAGUCGGGAGAAAAGAGUUGAAAAUAGCAUUUUUUGUGAUAGACACUACUUCCACCACCUACAAUGCACUACUUGGCAGGGAUUGGAUCCACCAGAGCCUUUGUAUUCCUUCCACCCUCCACCAGCAGUUAGCAUUAUGGAAUGAAGAAGGCUGCAUGGAGAUUAUAGAGGCCGAUCCACGGCCAUUCCUGCCCUCUGCCAUGUGCUUUGAAGCAAGGUACUAUCAUGAUGACCUCGGUCCCUACACUUUCCUUGGAGUCAAUCAGAACGGCCGCCCCCAUGGUGUCACGGCCCAAAGACUCAUUGAAGAAGGCUUAGCCAGUUCUCUGGAGGACUGGAAUAGACCUUUUUGUGCUGAACUUCCAGAACUCUGAUGUUUAGUCCCAAUCAACUGGAUAAGGAUCGAGCUGCAACAAUCCGAUCCAUCACAAAAAGAUUGUUGAUAUACUGGGGAGAAAAGAGGCUUUUCAUACAGAAUCCAGCCAUCAAUAUGGCAGAAUUCACCCAUGAAAGCACAAAAGAACAAGAGGAGGAAAUUUUACAGGAGGAAGUAUUAGAUUUUGCACCGGCAGCACUAGAUGACUCCCUGCCAGAAGUAGAGGAUCCUCUACAGGAGAUAAACUUAGGGACAGAAGAAGAUCCAAGGCCUACUUUCAUCAGCACACUGUUAAAGGAACCACUCAAGGCUGAACUCAUCGCACUUUUGCAGGAGUUCAGAGAUUGUUUUGCUUGGCAUUACCACGAGAUGCCAGGAUUGGACAGGCAGUUAGUAGAGCACAAGCUGCCAAUUAAAGAUGGCUACCUUCCAGUCAAACAGGCCAGAAGAAGAAUGUCUAUAGACACAGAACUAAAGGUCAAAGAAGAAAUAGAAAGACUGCUCAAGGCAGGAUUCAUCAGGCCAGCCAUCUAUGCCGAUUGGUUAGCAAAUAUUGUACCUGUUCUCAAAAGAAAAACAGGGGCAGUUAGAAUCUGCGUAGAUUACAGAAAUCUGAAUGAGGCAUCUCCUAAAGACGAAUAUCCUAUGCCAAUGGCAGACAUGCUAGUAGAUGGAGCCGCUCAUAACCAGAUGCUAUCUUUCAUGGACGGCAACGCAGGUUAUAACCAGAUUAUGAUGGCAGAACAGGACAUCCACAAGACAGCCUUUAUGUGUCCAGGACAUAUAGGUGCUUUCGAAUAUACUGUAAUGCCUUUCGGUUUGAGAAAUGCAGGAGCCACCUAUCAAAGGGCAAUGAAUUCUAUUUUUCAUGAUAUGAUAGGACAUUCCUUGGAAGUAUACAUAGAUGACGUGGUGAUUAAAUCCCCUGAAGAAGGAAAUCACGUGGCAAGCUUAAGAAAGGCGUUCCUAAGAAUGAGGCAGCACAAACUAAAAAUGAACCCCAAAAAAUGUGUUUUUGGAGUCCAAGCAGGAAAUUUCUUAGGAUUCUUGGUCCACCAGAGAGGUAUAGAGGUUGACAAAAAUAAAGCAAAAUCCAUCAUAGAAGCUCUACCUCCUCGGAACAAGAAGGAACUUCAAAGUCUCUUAGGAAAAAUCAAUUUUCUAAGGAGAUUCAUAUCCAAUUCUGCAGGAAAAAUCCAACCUUUUUCUUCCCUGUUAAGGCUGAAGCAGGAACAGACAUUCAAAUGGGAAGAACAACACCAACAGGCUUUCCAAGAAAUAAAGCAUUACCUUUCGAAUCCGCCAGUUCUGUCCCCACCAAAAAGGGGCAGACCCCUCAAACUUUAUGUAUCUGCAUCAGAGGUAUCUAUUGGAAGUCUGCUAGUUCAAGAUAACAAAGAAGGGAAAGAACAGGCAGUCUACUAUCUAAGCAGAACAUUGACAGAAGUGGAGAGAAGGUAUUCCGCGAUAGAAAGGCUUUGUCUGGCCUUAUAUUUCACUGCUGUAAAGCUCAGGCACUACAUGCUGCCACAUACUAUUUACAUCAUUGCCAAAACAGACCUAAUCAAAUACAUGCUAACAAGACCAAUGCUGAGGGGCAGAAUUGGGAAGUGGACUUUGGCUUUGACAGAAUUCACCUUCAGAUAUGUUCCCCAGAAAGCUGUCAAAGGACAAGCUGUGGCAGAUUUCUUGGCAGAUCACCCAGGAGAGGAAAUUGAAAACAUGGAUUCUUUGGACAUAGCAAAUGCAGAUCUGCUAACUAGAGCUCAUGUUUGCCUUAACAAUCCAAUUUACUCGAUUCAUCUCACACCUUGGAAAUUAUAUUUUGAUGGAUCAAAGACAGACAAGGCUUCAGGAGCAGGGAUUGUGCUAGAAGAACCCUUAGGGGUCAGACAUUGCUAUUCCUUCCAAUUAGAUUUCAAUGCACUAACAACAGGGCCGAGUAUGAAGCUUUGAUUAUAGGGCUCGAGAUGUUGGUAGAACUAGGAAUCCAAUCCGUGGAGAUCUUGGGAGAUUCCAUGCUUGUCCUAAAACAGAUUGCUGGAGAGUACAAGUGUCUAAACCCUUCUCUAGCUGUAUAUCUGCUAGCAGCUAGAAAUCUGCUAACAGAAUUUAGAGAAGCUACUUGGGAGCACAUCCCAAGAGAAGAAAACUUUGCAGCCAAUGAACUGGCUCAGGUAGCAUCAGGUAUACAAAUGCCCGAAGACUGUGUCCAAAGGAUCAUCAAGAUAGGAAGGAAAAGUCUACCAUCUGUUCUGACCAGAGGAAUGGAGAUAGAAGUCAAUUCUGCCUUGAUCACGGAAGAUGAUUGGAGGGAGCCUAUCAUGACUUACUUACGAUAUCCCACUCUGCCCUCUAAAAAAAGAGUCAGAAUCAUGGCUACAAACUAUCUCAUGUGGAAUGAAGAUUUGGUCCGGAAAAGUAAGGAUGAGGUACUGUUAAGGUGCCUCGGAAAGACAAAAUACAUGAAAGUCAUGGGAGAAACCCAUGAGGGGAUCUGUGGAGCUCACCAAGGGGGAAGAAAGAUGUGCUGGUUAAUCAGAAGGUAUGGCUAUUUCUGGCCAACCAUGAUGAAGGAUUGCAUCAACUAUUCCAAAGGAUGUGAAGCCUGUCAAAGGCACGGCCCAAUCCAGCAGGUUCCUUCGGUUCCCAUGAAUCCUGUAGUAAAACCAUGGCCUCUCAGGGGAUGGGCAAUGGAUCUCAUUGGCAAAAUCUAUCCAGCCAGCAGCCAGCAGCAUUGUUUUAUCAUUGUUGCUACAGACUAUUUCACCAAAUGGGUAGAAGCCAAGCCAAUCAAAACCACAACUUCUCAAGAGAUCAUCACCUUUAUAGAAGAACAGAUCAUACAGAGAUUCGGCAUUCCAGAAUCGAUCACAACUGAUAGGGGUUCUUCUUUCAUAUCUAGGGAGAUGCUAGAUAUGGCAGAAACAUUCAAGUUCAAGCUGCUUCAAUCUACCCCCUAUUAUGCUCAAGCUAAUGGACAGGCAGAAUCAAGUAACAAGGUGAUUAUCAAUAUCAUCAGAAAGAUGCUGGAGAAGAAUCCGAAGCAAUGGCAUGAGAAAUUGUCAGAAACUUUGUGGGCAUACAGAACUUCAAAAAGAGAAGCAACUGGCAUGACUCCCUAUGCUCUGACCUACGGUCAUGAUGCAAUUCUGCCCAUGGAAAUAGCAGUCCAGUCUCUUAGAAUUGCUCACCAGCACGAUCUCACAGGAGAAGAUUACUCUCAAGCCAUGCUACUUGAAUUAGAAGAAUUGGAUGCAAGCAGGAUUGACACCCUCAACAAACUCUUAGCAGGAAAACAGGCUGUGUCAAGGGCCUACAACAAAAGAGUCAAAAACAAGAGUUUUGAAGAGGGAGAGAUAGUCUGGAAGGCAAUUCUGCCCCUUGGAACACACAUAGCUGGAUAUGGAAAAUGGUCACCUCGGGAUGGGGGCAUACAGGUUGCAGGACCGAGAUGGAGUUGUUCAUUUUGCCCCAAUCAAUGGUAAAUGGUUAAAGAAGUUCUAUCCAACCAUGUGGGAUUCACAGGCUGUACAAACGGAUCCUGGGAUAGAAGAGGAACAAGAUUGACCCUUUUGUUUCUUGAAAAGGAAUCUUGUUUAGAUUUAUUUUUACUUUAAAGUUGUCCAGUUUUUUACUUUCACAACCGUGUCCGGAGAAUAAAAAGCAGUAAAAAUGCUUUGAAAGCUUAUAUAAAAAUAGCCACCUUCGCGGCAAAUUAUUCGAACAAAAGAAAGAAGAAGCUAAAAUCCUAGCUUUCUAAGAGUCUCCUGUAGGUUUACUUUCUUGACAGACAGUUCUUUCUGGAGCAGCACCCCCUGGUGAAUUGAAGCCUCUGCAAUUUCCAAGGCUGGCCUGGAAGCUGCAACCAUACUCUGCACAAGAAAGGUGGCUUUGGUUUUGGAACUUAGCCCAGCCCCAAGCUUGUUCUGCACCUCCCUACACUCUGCCAGCUGCUUUUGGAGUUCUUCAAUCUGCUUCUCCAACUUAUCCGCGGUAGCCUUGGCCUCCUUAUAUCCAGCCACCAUCUGAUCCAGUUCUGUUUUCUGCCUAGCAAAAUCAGCCAGAUUGGCUUCAUGUGUGGCCUUACAGAACUCAGAAGUUUUGAACGUAGGCUUAAGAUCUUCAUAGCGAUCAUGCAGAUUAAGCACAUCCCUGGCCAGGCUUAGGCCCAUCUCAAGAAUAGGCCUCGGAGCCAUGUUCUGUCUAUGCAGCAGAUCCAGGUCCUUCAUCAGCUGAUCUAGAGCCCCUGUAUCUUCAUCAAAUUCCAGCUCAGUGGACUGCCAGAUUUUUAACCUCUCCAUGGCCUCCUGCACUGCUCUAGAUUUUGCCUUGCUCGGAGGAGAGCUGAGUUUCUCCAGCCUCUCCAGUUGAGCAUCCAGAUCCAUGGCUUCAAAUUCUUCCAGCUCUGGAUCAGCAAAAGAAGCCGUGGCAGAUGAUCCUGGAAAGGAAUGAAUAGGCAUCUGCAGAGGAGAACAUAAGUUAAAAACCAGACAGAAAGUGGAAAAUAAAGGAGGCUCAAAGUUAUAAAAACUUACAGCGACAAUGGGAGGUUUUAGGGGGCUGGAUACCGCAGCCAGAGCACCAGUAGCCUUAGGCACUUCCACCUGGAAAGACUACAACCGUUAGAACAGACAGGACAGACAGAACAGCAGGAAAACAUGAACAGUCAAGGAGGAAAAUUACCACAACCACAGGAGCAGUUGCAGUCGUUCCCACCUCAGCCUCCGGAACCACAACAGUCAAUUCUGCCUGGUCCACGGGGUCUGAUGCAGAUGGCCCCACCUGAUCCUCGGCCUCUGGAGCGGCAGUAGAGUGUUCUGCCUCAGCAUCCUCAAAGAGAGCCAGUUCUGAGCUGGUCAGCUCAGCCCUUGGACCCCCUUGUUGCUUCUGUGCCAAGGCAAUGCUCUCUGCAAUCACCUCAGCAGGAAUCUCCUCCUGCAGAACGGGGGUCAGAACGAAAGAAACAGGGCAAGAAGGAAACUGAUGCCAAAUCGUAAAAUAAAACCUACNNNNNNNNNNNNNNNNNNNNNNNNNNNNNNNNNNNNNNNNNNNNNNNNNNNNNNNNNNNNNNNNNNNNNNNNNNNNNNNNNNNNNNNNNNNNNNNNNNNNNNNNNNNNNNNNNNNNNNNNNNNNNNNNNNNNNNNNNNNNNNNNNNNNNNNNNNNNNNNNNNNNNNNNNNNNNNNNNNNNNNNNNNNNNNNNNNNNNNNNNNNNNNNNNNNNNNNNNNNNNNNNNNNNNNNNNNNNNNNNNNNNNNNNNNNNNNNNNNNNNNNNNNNNNNNNNNNNNNNNNNNNNNNNNNNNNNNNNNNNNNNNNNNNNNNNNNNNNNNNNNNNNNNNNNNNNNNNNNNNNNNNNNNNNNNNNNNNNNNNNNNNNNNNNNNNNNNNNNNNNNNNNNNNNNNNNNNNNNNNNNNNNNNNNNNNNNNNNNNNNNNNNNNNNNNNNNNNNNNNNNNNNNNNNNNNNNNNNNNNNNNNNNNNNNNNNNNNNNNNNNNNNNNNNNNNNNNNNNNNNNNNNNNNNNNNNNNNNNNNNNNNNNNNNNNNNNNNNNNNNNNNNNNNNNNNNNNNNNNNNNNNNNNNNNNNNNNNNNNNNNNNNNNNNNNNNNNNNNNNNNNNNNNNNNNNNNNNNNNNNNNNNNNNNNNNNNNNNNNNNNNNNNNNNNNNNNNNNNNNNNNNNNNNNNNNNNNNNNNNNNNNNNNNNNNNNNNNNNNNNNNNNNNNNNNNNNNNNNNNNNNNNNNNNNNNNNNNNNNNNNNNNNNNNNNNNNNNNNNNNNNNNNNNNNNNNNNNNNNNNNNNNNNNNNNNNNNNNNNNNNNNNNNNNNNNNNNNNNNNNNNNNNNNNNNNNNNNNNNNNNNNNNNNNNNNNNNNNNNNNNNNNNNNNNNNNNNNNNNNNNNNNNNNNNNNNNNNNNNNNNNNNNNNNNNNNNNNNNNNNNNNNNNNNNNNNNNNNNNNNNNNNNNNNNNNNNNNNNNNNNNNNNNNNNNNNNNNNNNNNNNNNNNNNNNNNNNNNNNNNNNNNNNNNNNNNNNNNNNNNNNNNNNNNNNNNNNNNNNNNNNNNNNNNNNNNNNNNNNNNNNNNNNNNNNNNNNNNNNNNNNNNNNNNNNNNNNNNNNNNNNNNNNNNNNNNNNNNNNNNNNNNNNNNNNNNNNNNNNNNNNNNNNNNNNNNNNNNNNNNNNNNNNNNNNNNNNNNNNNNNNNNNNNNNNNNNNNNNNNNNNNNNNNNNNNNNNNNNNNNNNNNNNNNNNNNNNNNNNNNNNNNNNNNNNNNNNNNNNNNNNNNNNNNNNNNNNNNNNNNNNNNNNNNNNNNNNNNNNNNNNNNNNNNNNNNNNNNNNNNNNNNNNNNNNNNNNNNNNNNNNNNNNNNNNUUAACUCGGGGAAAUAUACUGCAGCCAGAUCUGGAUCAUCCAGAAUGCGCCAGGGGCAGACAGGUUCAGCGGAUUUUCCAGAGUGGCGGUAUGCAGAUUCUUGAAAAGGUGGGCCAGAACUGUUGCUCCAAGCCCCACAUCAGUGUGAUUGUGAAGAGCUUCUGCCAGAUGUCUAUACUCAAGCAGAACUGCAGAGGACCGAUUGGGGAAAACGAAUCGGUUCAGCCAAUACAGAAGGAACAACAUAUGUUGCUGGUCCUUGUCCUUCUCAGCACUGAAUUUCUUCAGAUAGUUGGAGAAGGAGCAGUUCUGGUUGAUCACAGCUGGGGGGAUAACAAAGGGGGUGGCCACUUUCUCUUGAUUCCUCCGCCUGUGAUAGUCUCCAACAGCAUCAACAGGUCUGCCAUGGGGCCUAAACCCAAAAAUCUGAGCCAUGUCCAGCAGAGUUGGAGCCAUGGGACCCACACGGAAAUCAAACGUGUUGCUGGCAGAAUUCCAGAAACACAGGGCAGCAACAAGCAGGUUCUCAUCUCUGUUAAUCGACUGCUUGGACAGAAGAAUAGCGUCAUAAAUCCCAGCUCUCCUCCAGUGACCCCCAUAUCUCGGGAGAAGUCUGUCAAUCCAGUCUGCCCAUUUGACGGAACUGUUCCUCACCUCGCUGGACGGGAAAGAUCGACUCAGAUUCUUGCUAACCCAAGAAUGAUGGGCCAGGGCAGAAGAGCUCUCAAAACACAAAGGAGCCUCCGCAUCCUUUUUUAGCAAUUCUGCCAUCUCAGCUGGAACAGGACCAAACCAAUGAGGCCCUAACACGAGGGUGUUCUCGAACAGAUGAAGGACAUUCUCGUCCAGAUUCUUUUGAGCAAAAGGGUGAAGCUUGCUCCUGACCUCUAUCGCGUGGGCAUCAAUCCCGCUCCCAGUGAUAUAAUCGGGAGGAAUUGAAGCGGAGGAGGAUUGAGCACGGGACCUUGGGGAAGACAUCUCUGAUUCGAAGGCAGAAACAGAAGAAGGAGAGGUUUGAAGAAAGAUAUCUCGAAAGAAGCUCGCAGGAACGAGAGUUGGAAGGUUUAGGGUUUUCAGAGGCUAUGAAUUUGAAUUUCUUUUAAAGAAGAGCUCGAAAACGUGGGAAGAGGACGAAAACGUGGGAAGAGGAAGAUGGGACGACACCUGAUGAUUAUUAGCUAGUAACUAGCCAUUUUCCCACGAACUCUAGUUCGUAGCAAGCAGACGUGGCAGACGUAGGCGAAAAGACGGAAGAAACUGGCGCGCGAAUUAAUUGGCAAAACAUUAAGUCUAAAACCGUCCAAGAAACGAUUCAGACUUAAUGGGGGCAUUGUUUGGGCCCAAAUUCGGCACGCCCAAAGCCCUAAAAACAGGCCCAGAGUAAAAUUGCUUGCCCAGCCCAAAGACUUGAGAAAAACAAAAAUAUGAUCCAGGCAGAUUGGGCUUCACACCAAGAAUGUUGAAAACAAAGCUUCAAAGCCUCAGCCCAAAAGAAGGGCCCAAUAAGGAAGCUGACAAAAUGAACUUCAAGAGAUCAGCCCAUAAAUUUUGAUUGGGUUCAAACCCAAGAAAGAAAAAAAACUCACAUGUUUGUCACGUAAUUAUCUCAACGUUGAAAAAUCAGCAAUUCCAACUAAAGUUUAAAAUAUAAAGGGGACAUUUCUAAGACACUGCCGACAAGAAGAUCAAAAACCCAGCUGUGUUCAAGAUCUACCAUCUCCCAAGGAAUUCACAGGCCACGCUUCCUAAGCUAAAGCAGAAAAAAGGGAACUGUUCCAAGAAAUACAAAAGAGAAGAACCAAACCGCCAUAAAAAGCCCACACAGACAAUGACAUCAGAGAAAUGCCACCCAAGAAACCAGGGAAGAAACUGCUUUAGGAGGUGACUGCGUGGAGUUUGUCUGCCAUGACUGAUAAAGAUCUUUUUACUUUACGAUGUAAGAGAUUUUUUUGUGCCGCCCAUUAUUUUAACAUCACAGGUCUCUUAUAAAAGACGAAGGCAGGCAAGGAAGCAAGGACAUCAACACAACAACAUCAAAAACAUACACUCAAACUCAUCAAACAAAUGAGAAAACAGCUUUAGAUCAGAACUCCAAAGUUCAGACUUAGAAAAUAAGUCUUCUGAAAACGAGAUCCCUCUCGUUACAAAUUUGGUUCAGCAAAAGCCAAGACAAACACAGUUUGAGUUUUCACAAAAUAUGAAAACCUCAACAAAUUUUACAGCAUAGUUCCAGCCUGCUAAAUUCUCGAGAAUAGCCACUUCUGUCCCUUCAAACUGAAGAAGUCGCAGUUCUGCCCGCUCAAAAAGUCUCCCAAGGCUUGAAGUAGAUUGAAGCUCUGCCAAAAUCGAACUUUGGUAUCGAUUUAUAGCUGAAGCUAAGAAGCUAAAGUUGUGGACAGUACAGUCCAGCAUAGACGUGCCCAGUCUAGCCCGGAUCAGAAGUUUCUACCCAGGCAGAAAUGGGAUUUCAGCCAUCCUGUUUGCCUUUCUAGAGUUGAUUUCUCCCUGUUUAAUUUUGUAAAAGGCAGUUCUGCCUGAAACAGUGCUUUAUUGUUAUCUAUUCUGGCCAGAACAACCAUUUUGAUACUGAGAUAAAUUGUGAAAGUCCUCACCAGUCUGAGGCAAGAAAAGAACUUACUUGGGAGAUAUUCCUCACCCAAAUUCACAAUCGUUUGUUUUAGAAGUCAGUAACUUGAGGCGCAAGUUAUCCACUCUAAAAAUAAGUCUGCUAGAAUUUACAUUGCUAGCAGUGGCACGCUCGCACACCAAAGAAAGCUGACCUGUCGACCAACUAGUGGUCUCCAAGUCAGUGGGGAACUUCGCCCUUCCACCUCAAGAGUGGAACGCGCAAAACGGGUGAACAGUUAGUAAAAAGCAGAACUGCCGAAGAACACCUGGACAAUUUGUCAAUCAUGUUCGGCAUACUGAAAGACAACCGGAUGAGGCUGAACUCGAUGAAAUGCGCCUUCGGUGUAUCUUUCGGGAAAUUCCUCGGAUUCAUGAUUAGUCACAGGGGCAUCGAAGCGAAUCCCGAAAAAAUAAAGGCAAUCAUCGACAUGGAAAGGCGAAGACAACGAAGGACAUUCAAAGCCUUACCGGACGCGUCGCGACCUUGACUCGCUUCAUAUCAAAGGCUACCGACAAAUGUGUACCGUUCUUUAAAGCCUUGAAAGGGGGCAAACGGAAUAUCAUAUGGACUGCCGAGUGUGAUAAAGCGUUUCAAGACUUAAAGGACUACAUGGGCAAAGCACCCCUUUUAUCAAAACCACUACCUGGGGAGAUUCUCUCCUUAUACCUUUCGGUAUCUGGCACUGCCGUCAGUUCAGUAUUGAUUCGAAACCAGAGAAAGCAGAGUUACCGAUUUUCUAUGUCAGUAAGGCACUCCAGAGUGCUGAACUUCGGUAUCCCCCAUUAGAGCAACUUGCACUAGCCUUGGUGGUCUGGGCACGAAGACUUCGGCCAUACUUUCAAGCACACGGAAUCAAAGUUCUGACUAACCAACCGCUCCGGCAGGUGCUCCAAAAACCAGAGACUUCUGGCCGAUUGAUCAAAUGGGCGAUCGAACUCGGAGAAUUCGACAUACAGUUCAUUCCAAGGCCCGCCGAAAAGGGUCAGGCUAUGGCCGAUUUCAUCUCCGAACUCACCCCAUCAACAGCACAGCCGACACUCGAGCCGGUAACCGAGACUGGAUUGCCGAAGGAACGAGACGCCGAACGCUUUGACGUCUCAACUCCCGUAUGGAUUCUGCACGUCGACGGCUCGGCAAACUAACAAGGGUGCGGAGCAGGCUUGGUACUGACAACACCGGACGGACUCAAGAUCGAGUACGCCCUCCGAUUCGACUUCUGAACCUCCAACAAUGAAGCGGAAUAUGAGGCUCUCUUGGCCGGCCUUCGGUUAGCCAAGGGCAUGAAUGCAAAACAAAUCAAAAUUCACAGCGACUCCCAGCUCAUUGUGAACCAGGUAACGGCAGACUUCGCAGCCAGAGACGCCUCUAUGCACGCCUACCUUUCGUCUACCCAUCAGCUGCUCCAAAGCUUCCGGGCCUACGAGAUCAAGCAGAUCCCCAGAAGCGAAAAUAGCCAUGCCGAUGCAUUGGCACGGCUGGCUUCGGCAAUCAAUGAUAAAGUCGGAAGAAAGGUGCCGGUAGAGAUUCUUGCCCAACCGAGCACGAUAGCUUCCGAAACGUGUACCGUACGGUAUAAAGAUACAUGGGUGUCUCCUAUCUAGUCGUACCUGAUCAACGGCACCCUUCCAGAAGACAAGGCCCGGGCCCGAAAGCUUAGGUACCGAUCAGCAAGGUACACCGUCAUCAACGACGUCCUUUACAACCGUGGCUACACCACUUCGUAUCUCAAAUGCCUUACGGCAGAACAGGGGGACUACGUCCUUCGGGAGAUCCAUAAUGGUGUGUGCGGCGACCAUUCCGGGUUCCGGUCACUCGCCCACAAAGCCUUUCGGCAUGGAUACUUUUGGCCGACCAUGCACCAGGACGCAAAUUCGCUAGUGAAAAAGUGUGAUAAAUGCCAGCGCUUCGGUAACAUACAGCAUAUCCUUGCCGAACCCCUGACACCGAUCGUGAGUCCUUGGCCCUUCGCACAAUGGGGACUAGACCUGAUCGGUCCGAUGCCGCAGGGCAAAGGCCAGGUGAAAUACGCAGUGGUCGCCGUCGACUAUUUCACCAAAUGGGUAGAAGCCGAACCUCUGGCAACCAUAACGGCAACAAGAGUGGAAGACUUCGUCUGGACUCACAUUUGUUGCAGGUUCGGUAUCCCGUAUGCAAUCAUUACCGACAACGGUAGGCAGUUCGAUUCGGAACUCUUCAGGCAAUUCUGCACCCGCCUGAAAAUCAACUUGUUUUUCGCAUCACCGGCGCAUCCCCAGUCAAACGGUCAAGUCGAAGCAAUAAACAAAAUCAUCAAGAAGCUACUGAAACGGCAGCUGGAUAAGGCUAAAGGAGCUUGGCCGGAGAAGCUUCCCGAAGCACUAUGGGCCAUUCGGACGUCUUACCGAACGUCCACCGAAGAAACCCCUUUUUCCCUUGCUUUCGGUUCGGAGGCCGUGGUGCCCGUGGAAAUAGGCGAACCUUCCUACCGAACGGAAACCUUCGCACCGAAGCCGAAGGAAGAAGCACUUUCUCUAAACCUCGAUCUUCUUGAAAAGCACCGGGCACAUGCCAACCUUCGGAAUGAAGCCUACAAGCAACUUGUCUCUCGGUACUACCACUCUAGGGUCAGACACCGCUCAUUCCGAAUCGGAGACUGGGUCAUGCGGAAGGUAUCCCUAGCAACCAAGGAUGCCACGGAAGUGACUCUCGGACCUUCCUGGGAAGGACCCUAUGAGAUCAUCGGUAUCCUUCGAUCGGGAACCUACCGCCUGAGAGACUCCAACGGUAAGACCCUUGGUCAUCCUUGGAACGUGGAACAUCUCAAAUACUAUUUCAAGUAACCUAGCCUACGGUAGGACAAAGUUGUAACGAUUGGAAUGUAUUUGCCUUUCGGCAGAGAUUAAUAGAAAGCCUUCGGCACUAUUACUUCAGAACCUCUAUUUAAAUUACUCUACCAGCCCACGGCAGCCAAUAGUGGCAAGUUAACGUUCUACGGCAUCUUUAUUAGCCUACGGCAAUAAAUGUUUUUCGAAAUUGUUACCCUACAGAUUCCAUCGGAGCUUAUCAAUUUCGAAGUGUCCCUUUAACGUUAUAAAACCUAUACGGAGCCUUUCGGCGAUAAUACGUUCGACAAUUUAAACACAUGUUCAGAUUGUUCAAACAAUAGUAGAUAAAAACAUGCAUUUGAAUUAGAGAUGCCCUCGGCAUCAAUGUGUUCGGUACAUAAAGAUAGAAAAAACUAAUACAAUUAUUACAAAUAAAACGGCAAGGAGCCUCAAGUUUCAUCGGCAGCGGCAGCCUCGGCAGAACCAGAGCCUUCGGCAGCGUCCUCCCCCUCGUACUCCUCGAUCAUUUCCUCCGGUAGGGGGGAGGGUCGGCGAUGAAGUUCAGGUUCAGCUUUUGCCCAGGGUUGUACCGUUUGAAUUGGUACAAUAGGUCCGCCAUCUCCGAGCCCACUUCCUUAUCCAGAAGGACAGUGAACUCUUCAGACGAGCGGUACCCCUGGAUAGCUGACCCAACGGCAGCCUCGAUCUCCGCAGCCUUGGCCCGCUCCGACUCCUCCAAGGCCACCUGCACCGCCUCUUUGGCAGCCUCGGCAUCCCUCACUGUCGCCAGCGCUGCCUCCAGGAGACCCUUCAUCUCCUCAACCUUCUCCUCUGAAGCUAGAACCUGCCGUUCGGCAGACUCUUUCUCCUUCAGCAAGUGGGCAUGCUCCUGGAGCGCUUUGCCAGCCUCGGCAACCUUGGCCCUACCGUCCUCGUACACCUUCUUGGCGCGCUCGGCAGCAGCAAUGGCCCGCUUGACGCAGAGCCACAUGUCCAUGGACGCUUGCACAAAACAAAGAAAGUCAGAAGCAUGCCCCACUAACAAAAAUAAAGGGACGAACGAAGAAAGAAAAUCUUACCGAGGCCGGAAGCCGGAAGGCGAGUCCAGCCUCCUCCCGAAGAAACUUCUUCGGUAGUUCGUCGAUCUCCGGCAGCUCCAUCUGAGAACCGAGGAUCAUAUGGUUGACGAACUGAACCGUCUUCGCUGGGCAGGCAAUGGUGACGGCUUCGGAAGGGCCGUCCUCGUCGUCCACCGCAAGGACAGCGCUCGGGACCUCCGACUGGCGAGGGCACUUGGAGACUGGCUCGGCCUCCAGAUCGACUGUCUCCGGCCGCUUGCCGGCAGCCUUGGAAGCAGCGGCUUCAGUACCCAUCCGCCUCGGUGCGGAGUCCUCAUCGCCGACCCACCUAAGCACAGGCUCGGCACCCAGCUGCCGCAUACGAUCGGCGAGAGUCUGAUCCUCGGGAUCCACCGCCGCCUGCCGAGCAGAAGCCUCUUCGGGCUGCCUCUUUUUCUUCUUGCCCUCCAGGCCCAUCAUUAGGCGCCUCCUGGAGGACUCGUUCAUCUUCUUCGCCUCGACAGCCUUCCUUGCGUCCGUCACUGGUCAAAAACGUUCGGUCAGUCGGCAAGCAAAAGCAAUAUACGAAAACAAAAAAAAGAGAAGGAAAGAUACACUUACUCUCGGCAGGGUUAACGAGGCCGGCUCUGAUGAGGUUGUCAGUGAAGAGGAAGUGUGGGUAAACUCGCUCGGCAGCGGGUACUCUCAGCCUCACUCUGUCGAGCUGCCGGAUCUCACUCGGCUUGGGGCUCGGCUGCUUGAGUUUACCUGUCAGAAGAAGGAAAAUUAGUAAAAUAAAGCAAGGAAAAAGAAGAGAGAAGAGAAGCCGGCCUAUCAAUCGGUAUUUCGGGAACCUACCGGCAAUCUGAAAUGUCUUGGGGACAGAGUAGCACCCGCCGAUUCCUCCACGACUUUUGAGAAGUCGGCACCGAGCUGAUGAAAUACCCCCGCUCGGAAGCCUUCAGGCAGUUCGCCUGAACCCAGCCGCCGUGAUCGGCGCUCUUGGACUUGGUAAUACUGUAUAAGUACGAGAACUGCUCGUAGGAAGGCUCCCCCUCCUCGGCAAUCCCGAACGCAGCAAUUACCCCCAUCAAGGCCACCCAGAAGUUGAGGUUGUACUAGCCGGGAGCGUACCCGAUCUGGGCAAGGAUCUUCUGCACGGCAGGUUACAACGGCAACCGAACCCCUUGCAGAAGAACGUCGGUGAAGAAGGUCACUUCACCGUCCGCUGGGUCACUGAGGGACUCAACAGGGCUCGGUAUCCUCAUCUUCACCGAGUCCGAAAUGAGGUACUCGGCCCUAAUCCUCUCCAGCUCUCGUUCGGUGAUCUUGUUGGGCUCCAAGUAGUCAACCCCGAACAGAGUCUUCCUAGGCACACCCACCGGUAUCCUAGGCUGCCCUCGGUGGACGAUUGUCACCCUCGGUCGGGAGGGACCGGCAAUGCCCUCACUACGACCGGAGGUGGAGGCCUCAGGUUGAUGCUUAAACGGGCCGACACGGGUACCGUCGUUGCGCACCACGGCCAAGGGUAGCGGUUGCCCCCUCCAUAAGCCCCUUGCCGAUGCCAUGGGUGGGAACGGAGUUCACCUCCUCACCGAAUAAUUCAACAUCGGUGUCUUCUCCACCCUCGGCGUCGAGGCUCACAGCCCCGCUGGACGUAUCCCAUCCCGAUGACAACUCCCCAUCGAACGCGUUGGGCUCACUGCCAAACGGCGACUCGCUAUCGGACAUCUACAAAACAAAGAAAGGGAAGCUAAGGCCCGUGCCACAAACUACCCUACCGAUACCUACGUCGCUACCUAUGGCCACUCGACUACCGAAGGAAGAUCCUACUUAACGUUCGGCUAGCCUAUGCCAUGGAAAGACGUAUAAUUACAUAAAAAGAGAGUAUUCAGGGGAUACCGAAUGGUAUCUUACCUUGAGUAGGGUGGGAUGAUUUGAUCGCUGAUCAGAGACUUCGGAAAUCGCCCUGUAUGCCGAGAACCGCUCUAAAAAAUCGCCUUGAUUGCCGUUCACUCUAUUCAGAAAUCGCCUUGAUUGCCGUUCACUCUCUUCGGAAAUCGCACUCACAGAGCUCUCGCUUCAACUCACAAUUGCAAAGUGAGCCUUACGACCGGAGCAACCUCUAUUUAUAGGGAGAGAGCUGUAACGGUACGCCUCGGGAGACUAAACGGCUCUUUAAUGCGCCGUCAGACGUACUUUUGCUGACCACGUGCCACCCGACGAAUGGAGCCGCUGACUGCAUGCCAGGCACGGAAGACGAAGUGUCUCUCUGCCCUCUCACCUCUCAGCAUCGACGACCCCUCGAGUCCCAUGUCAAUCUCCCACGAACGAGCCUACCGAACGGCAGGUUAACCUCCGAACCGCCAUAGAGAACUAAAUUCCCUUCCGAAGGACCUUCGGAAGAGAACUUGGGGGACUACUGUUUAUACCGGAAAUAAACGGCUUAUGACAACCGAACACGUGGACAGGAUCGAUAUUGGCUGCAGGAACCCUUCGGCAGUUUGCCUUCCGAAGCCAUCUAUCUUGCCCCUUUUUACCAUCGGACACGUGUCAUGCUCACAAUCCAUGUCCACAGUCCCACAUCGGAAAUAUGAGCACAGUGCACACCUCCCAAGGCCUAUUUAAGAAGACCCCUAUCCCCAAAAGGAAGGGAUCAGAACUAACGGUACGCUAUCGAUUGAUCUGUCAGUUAACAUUACUAAAACCGUACUUACUAAAGCAUCGGAGAGCCUUCGGCCAGUACCACACCGGUACCCCAAGGACUUACCGAACCCUUCCUUUUGCAGGUACUUACCCUUCCGAAGUAGAACAUCUUCCGAGGACAGUCACCUACCGAAGGCAUAAUAUCACUAAGUUGACGAAAUACGUGCUGAACCACUUUUUCGCAUCAACAGUGUUCAACCUCAUUAUUCUAAGCUUCGUUGGAGGGCUCGCCUAGGCCACCAACAAUGAUCCGCUGGAGAGGGUCUUUUCUCCGUUCGGUGAGAUCAUUGAAUCGAAGGGCCGUUUGACGCAUGUUCUCUCUCUGCUACUUGAUCUUCUGUUUCUCUAUGUUACUUGAUCUUUCUCUCCCAAAUAUUGAAGAUCGAUCGAUUCCUUUUCAUUUUUGUUUAUUAUUGUGUAUUUGUUUGAUUAUACUCCGGUGUUUUGGUUUUGAUGGACGGAUCUGAUUUGAUUUGGUUUCUUUUGUGUUUCUAGAUCAUCAACGACCGUGAGACUGGGAGGUCCAGGGGCUUCGGCUUCGUCUUCGUCAUCUUCAGCAACAAGAAGGCCAUGAGGGACGCAAUCGAAGGCAUGAACAACCAGAACCUCGACAGUCGUAAGACUGAGACCUACAUUAUUUUGUAGUGUGCCUCAGUUGUACAACAGAAUAUAUGCCGAGUAAUCAUAGUUGGCUGCUACAUUCCCAUAUAUCCACGUACUUACAUUUCAGUUCCUCCAUACCUCAUUAAUUUGCUUUCGCCUUUUACUUUUAUCUCCUUUGAAUUGCUUUAUACAUAUUACCAUUCUUUUUUUCACAGAGUUUACAGAGUUUUAAAUUAAUUUAAAUGAAUUUUACAGAGUUUGCAAGAUACAGUCGCUGGAUUUACAAGUAUGGAUUAUAAAACUCUUGAUCAAUUCGCUUACAAGAUCUGGUAAAAGAGGAGUUUUUAUGUUGUCAUUUAUAUUACAAGUCUUCAGAGUCCUUUAUCCCUUCUGCCAGUCCUGCCUAGUGAGCUGUAUGGUUUCAGAAAAUUCACUAUGUUUGAAUGCUUCGAGAUUUGUAUUUAUAUAUAUGAAAUUACUCUACUGAAAUUUAUAUGCCAUCCAGGGCUUCAAUGAGCGUCUUGUAAUUGCUAGUCGCCUUGCAAUAGGUCUCAUGUUCAAGCAAGUUAGUAUCUAUAUCUUUCUUUUGUUCACCUUCCUUCAAGUACGUGGUCUGAUUAAUUUAUCUGAAUGCCUAUUUCUCUGAAUUAAAAUUGUGGAUAUAGGGCUUUAUGUGUGCCUUUUUGUUUGUUUUUUGUGACUCACUGUCUCUACACCUUUAUGUUUGCCGAUUUGAUGAACUUUAUGAUUAGCACUCGUGGGCUCUCUGAUAUUUCAAUGCUGUUUUAUAACAUUUUGAUAUUACAGUUUCCCUUUUUAAGUACAGCCCCUUGUAAUUAGUGAUUGUUGGCAUAUGGAUGGGAACUAGUCUUUCCAUACUUGUGAGAAGCUGUAUAAAUAUUUCAUGUCUUAACAAUGUGUUUCUUUUCCCAUGGUUAUCCAGACAUUGGAUGUUCUCCUACAAGUACUUGUUGUGUUUCCUAAUGUAGAGACUUUGCGCAGUAGGGUAAGGAGUCGUACAUGGGAUACCAGAAGUACUUUGUUUUGAUAUUUUAUCAUCAGCACUUGUAACCUGAUGCUAGUGUAUGUGGUAUCCAGGUAACAUCAUUUGUACACCAGAUGGUGGACACACUAGGAGCAUCUGUUUUUCCCUACCUCCUAAAGGCACUGGAGCAAUUGCUUGUGGAUAGUGAGGUAUAAAGCAUUUAUAACUAAAUUCUUCUAUUCUGAAUUUUUUUUUGGGGGUUAAAUCUAACUUUGAGAAAAUAAUUUUUGGUAAUAAAUAGAGAACAAAUUUUGGACAGGUACUGUGUCACCAAGAAAUAAAAUUUAGAAAAUAACAGUUCUGUUUCACAUAAGUAUAUUUUGCACCAGUUUGAUGGAUGGAUCUGAUUUGAUUUGUUUUCUAUGACAUGGUAUUAACAGUGUACUUCUAUGACAUAGUAUUAACAUAUUUUCAGUAACAAAGCUUGCUUUAUAUAUAGCUGUGUACAUCAAGUUUAUGACAUGCAGAAUGUGAUUUUUAUUAGGAAGAUAGUUUUAUGACAUAGUAUUAAUAGUGUACUUUUUUUUUUCUUUUUCUUGUAGAGGUAUUUCAUUUUGCCUUUGCGAUUGUAUUAGUGAAACUGUAGACAAUUGGAUAUGGGAUAUCGGAUGUCUUGCUAGACUUUUUUGGAUUUUUUUAAUAUAAAAUGGUAUUAACAAUAUUUUUUUUAUGAAAUGGUAUUAACAAUGAUUUUUUUUAUGAAAUUGUAUUAACAAUGUUCUAUUUGUAUGAAAUAGUAUUGACAAUGUCUUUUUGUAUGAAAUGGUAUUAAUAAUGUUUUUUUAUUUUUAUUUUUUUAUGAAAUGGUAUUAACAAUGUUUUUUUUGGUAUGAAAUGAUAUUAACAAUGUUUUUCUAUGAAAUUGUAUUAACAAUAUUUUUCUAUGAAAUGGUAUUAAGAAUGUACUUCCAUGACAUGGUAUUAACAUGUACUUCUAUGAUAUGGUUUGCAGAGGUUUGAUGGAGAAGGAAGGGACGUGGGGACAUGCCAUUGGUUUUCAUAUAUAUUUUUUUUAGACUGGGUUUUAAAAAAAAAAAAAAAAAUCUGAAUUGGGCUUGUUUUGGGUCUUUUUUUGUUUUUUUGUAUUCGGCUUCUUUUAAGUUAGUUAGUGGCAGUCAUGUAAUUUAUAGGAAAUUCAACACUCAUUUUGUAUGUAGGAAAUGAUUUUUGGGUAUGUUUCUAAAGUGCAUUUCAUGUAGGGUUUUUUUUAUAAUUUCAGCCCCUAUUUUGGGUAUAGCUCCCUUUUUAUAUAUACCUCCAGACAUUACAUUUUUUAAGAAAGGUAUAACCACAACUGAUCAAAGUAAUAUAUUAGAGUCUUAUAAUAGUAUUAACAUAGAGGAACAAAAUUUUAAAUAUAAUAUGGAAGAAUUAGAAGAAAUAAGUGAAGAAAAGAUAGAUGAACAAAAUAAUCUAGAAUAUGAUGAUAUAAUAUUUGAUCAUGAGUAUCCAAUUAUAGGAAAAAUAGAGCGUUUAGAAAUUAUGCAAAUAGAUAGACCAAAGAAUUUAGAAGAAUUGUUACAAUUAACUUAACAAACUAGAAUUAUAGAGAAUAUUCCCAAUUACAUUGGAAUAAAAACAAGAUAGUAGCAAAAUUAGACAUUAUUAAUCCAGACUUAACAAUUAAAACAACAGAUAUGCCCUAUAACUUGUUAGACAAGCAAGAAUUUGAACAACAAAUAAAAGAACUUUUAAAUUUAAAAGUAAUUAGACCUUCAAAAUCCAAGCAUAGAUCAGCAGCCUUUGUAGUUAGAAAAUAGUCGGAACUUAAGAGAGGUAAAGCUAGAAUAGUGUAUAAUUAUGGAGAUUAAAUGAUAAUACUUAUGAAGAUAGUUAUAAACUACCAAAUAAAGAUGAACUUAUGAAUAAAAUUCAAGAAAGUAAAUAUUUUAGUAAAUUUGAUUGUAAAUCAAGAUUUUCGCAAAUUAGAUUAGCAAAAGAAUCAAUCGAAUGGACAUCAUUGACUUGUCCAGAAGGACAUUUUGAAUGGCUUGUCAUUCCAUUUGGAUUAAAGAAUGCACCAUCGAUCUUUCAAAGAAAGAUGGACCAAAUCUUUAAGAAGUAUGAUAACUUUUGUGGUGUAUAUGUAGAUGAUAUACUUGUCCAUAGUAGAAAUAAAAAUGAACAUAGAAAACACUUAGAAAUUAUUUUGAAAGAAUUUAUUGAUAAUGGCAUAGUCAUAAGUAGGAAUAAAGUAGAGCUUGAAAAACAAGACAUAUAAUUUUUAGGUAUGUGUAUUAAGUCAGGAACUAUACAAUUAUAAGAGCACAUUGCUAAAAAAGUGUUAGAAUUUCCAAAUAAAUUAAUAGAUAAAAAACUAUUGCAAGCAUUUUUAUGUUUAUUAAACUAUGCUAGAAGUUUUAUUCCUGAUGUAGGGAUUUUUUUUGUUCCAGCAGCCUCAAGAAUGGGCUUGGGCUGCUGUGAAGAAAAGACAAAUGAAGUUGCCCCUAUGCCUGAGUUUGAGAACUAGGCCCCAAGAGUGUUUUGAAAGGUUCGUAGGGCCUAAGAAAACAAUUUGGAUCCCUUUCACCAAUGAACCAUACAAUUGUGACAAAUUAGCAAUAUGGCCUGGCUUGAGAAGCUUGUGGCAUGGGAGCUAAUCUUUUACGAGUUUAGUAGUAGAGAGAAAGAGCUUAAAUUUCUUAUAGAAAAGAAGGUUUAGAGAAAAGGGGGAAGAGAGAUUUAGGGGGGAUUUUUACAGAAGAGAGGGAGAGAUGGAAAUUGAGAAUGGGGAGUCUUGAGUAAAUUUCCAGUUGCUCGACAAAAGCUUGGUCGCACUCCUGGAUGGUGUGUUUGCUGGGUAGAAGGUGCCUCCUUUCAUAGGCGCUGAAACCCUUAAUUUUAUCAAGCCUUCCUCUCCAUUUCCCUUCACUUUCUUCCAUUUCAAUCUCAUUUGGUGAAACUUCUCCAGCCUGUGCACCUAGGUACGAAGCCCUUUGGGGUUCCAAGAUCUUAACGCAACUGGACUUCUUUAUGUAGGUGAGGCGCCACCCACUUUUCUCUUUGGUUUUCCUAUUUGAGCUCGCAGAAGAAAGGAACAUGGGUAUGAGCGUUAGUCUAAUGGGUAUAAAUUUCCUUUGAUUUUUGCAGUGGAUGACCAUUUGACUUGGUUCUGAGGCUCUUGACAACACUAGAUACGAUGCUAGACAUUUUAUAAGGCCAUGGGCUGGGCUUUUUCUAAGGUAUUGGGUCAUUGACAUUCUAUUUUCCAACGGCCUAUGAGUUUGGUUUCGUCAAGCUGCUGGAAGUAGCUCAUUCGCUUUGUUUUUUGACAAGGUGCUAGCUGUGUUUGUAACAUCCCACAUCGACCAACAGAUAGCGGAUGAUGUGCCUUAUAUGUACAUGCCCACCUCCAUCUAGCACGAGGCCUUUGGGAGCUCACUGGCUUCGGAGUCAUGGUAACUCCGAAGUUAAGCGAGUGAGGCCUAGAGCAAUCACAGGAUGGGUGACUGACUGGGAAGUUGAUCAUGAGUUCCCACAAACAAAACUGUGAGGGUAGAGAGGGGGCCCCAAAGCAGACUAUAUCGUGUUACGGCGGAGCCAAUCUCGAGAUGUGACAAUUUAUUUGGUAUCAGAGCCACUCUACCGUGUGGUACGAGUGUGCCGACGAGGACGUCGGGCCCCUAAGGGGGUUAGAUUGUAACAUCCCACACCGACUAAUGGAGAGGGGAUGAUGUGCCUUAUAUGUAAAUGCCCACCUCCAUCUAGCACGAGGCCUAUUGGGAGCUCAAUGGCUUCGGAGUCAUGGGAACUCCGAAGUUAAGAGAGUUUGGGCUAGAGCAAUCCCAGGAUGGGUGAUCCACUAGGAAGUUGCUUGUGAGUUCCUAGAAACAAACCAUGAAGACAGAGAGGGGGCCCAAAGUGGGCAAUAUCGUGCUACGGCGGAGUGUGACAGUCUUAGUUGAUGUGGGAUUUUUCUAAAUGUUGCAAACCAUUGGUUAUUUUCCUAAGGCAUUAGGUCACUUUUCUCUCUCUCUUGCUUACCCACAUGCUGGGCUCAAGAAAUGAGCUUAAGUUUUGGUGCUCCCAAGUAGCCCAAAACUUCCAUCCCUUGAACCUUCAAUGGGCCUUGUGAAUACUUGUAACCAUCCAUACCACAACCUGCUCCGCAAGCCCUAGGCAUUCGUGUGGCUUGGGCCCACUUAAGCUUGUAGCGUGGCUUGGUGUCAAAGUAACAGUCUUUCGCUUGGCGUUGUGUGCUUAUGAUUGAGUUCUACCGUGUUGUAAUAGACUACGGCCGCGCCAGAUGGCAUUUAACAGGUGAGUAACCGUGGGUUCACAGAGCCAAUACGUUUUACAGGCUCGUUGUGACCUUUCUGCGUGGCGCGUUGCUGUUUGCUGGGCGUGGCAUGUGGCCCACAACUUGUGCAAGCGCGUACGACAAAUUCUUGCAUAUUCUAAUUGGGCUUCUUCCCCAAUAUGUCAAAGUAACAGUCUUUCGCUUGGCGUUGUGUGCUUAUUUGGCGUGCUCAUGAUUGAGUUCUACCGUGUUGUAAUAGACUACGGCCGCGCCAGAUGGCAGGUGAGUAACCGUGGGUUCACAGAGCCAAUACGUUUUACAGGCUCAUUGUGACCUUUCUGCAUGGCGCGUUGCUGUUUGCUGGGCGUGGCAUGUGGCCCACAACUUGUGCAAGCGCGUACGACAAAUUCUUGCAUAUUCUAAUUGGGCUUCUUCCCCGAUCAAGCCUUGUGUUGAGCAAACAAUAUGUUUGGGCUCAGUCUUGGAUUUUUUAGGCCUCAACUCUUGAUUUAGGAAGUAAGAUUGCAGCAUUGUACAGUAAAACCAGUAAAACAGGUCAAAUAUAUUUUAAUUGUAAGGAUAUUAAAUUAGUUCAAGGCAUCAAACAAGAUAUAACUCAACUUAAACCUCUAGCAUUACCAUUAGAAAAUAAUUACAACAUAGUUAAGACAGAUGCACCAUUAAUAGGAUGGGCAUGAAUAUUAUAUUAAAAAAAUAUAAGGAAGAACCAAAAUAUGAAGAAUUUUUUUUGUAGAUAUGCAUAAGGUAAAUUUAGUGAUAUACAGGCUAGACUUCCAGCUAUUAACUUAGAAAUUGUAAUCUUAUUGAUAUCAUAUUGCCAUUUUACGCAUGUGUAUCGUGGACUUAUUGCCGCUAUAAUUGUUUGAACUGUACAUGGAUAAAGGAAACUGUAAAUGCACAAAUACAAAAAGAUCCAUCAUAAUUCCAUCAAAUCCAAUUACGAAACUUACAUAAUACAACAAGAGGCCACCCCAUAGUUACAUAAUACAAAAAGAGGCCACCACAUAGUUCUAUUGUUCAAGUUGUUUCCACUACAUUUUGCAAUCUCUGAAGUCAUAUUAAAGUGUCAAAAGUUUCCUGCUAUUGACACAUUCGGAGUUGCCUACUUUUCAAUUGCGGUGACCGCGACCCAUGAAAUUCAUGACCCCAGCCCAAUGAUGUUGUCCCAGUUUCCUUCUGGAUCCACUACUUUCGCAAACUUGUGAAAUAGUUCGAACCGGCUUCCACUUGUUUUGCUUCAAUUGGGCCAUUUCAUCAGAUUCCUUGAAUACCAUCACCGCAGUGGCAGGGGCAUUUUCAAUUUUUGCUCAUACCCUUUAUAUGUAGGAGAUCCGGGCAUGAUAACGAGAGAGAAUUGUGCGCUUUUUUAUGACACCCCACCUAGCUUGGCCCUCCAAAAUUUUUGAAACUAUGUCUGCAUGGAGAUUUUUUCAAAACAUGGUAUUGCCUCAACAUUGCUGCAGGCCAUGGACCAAGUCUGCAGGCAUUGAAUUUGCUAACUUGGCUGGUGUUUCAGUUUCCCCUCCUUUAGUAAUGGAAAACAUUGAGUUUGGUGUGAGGUUAGGGUCCAUGGUUUUUGGUAUUUAUUAUGGGUUGGUGUGGGACUUAAUUGGGGAAAACUGUGACUUAAUGCGAUGUGAGUGAAACGAGUGGGGAAGGUAAUGGCUGCAAGUAGGAGUUAAUGUGAUGAAAGUUUUCUCUUCAUGCAGCUGGGUUGAAGUUUAUAUAGGGAGGUAUUUAUGAGUUGGAGUAAAUGACUAAGUAAUUGGCGGGAGGGAUUGGGGGAGUAAUUGGCGGGAUUCACUGGCGGGAUUUAUUGGGUCGGAGUUAUUGCCCAAUUGCCUAUAUGACUAUUUUUCUAUAUUUGUAAUUUGUAAUUUCUCAAUUUCCUAGUUUUCCCUUUUUUGUAUUUAAAGAAUUUCCCUAAUUUGGAAAAAUUACCAACUUAUUCAAUUUGUCUGGUACGGUAAUUUUCCUAUUUCCCAUUUUCGCAAUUUGAAUUGGUUUCCAAUUUUCCUACUUUCCUAUUUCGUAAUUGCCUAAUUUCCUUUUUCCUAUGUGGCAAUUUUCGUAUUUUCCCAAAUUUUCGUAUUUUCUUAUAUUUGUAAUUUGGAAUUUCCCAAUUUCCUAGCUUUCCCAUUUUUGUAUUUAAAGAGUUUGCCUAAUAUGACAAAUUUACCAACUUAUUCAAUUUGUCCAGUAAGGUAAUUUUCCUAUUUCCCAUUUUUGCAAUUUCAAUUGGUUUCCAAGUUUUCCAAGUUAUCCAAUUUUCCAAUUUUCCAAUUUUCCAAUUUCGUAUUUGCCUAAUUUCCUUUUUCUUAUGUUCCAAUUUCCUAGGUGGCAAUUUUCGUAUUUUCACAAAUUUUCAAUUUUAUUCGUAGUACUUUGUAUGUGUUUUUCGGGCAUAUAACGUUUCCUAGUUUUCGUUGUUCUUCAAAUUUUGUCAUUUACAAUCUUUGUCUAAUUUGAGUAAAUUUGCAAUUUUACAAUUUCCUAGUAAGGUAUUUUUCAAAAUUUUGAAUUUUGCAAUUUUAAUUUGUAUGGUUUUCAAAUUUCCAAAAAUUGCUUAGUGACAUACUCCUUUUUUUUGCCUCAAAUCCACAAUUACCAAUUUCCCAAUAAGGUUUUGUUUUUUUGUUUGUAAUCCAAUUUUAUUGUUGUUAUUCUAAUGCUCUAAAUUACAGCCAAGGAGUAAAUGAUGUACAGUGCAAUCCCAUCAAUGCACCAACUACAUACCCAAUUUCGUCAGAUAUAGAGAUAUAACUCCUUGACUACAAUAUAAAUUAGACAAGUUGCUACAUAUAACAGAAGCAUAACGUCGGGUUUGGGAAAGGUAAUUAUUCUUAACUUACUAAAUGCCAAACAUUCUCCAGUAAAGCUGACCAUAUUGUUGUUUACAAGUUUUCAAAAGCAAAAAUUGCACACUGAAUCUAACGUUUUAUUUUUUGCAGACUGGAGCUGUGAAUUUUCCCCAUCGAUACUUAAAGAUGUCGGACGUAUGCCCUCCAAACGACCAUGUCAGUUACCCGGUAGACCAGUCGUGGCAUGUGCCGUUCCCAUCUCCACCUCUGACUCCAAAUCACAAUCCCACUUCAUCUGGAAGUGAGGCUGAGAGCAAUAACCCGCUUGUCAAAAUCUUUGCUGUGAAGCACGACCUCCAAUAUUUGUCUAAGGCAACGAAUUGGUGGGAGAGCAAAUGUGAUAUUCAUGGGCAAGUGAUGGGAAACUUGAGUUUAACAAAGCAUAUGCUGGAGAAGUGAAGUAAACUCUAAAAGCAAUAAGUCGAACCAAAGAGUUAGAGUCCCUCAACUUAAAAUUGGAAGAGACAAAGAAAUAUGCGAUCCAAGAAUUCACAAAAUAUGAAGAAUAUAACCAUGAAAUGGUUGAAUGGUUCAACAACGGCUUGGAGAUGUUUCGAGAUUAUGCUUCGGUCAUCUUACCAUACUACAAUUGGAGCGAAAUUGAUGUAGCUGGUGUCUAGCAGGUGUUGAAUAUGGGUAGAGAGGGAAUGACUCAUCAUAGCUUCAUGCAUGCAUCAAGGAUGAAGGCCAAAGACAUGGAUCAUUUGAUGGACCUCUAAUAAUUUGCAUUUUCCAGGGUUGGGUGAUGCGAUGUGAAUGUGUUGCCUUCGUUUUCCCUUCGAGGGAUAGUAUUGUUAGGGUUGGGUGGCGAUUUAUUUUGAAUGUCUAAAUUGAAGGUAGUUUGAAAUGGAUGUCUGCGUAUUGUAUGUAUAUGGACCUAAUAUUGCCAUCCUAUUGUAUAUAUGUUGAGCUAAUUGUUCACCCGUUUUCGUGUUUAACUCCUUAUGUGGAAGGGUGAAGUUCCCCACUGGCUUGGAGACCACUUGUUGGUCGACAAGUCAGCUUUCUUUGGUGUGCGAGCGUGCCACUGCUAGCAAUGUAAAUUCUAGCAGACUUAUUUUUAGAGUGGAUAACUUGCGCCUCAAGUUACUGACUUCUAAAACAAACGAUUGUGAAUUUGGGUGAGGAAUAUCUCCCAAGUAAGUUCUUUUCUUGCCUCAGACUGGUGAGGACUUUCACAAUUUAUCUCAGUAUCAAAAUGGUUGUUCUGGCCAGAAUAAAGUACUGUUUCAGGCAGAACUGCCUUUUACAAAAUUAAGAAGGGAGAAAUCAACUUUAGAAAGGCAAAAAGAUGGCUGGGAUCCCAUUUCUGCCUGGAUAGAAACUUUUUGAUCUGGAUUGGACUGGGCACGUCUAUGUUGGACUGUACUGUCCACAACUUUAGCUUCUUGGCUUCAGCUAUAAAUCGAUACCAAAGUUUGAUUUUGGCAGAGCUUCAAUCUACUUCAAGCCUUGGGAGACUUUUUGAGCGGGCAGAACUGCGACUUCUUCAGUUUGAAGGGACAGAAGUGGCUAUUCUCGAGAAUUUAGCAGGCUGGAGGUAUGCUGUAAAAUUUGUUGAGGUUUUCAUAUUUUGCGAAAACUCAAAUGUGUUUGUCUUGGCUUUUGCUGAACCAAAUUUGUAACGAGGGGGAUCUCGUUUUCAGAAGACUUAUUUUCUAAGUCUGAACUUUGGAAUUCUGAUCUAAAGCUGUUUUCUCAUUUGUUUGAUGAGUUUGAGUGUAUGUUUUUGAUGUUGUUGUGUUGAUGUCUCUUUGCUUCCUUGCCUGCCUUCGUCUUUUAUAAGAGACCUGUGAUGUUAAAAUAAUGGGCGGCACAAAAAGAUCUCUUACAACGUAAAGUAAAAAGAUCUUUAUCAGUCAUGGCAGACAAACUUCACGCAGUCACCUCCUAAAGCAGUUUCUUCCCUGGUUUCCUGGGUGGUGCUUUAGUUUAGGAAGCGUGGUCUGUGAAUUCCUUGGAAGAUGGUAUAUUGACUUGGAGCAAAAUCUCGAACACAGAUGGUUUUUUUGAUCUUCUGUCGGCAGUGUUCCAGAAAUGUUCCCUUCAUAUUUUAAACUUAGUUGGAAAUGCUGUUUCUUCAAUAUUGAGAUAAAUCACGUGGGCGUGUCAAAUCGCCCUUGGGUCUGAACCUAAUCAACAAUUCAUGGGCUGAUCUUUUGAAGCCCAUCAGUUUCCUCUUUGGGCCUUUCUUUGGGCUGAAGCUUUUGAGGCUUUGUUUUCAACAUUCUUGGUGUGAAGCCCAAUCUGCCUGGAUCAUAUUUCUGUUUUUCUCAAGUCUUUGGGCUGGGCAGGCAAUUUUACUCUGGGCUUGUCUCUUGGUUUUGGGUGUGCCGAAUUUGGGUCCAAACACUAAUAUUGCCACCCUAUUGUAUGUAUGUUGACCUAGUAUUGCCACCCUAUUGUUUGUAUAUUGACCUAAUAUUGCCACCCUAUUGUAUGUAUGUUGACCUAGUAUUGCCACCCUAUUGUUGUAUAUUGACCUAAUAUUACCACCCUAUUUUAUGUAUGUUGACCUAAUUGUCACCCUAUCGUAUGUAUAUUGCGUCUGCUGGUGUUACUCAGAAGUGCGCCACUUGUUUGUUUAUUCUGCGAUUGUAGCCCUAUAUUGUCUAUAUAUUGCAUAACAACGACGGGCCACUGUUAUACCUCCAUAAAGAUAAAGUAUAUAUCUGUUUAUAUAUUGAGUUGUACGAAAUAGCUCAACUAAACAAUCUAAAGAAUAAGUAUGCUAACGACGACAACAACUCCAAAACAAAAGCACAAUUUGAAAACCGAAUCAGAAGUACAUCCCUAGUAUUCAUUAAACAUACUACCCAAUUUCGUUUCACAAAAUGAAAUUGAUGCAUACUCCUACUCCAAAAUGAGUACAAUUUAUCUGCCAUGUCUACAAAAUGGAUACAGUUUAUCUGCCACGUCUACAAAAUGGAUACAGUUUAUGUGCCAUGUAAGGCAAUUAGCCACUACCACCGACUGUAUAAUAUUACAUAUCACCAUGUACAAUAUUACAGAAUAAUUAAAGCAAAUAGCUCUAUCAACGUGGAUGGAUCACCAUAUAAAGCAGCUCCACCAGAGCUUCCAUGUCUGCAUAUUCAUAUAAAGUAUAAAUUGAAAUAAUUAAAUUCAGAUUGAAUUCCCAAUUGAGAAGUGAAGACUGAAUUCAAUUGAGAAACAUUAUCACCUUUACCUGAUAUAUACAUCUUCCCCCUGAAAGCCUUUAUCGCAAGCUUCAGUCGGUAAUAGGUGAUCUUUGAUGGGUCAACUUUAUCCAAAGAAAUGUCGGCACUGAGAUGCUCAAUGAAUUUGACUGUCAUGAUUUCGCAAGAGGUAUUGUCGGGCCAAUAAGUUUAGAAAUUAGAGCUACACUUAUUUGCAAUAUUGAUAAACUCCACUAAAUUAACAUAGCUUACCCAUCACAUUGUUGCGGAACAUUUCCAAUGCUAUAAAUUGUGAAUGCCGUAAACUUGGACAUCUUCAUUCCCUUUUGCUUCCCCUCUUCAACCUCAGAAGCGUCAUAAAAGCGUAUAUCGUACAACACCCGUGCCAGAAUAUAGCUAAUAGGCUAUUUGACCAGCUUGGAAUUUGAGGUAAAAGCAAUAUAGGAGUCAUACACAGUCGCAAUAUGUCUCAUGAAGUCGAUUUCUACUGCUACCCAAUGGUACCCUUGAAGAGUAUACGGGAAAUACACCUUCCAGACUUUGCUCCAUGGUUGCGCAUACCCAUGUUGCCAUGUACCGUGCAUAAAGUGAUGUAUCUUUUUUAGGUAGCUAGUGGAGGUCAACGGUAUUUAGAGCAGCUGCUUUCUUCGAUACUCGUUUCUUUGCAGGUGGUUUUACCGGCCCUAAAAAUUGCUGCAAACAUUGAAUUUAGGCACAUUACAUAACGAUGAACCAAUGCAACCGAGGCAGUGAAUUUGACAUGUUCACAUUUGUACCCACAAAAAAUAAUCUGUAGUUGUCCAGUCGGUUCCAAACACCAAAGGAUGAGAGAGUUGUCUUUUCCGUAUUAGAAACAUCACCAUGUUAGGGUGUUGAAAGUUGAAGUAAAUAAUAUCACCACGAUUUAAUACAAAUGUACACAAAGUGAAGGUGAGAAAAGAAUUGAAUUAUCCUAAUGAAGUAGGGUACAAAUUCUUACCCUGGACCUUUCCAUUCUGUAUGAUCUACAAGUUUGUAAAAAAAGUCUGGGCCAACUGAACAUGCUUCGAGUUGCACCUCUGCACUACAAUAGGCAAACUUCCAAGGGUCAAUCUUCUAAUCAUUCAACCUUAAAUCGGUUUUCCACGCGGUGCAAAACUCUAUUACUUCCUUGACAUCAUCAAUGGGCACGGGUUUUGUUGAAUCAAAAGAUGACGGGGUUGCCUCCACAGUUGAAACAGUAAUCGUCCUCUUCUUCCUCGAGGGAUCGGUAAAUGGACUCAACAAUAUAGUGGCUGGUCGCUUUUUUCUAUACCCUUUACCUUCCACAUCUUGUCUUUCAACAGUGGCACUACCUUCCUUAAUCGCUUCGUCAUUGCUUAUGAUAGGAGGAUUCAUCUGACCUCCCAAUGCCUUAACGUCAAUCUUUUUCCAAUCCUCUAACAAAGAUAACAAUUUUUUGCAGAUUACUCCACACAUGUCCACAUAUUUCGGAGUAGGAAGCUUCUCAGCUUCUUUCUGCAAACUGAAGUGCCCAUUUCUGCCUCUUAGACUUCCAUUGCUGCAAAGGCGUCAGCUCCAUCACCGGGGACUUGUGCUUCCAUUUCUGUCGGUUCUGUAGUUGGAGUAAUAUAUUCAUGUAAGGGCGACAUGUCAUUGUCGCCUCCUUCGUUGAUAUGAGGACUACGCACUUGGUCAUGUCCUUCAUCACAUUCAUUCAACCCACCAUUUCAUUUUUUCAACUCCUCUUAUCUCUAACUUAAAAUAGUGUUCCAUUGAAGCGAGGGUCUUGCUGAAAUCCUCCACACACUUUUUAUUUUUUUGACACUCUUUCUCAUGUGUCAAAGACUCUUUCUGUACCAUCUCUUCCAAGUCAUGCAUUCUCUUUCUAAGCGCUCAAUUUGAACUGGCUACCUUUGCCAAUUCAUCCUUUGUGGUCACACUUCAAAGUGCGUAACUCAGUCGAUGAGUUUACCAUGUAUACAGUUAUAAAGCAACUGUUACAAUAGUUACCUAAUAUAACCCACAUAUUGCUACUAUAUUGCUAUCAUAUUGCCUAUAUAUUGACUAUAAACUGAUUAUAUAGCAGCGCCAUUGCAAAAAGGUGAUGCUCACCUUAGAAGACGAGGGAAGGGUAGCUGUUUCAUCAACUUCGUCAUCUUUUUCUUCAAUGGAAGUGCUCGCAUUUUCUUCGGCCUCAUCAGCAACCAAUUCAAUAAUUUCUUCAGUGCUUUCAUCAUUGUCACCCCAAGUCCAAUAGGGAUGUUGCUUGUCAAUUAGAGUUGGGCAGAGAAGUUGCACAUCAACCUGCAAUUUACACAUACAAAAUACAUAUAUGUAAACUUAUUAUUUUUUCAUAUGCAGAACAUAAUCAUUAUGCACAUAACUAACCUCAUAGUUUUCGAAUACUUGGCUAAUUAUCUCGUGAAAACGAGCCGAUGUAUUGCCCUCCAUUGUAGUAUACAAAGGAUGUGGCCAUUCUCUUCAUUCACAACAAAAUGCAGUGCAGCCAAUGCUGGAAACACCUCAAAAGCCCAAAUCUAUUUUGAACAAUAAAACAUCAAUCACUGUAAACAAAUUAAAUUUAACUUAUACAUUAAUGGAUAUUUGCUCACUUGAAGUGCAAAGCAAAAACGUUUUAUGCGGUACUCUCUCUUGGUCUACCACUUGACGUUGUGUUUGAUUUCUUUUCAAAUUUUUUUGUUUUGGGGCUCUUUUACUCGAUGGUCAUCUGCACAAAGUGCCCUCAAAAGUGAGGCAUUUGUCUUCGCGUAUGAAACAACGUCCCAAGGAUACUUAUGAAACUCUUCAAGGUAUUUCGACAAUUUCAAAUACCGCAUGUCAAUGUUGACAUGUUUUUCACUACCCAAUAGCACAAAAACAGCAAAAUAUAGAAAUUCAAGCUUCACGACAUCCUCCUUAUCAGUGCAGUCAAUGAAGGCUUUUUCUAGUUCAGAUAGGGCGACAGUAGCCUUAUUGCAGAAGUAUUUCUUUUUCAAUUAGCAGUUUUAGUUAGUUGCAAUUUGAAUGAAAGGAAGGUUUCCGAACCUUAGCCCUGUGAUGACUUAAAACUACUGCGCCGUGAAUUGUAUCACCUUAUUGCCAAUAAUGAAUUUUAUCCUGUGGACCUGGGAAAUUGUCUUUGGAUCAGCCUUCCUCAACAACAACCCGUGGACAAUUUGUGCAGUCCACUUAAGGGCCUCAAUCGGUAAUAGGUGACCAAAACAACCAUCCUUGAACCUUUACAACUAUUGCAUAUUGAAUUUCUCCUUAAUUGUACUGAUGGAGGUCUUUCUAUGGGAAAAGGACAACACCUUUCCCUGGAACUUUUCAUCCUCGUCAAUCAUCAAGUUGACUUUAGAAACCAUAUUUCCCUGCACACCAACAUUAUUCAAAUAAUUUCAGGCCCUUGAAAUAUACACAAUAAUAAAGCAAUAAACUAACAAUACAGAGGCAGAUCAAGGCAAUAGGCACGAGAUAUAUUAGUGAUAAAAGUACAAUAGAGGGGCAAUAGAACCUGAUAUGCAAUGUGUUGUACCUUAAAGGCUUAUAUUUUCUGUCACAAGUCUUGCACUUAUAUUUUCCCAUUUCCUUCUCUUAUAUUUUCCCUCCACAAGGCUUGCUUGCUUUUAUAUUUUCUCACUUCCUUGUCUUAUAUUUUCUCUCCACAAGGCUUCCUAACAAAUGCCACAAAUCCCAUUUGAUACAUCACUUUCAUUUAUAAUGCUCUGUAUAAGACAAUGUAUGGUAUAUUGGAUUAAACUGUGGAAUGAAAUGGCCAUUCCCAUCAAUUGGCAAUCCCCCGAAAUGUGAAAUAAUACCACUUGCAUUUUUAAACCAAUUUUGGUUUCUUAUCUACUCUCAAACUCUCUCCAUACUCCACUCUUUUCUACAUUCCAUUUUACUAAAUCUGGAUUAGAUUCCAUCCACAAACCAAACAACACUCAAUUGUCAAAGUGAUUUCAUGCUCCAAGGAUGAACAUCAUACACGGUUUCAGAGCAAACGCUAAAAGAACUAGCCCAACUGAAUCAAUGCUUCCUACAAUCUACUCAUCACCAUACUGAUAUACAUGUAUGUCAUAAAAGGAGAACAAAUGAAAUAAAAUACAGAUGUUGCUAUAUUUUGUCACAAAGAAAUGCAGAAAUAAUCAUUCAAUUAAUGCAUGCUUACAAACAUACACAAUCAAAAAUCACAAAAUAUGGAACUUGAAUAAUUGAAUCGAGGCAAGUGUUGAACACUCUGAUCUUAAGACGAAUUACGCCCCACACAAGGACUCUUUGAACCAGAUUAUGUAGGAAACUCUCUCUGUGUUCAAAUAGAUAAACAUUGACUGAAUCAAUUCCCUUAUUUUAAUUGCAAGAAGACUACUGUAUUUAUAGAUACUAAAGAACCCUCUCCAAAAGGGUAUGUCCCAAUAUAAAAAAACCAAUUAAUGCAUCCAUUGAAUAAACAAGUGCUUUGAUACCUUUUCCUGAAAAAUUGACAAAGGACACCAUCGUCCAAUGAACUAUAUUAAUUUCCAUUCAAAUAGGAAAAUAAAUAUUAGUUAAUAUUAAAUUUCCAACAAAAGCUACUGCAACUGCAAAACAAACUAUAAAGAUUCAUGUGGCUAAUGUAGAGACUAUAAAUGAACACUUACAAUUUCCCUUCUUUGGAUGAAACAAAACAACAAAGAAACACAGAAUCCAAUUGCAUAAAUCGCCAAAACCAUUAAAACCACAAUGGAACGGGAAUAAAACCAUAAUAAACUAGCAAUACAAUAGCACUACAAUGCCAAUAAAACUCCACUAAAAUGGCAAUCCAACAGCAAAAAAUAGCAAUACAACAUCAAUAACAACAACAAAACAACAACAGUAAAGCGAAUCUGAAAUCAAAUGCAAGAAUCAAUCCCCAAAGAACAAACCCCUUCACUGUUUCAAACAAGGAAUCAUCAGAAUCAAACAAUUUCAGAGAAACCCCUAAACCCUAAACCAAUUUAUAAGAAAACUCUAAACCAAUUUCAUAGAAACCCAUAAACCCUAAACCAAUUUCAAAGAAGCCCCUAAACCCUAAACCAAUUUCGGAGAAACACCUAAAUCAAUUUCAUAGUAUUAGCCGUACGAUCUUUAAUAUUAUUGUGCAUGUUUUGAUGAUAACAAAUUGUUCCUUAUUUAUCUAAUGUAUUUCAAGUGUGUUAAGUUGUAAGGAGCAAGUAUUCUCAAAUGGAUCAAAAAUACUGUACACACUCGAAGACUUUUGGAACAUUAAAGCAAGAAGCCGAUACUCAAGCACAUAUUUCUUCAAUAUGGAAGAGUUAGGUUAUUCUUGUAAAACUCUUUGUGAAUUGAACAUCUAAGGCUCUUUACUAAGAUCGACCUUAGGUUCCUUCAUGCAUUCAUAUCAUACAUGCAAAACUGUUUUAUCAAAAUUUGGGCUAAGUAUGAAAAAUGCUUUUUCAAAAUAAUCAUUUUCUCAAGAUUAUUUUUGGUGGCUUUUAUUCCCCACAUAUCAAAUAAGAAAACCUGAUUUUAUGAGAUUUGUAUAUGAAGUAUAUAUUGACUUAAUAAGCCUUCAUUUUUAUUCCAAAUCGCAUGUUGAACUAAAACUGAUUUUUCAUAUUUUGAUUUGGUGGGAAUUUGAUACAAUUUUGUAAGUUGGUUAUUGGAAUAUGAAUUUAUACUUUUGUGUAUUGUCCUUAAUGAAACAAUUGCUUCAAUCCAUUUGAGUCAGAAAAUAAAAGAUUUAAUGAAGUUCUUCACAACAAGUAUAACUGAGGUAUGUCGUUGAGCAGCAUGUGCAAACACAUCCACUAUCAACAAAUUAGGAUGUUUACAAAGUGUUUGGCAACCUCACAACCCAAACCCCAAAUACACCCAAUAACACUCACCACACAAAAACAAAUAUAGGAUGAAAUUAUGAACCUCAACUAGUGCUCUCUGGGCCCGAGUGCUAAAAGGGCGUUAUUUUCCUGAUGUUGAUUUGACCAAUGCCAUUGGUGGAGCUAGACCUUCAUGGGUUUGGACAAUUCUUCAGGAAGGAAAAUGGGCAGUCAUUGAUGGAGGUCGAAUACAGAUCCUAAAUGGUGAGAAUAUAUACUUGUAUCUGGUCUGACAGCUGGCUCUCCCCUCCACAAGAUGGUCACAUUUCUCCGAUCAACCCUGUCCUCCCUUCUGCAGAGAUUGGACUAUUCUACCCCUAAUCAAUCAGAUUUGCAGGAUGAAGUCCAACUUGAUGAGAUUUUGAAAAUAUGCUGAGCUUAGUUUCUAGAACUGAGGAAGAAAAAUGAAGCUAAGAGAGGAUAGAGAGAUUGUUGAGAGAAGAGAGAGCGUCUGUUACUGCACAAUGAAUAUAGGAAUACACACACACACACACACUCUCUGAUUUCAUUCCAACAGAAUUAUCCCCUUUACAAUGAAUGGAAAAGAACAGAUUUAGCCUUACAAAAUGUGUCAGCAAUGUGAGCUAUACACUUGGCAUAAAUCUAGGACAUAUAAGUCCUCCAAUAUGGUGGCAUCUAAGACUUACACUUGUCUAACUAUGGAUUAAACUAGAAAACAAUUUAUAUUUCAACAUUCCCUUCUAAAUUGUUAACUGGUUUAACUCCAAGUAAACCUCUCAAAUAGUUGAACCGAUCCUUAGGUAGAGGUUUUGUGAAAAUGUCAGCCACUUGUUCUUCAGACUUGCAGUACCUCAAGUCCACUACACCUUCUUGUAAGGCAUCUUGAAUGAAGUGAUAUAUGUGGUUGGUAUGCUUGGUCUUUCGAUGGAAAAUAGGAUUUCUGGUCAUUGCAAUGGCAGAAGUAUUAUCUACCAUCAAUGGAGUUGCUUCUGUCUACAAUUCACCGAAAUCCUCUAGCACAAACCUCAACCAUAUAGCCUGAGUAGUUGCUUCACUUGCACUGACGUACUCAGCUUUAGUUGUGGAGAGAGCAACACUAUGUUGCUUGACAGAUGCCCAGGAAAACACACCACUUCCAAAAGAGAAAGCAUAUCCUGAGGUCCUCUUCAUGUCAUCUUGACUUCCACUCCAGUCACUAUAGCAAUAUCCGAUUAAUACAGUUUCUUUUCCUUUCUGAUAUUCAAUACCAUAAUCAAUUGUGCCUUGGAUAUACCUCAAAAUCCUCUUAGCUGUUCCAUAGUGUUUCUUUGUAGGACAAUGCAUGAACGUAGCUAAUAAGCUAGCUACAAACAUUAUGUCAGGCCUUGUAGCCGUUAAAUACAAGCUUCCCACAAUCUGCCUAUACUCAUUCUCAUCUGCAGGAUCACUUCCCUCAUCUUUGCAUAGUUUCUCACUUGCCGCCAAAGGAGUACUAACAGGCUUACAUUACUUUAAACUAAACUUGCUCAACAAUGUCAAUGCAUACUUCUUUUUGUUUAUGAAGAUGCUAUUUUCAGUUUGAAUCACAGCCAUUCCGAGAAAAUGAUAGAAAAAACCUAAGUCAGUCAUUUUAUACCUUCUCAUCAUUUCAGACUUGAACUCUGCAAUCAACUCUCCACUACUUCCUGUGUACACUAUAUCAUCAACAUAAAUUAAGACAAUUAGUGUUCCUGAAUCUUCCUUAGUCUUGUAGUAUAAUGUAGCCUCACUUGUGCUUCUGACAUACCCACAGCUGAUGAGAUGAGCAUGAAUUUCUUCAUACCAGGCCCUUGGUGCCUGUUUUAAACCAUACAAGGCUUUCUUCAAUUUGUACACCUUAUCCUCAUAGUGUUUAAUCACAAAACCAUCAGGCUGAUCCACAUAUACCUCCUUCUUAAGCACACCAUUUAGAAAUGCAGACUUGACAUCUAACUGGUAUAGCUUCCAACCUUUCUGAGCUACCAAAGCUAUGAGAGUUCUAAUAGUAUCUAGCCUAGUCACAGGAGCAAAAGUCUCAUUGAAGUUGAUUCCAGGCUUCGGUUCAUAGCCUUUGACCACCAACCUAGCUUUGUGCUUCUGUAUUGAGCCAUCAAGAUUCAAUUUGGUUUUAUAAACCCACUUAACACCAAUUACAGAUUUCUCACUUGCUCUGUCAACUAGCUCCCAAGUCUCAUUCUUCUCAAUCAUUUCCAUCUCGGCUUCCAUGGCCUGUUGCCAAGCUUUGUCCCUUGAGGCUUCUUCAAAAUUUUAUGGCUCAAUGAUGCUCAUAUUGCAUCGAGCAUAUAUCUCAGUUAUAUCUCUGAGCUUCACAGGAGUAUAACUUGGUGAUUCACCUUGUGCGUCAGCAUUAGAGGAACUUGAAAUUAUUUUAGUUACACCAGCGUCAUCUUUAGUUUGAAAUUCUUGUGCAAAUGGAGUUGUAACAUCAUAAUCUUCUUCAGUAACAUUAGAAUGCUCUCCAAAACUCAUAGGAAUUGUGACAUAUUCCACAUUAUGCUUCUCCCAAUUCCAUAAAGAUCCUUUAUCAAAGAUCACACUUCUAGAGACUUCAAUUUUCUUAGUGUGCAGAUUAUAAACUCUAUAGCCCUUCUCACAUUUGCCAUAGCCAACAAAAAUGCAUUUGACAGCUGAAUCAUCUAACUUUGAUCUCAGCUAACUAGGUACAUGACAAAAGCAUAUAGAGCCAAAUACCUUUAAAUGUUUGACUCUUGGUUUCCUUGCACUAAAAGCUUGAAAUGGGGUUGAACUUUCCAAGGCUCUUGUGGGACACUUGUUUUGAAUAUAGAUAGCAGUAUUUACUGCUUCUCCCCAGAAAUUGAAUGGAAGUCUCUUCUCAUUCAUCAUUGCCUUGCUCAUUUCAAUAAUAGUUCUAUUUUUUCUCUCAACAACCCCAUUUUGCUGAGGUGAGUAAGCCACAGUGAGCUGCCUUUCCAUGCCCACAUCUUCACAAAACUUUAGAAAUUCCAUUGAGGUAUACUCUCCUCCUCUAUCACUUAUAAGCCUUUUGAUUUUGUAGCCACUUUGCAGUUUCACCAUAACCUUGAACUUCUUGAAAAUACCAAACACUUCAGACUUGUAUUGCAUGAAAUACACCCAACACAUUCUAGUGCAGUCAUCAAUAAAAGUCAAGAAGUAUCUGCUUAGUUGUGGUCCGCAUUGGUCCACAAACAUCUAAGUGAAUGAGUUCUAGUGGCUCACUUGCUCUCCAAGUCUUUUCUUUACCAAAGGAUUCUCUAUGUGCUUUCCCCAUUGCACAACCUUGGCAAAUUCUCUCUGCACUCCCAAUUUCUGGCAGUCCAUAAACUAUUUCUUGUUGUUGUAACAAUCUCAAACUUUGUAUAUUGAGAUGACCAAACCUCCUAUGCCAACACCAAGUAGAGUCUUCAACUGUUGCCUUCAUAGCCAUAGAGGUCACAUAUUUCAGUGAGAGUGGAAAGCAUCUAUUUCCUGUCAUUGGAACUUUAGCAACCAAGUGCUCCAUUGAACUGUCAUCAAAUAUCUCCACCAUUGAUUUUCCAAAAAAAUAGAAAAUAUCCAUGUUUCACUAUCUGACCAACACUGAGCAGAUUUUCAUCCAACCUUGGUACAAGCAUGACUUCUUUAAUAUAUCUAGGCCCAAAUUUAGUGUCAAUCACUAAAGUACCUUUCCCAGUGCUCUGCACCAAAUCUCAUGUGCCCAUUUUUACCUUUGCAGUGACAUUGGUAUCAAUAUUAACCAGAAGUGAUUCAUGUGAGGUCAUGUGAUUGCUACAAGCACUAUCCACAUACCACACAUCAUUGUUUUGCAGUUAGCUGUACCUUCUUCCCUUUUAUGUGCUGCAUAGUUAGCUGUUUGAGCCAGUUUGCCUAUGCAGUCCUUGGUUAUAUGACCAAACCUAUCACAUUUGUAGCAUUUCGGCUUGCCUUUGAACCAACAAGCACCAUAGUGAAGCUUGUCACAGGUUUUGCAAGGAACCUUUACUCCUUCAGCAUGAUUUUCCUUCUUGGAAUUAUUUUUAGACUUAGCAUCCCCUUUCUUCUAUUUUUGUGGUUUCCAGUUCUUCUUAGAUUUUGAACAUCUAGAUUCACUUGUGUUUGAUUGAUCUCUAGGACUAACACUUAGACUAGAAAAUGCAUUUUCUGUCAAUUUUUCAGUGUGCCUUUGCAAUCGUUGUUCAUGUGAUUUCAAAGAGCCUAUAACUUCCUAAACACUUAUAGUCUCAGUGUCCUUUGUUUCUUCUAUCACUUCAGCAAUGGAACCAUACUCUCUAGACAAACUAAUCAAAAGUUUCUACACAAUCCUUCGAUGAGCAAUCUCUUCACCAUAUGCUUUCAUGUGAUUUACUAACUCAAGCAACUUAGUUAUAUAAUCAGACAAGGAAUCAUCCUCUUGCAUACGAAUGUAUUCAAAUUCCCUUCUAAGUGCUUGAAGUUUUACAGAUCUUACCUUCUUAUCUCUUCUGAACUCUUGCUGCAAAAUUUCCCAUGCUUCUUUGGCCGAUUCCUUCAGUGCAAUUCUAGGAAAAAUAUGAUCAGAAACUGCAUUUUGAAUAAGUCCCAAUGCCUUAGCAUCAUUUAAAACAUUCUCUUCCAGUGCAAGCUUUUGAGCUGCAGUAAAAGCUUCACCAUCCUCUUUCUUCACUGGUUGUUCAUACCCAUUUUCAACCAUAUCCCAAAGCUUGUGAGAUUUGAAGAUCGUACACAUUUUUAUUCUCCAGAAAUCAUAGUUGCUUCCAUUGAAGAUGGGAGAACGUAGCUCACCCAUUCCAGAUCCAGCCAUGUGAGACUAGAGAUAGAGAUUAACUCAGCUAGAUUGCUACGAUUUCACAAUGCCUAGUCUCAGAUCGAAACCUAGGCUCUUGAUACCAUGAUGAGAUUUUGAAAAUAUGCAGAGCUUAGUUUCUAGAACAGAGGAAGAAAAAUGAAGCUAAGAGAGGAUAGAGAGAUCGUUGAGAGAAGAGAGAUCGUCUGUUACUGCGCAAUGAAUAUAGCAAUGCACACACACACACACACACACACACACACACUCUCUCUCUCUGAUUUCAUUCCAACGGAAUUAUCCCCUUUACAAUAAGAGAAAACAGGAUUGGGAAUCGUACCGACUACUCCCCCGUAGUUGAUCUGAUACCUAGGUUUGAGGGAAUGUGAUUACGGAUUUUGAGGUGGGACCCACUUAUUUUUUCAUUCUUGAUUGCAAGUAAACGCAAGGGAAGUCAUGAAUGAAAAUCAUUCCCUUUCCUCCCAUACCCAUUACUGAUACGUAAACAUGCCCUGAAUGGAAAAGAACAGAUUUAGCCUUACAAAAUGUGUCAGGAAUGUGAGCUGUACACUUGACAUAAAUCUAGGACAUAUAAGUCCUCCAAUAUGGUGGCAUCUAAGCCUUACACUUGUCUAACUAUGGAUUAAACCAGAAAAUAAUUUAUAUUUGAACACAACUUUGAGUCAGUUGAGUGGUUUUGGUCCCCUCGGAAUUUGAACAUGAAGUGGCAAGGAUUGGUUUGGGUGCUGUGGAUCUGCAAAGAUGGGCUGAUAGGCCACCUCCGUCCCUAGUUCGUGUUCUGGUUUCAGAUGGUCUCCCUUGUCCCCCGUAAGGGACCUGGGUGGUGUUUGAAGGAAAGAAAUCAUGCUAGGUUUUGGAAGUGGCUGUAGCUUUGUCUUUCUCUUGUCUUGUUUCCUAUUUCUGGUUUGCUUUUGCAACUUUGUAAUUCCUCUGUUGCACACCUUUGUUGUGCUUUUGAAUGAAAUCCAUGAUUACGACCAAACCAAAAAAAAAAGUAACUGAAGUUAAGAAAAUGUGGAUUUUUAGUCCUUAUAAUCUUAAGAGUUUUUUUUUUUUUAAAAUUUUCUUUCCCUUUUUCCUAAAAUUUUUUUUCUUAUUUAUAAUUAUAUUUCGCGUAACUGCCUCAGUGUCGACCACGAGCAAUGGCGAUGACAUCAUCACCCUAAUGCACGGCUCCGAUCCAGUCCGAGUUGACUAUUAUAUCCAGCAGCUUCACUUAACAAACAGGUGGAUUAUUAGAACACCCACCUUUUGGGACAUAGACAUGGUGAAAGACUAGAUUACAAAAGUCUUAGCAAUGGUGUUAAAGCUGUGUCAGUUUUAAGUAAAAUUUCCAAUUGGACUCUUUUAACCUUUACCCCCCAAAAAAAAGAACUUAAAAAUCCUUUACCACAUGAUUUAGCCAUAUUGUUAUUCUCAGUUUUGUUCUGUUCGAUUUUUUAUUGAUGUCUUCUUCUGAGUGAGAUAAUUAUAGGUUUAUUACAAAAUUAUCAAGAUUUUAAGAACCAUGUUGAAUUUUAUUUAUCAAUGUAUUGCUCUUUCUUACAAGGGAGAAACUUUAUGUUCAAUCAGAAAUGGGACCAUCUGAUUAUUUUUCUGUUGGUUAAUGAUUCCAGUUGACAGAUGAACUAAACAGGGUGGAUGAAAAGCUGAAAGCAACUGAAACCCUUCUGGAAAGCAAUGUUGAGAGUGUUUGUCCAACUCCUCCCAUUGCCAAUUGGUUUUGGGGUGGUACCUCAACUUCCUUCAUGGUAUCAGAGCAAGGCUUCACUGUUGGGCCCAGCCGCCACACGUGCUCCCAUCUCACCCAAUAUGUGUUGUCCACGUGUUAGGCUUGAAAGUUCGCCACACGUGCGGGGGGCGUGUUGAGAGUGUUUGUCCCACAUUGAAAUGUUAAGGGACCUAGCCUGGGUUUAUAAGGAGUUGGGCUACUCCCCCUAUUGCCAAUUGGUUUUGGGGUGGAACCUCAACUUCCUUCAAGCAAGGUACUAGUUGUAUUUUCCUUUGCUGCCUCAUUGUACUAUCUUCUGUAACCAACAAAUGCAUUUCUGUUUGCAAUAUAAUGAGUACAGAAUGAUAUGCAGAAUCUUGAGAUUAAGAAAAUAAAUGAUGAGAAAAAAGCAGCUUUGGCUGCACAAUUUGCAGCGGAAGCCACACUUCGAAGAGUUCAUGCUGCACAAAAAGAUGAUGAAAUGGCCCCCAUUGAAGCCAUCAUUGCUCCACUGGAAGCAGAGCUUAAGCUUGCUAGGCAGGAGGUAUAUACUUUCCUUCUGCAAUACUAUGACCUCAAUUUGUAUUUGCAUCUAUUCUUUUAUUCAACAUUCUUAAGACAGAUAGGAUUGUUGUAAAACUUUUGAUGUAGUAAUGUUCUGUGUCAAUUUUCACCGUCUAUUUUGGUUUCCAUAUUGGUUUAUACAUGUGAGGUUUAGAAUGUUCAUAAUGUAUUGGGUUUCCAUAUUCUUACUGUCUUUAUGGGUCUAUUGAUUCAUGCACAUGAAAAGAAAAAUAACGAGUUAAUUUUUUUUUUUAAAAAAAUACCUUUUCAUAGUUUUCAUGCGAAUGCUCCAAAACUCAUAGUUUUCUCCAUUGAAAACUAGCGUGCGAAGCUCAGCAGUGCCUGACCUUGCCAUAUUAGACUUUGGAUUCAAACAGAUAUGCCUCUUGGAAUAUUGAGUGAGCUCGAUUUCAGCUCAAACAAUCACCAGCUUUUGAUUUGCACAGAUUCACGCCCAGCAACCAAUCGAACCUGGCUCUGAGGCCAUGUUAGAAUUCUAUGGUUGUUUGUAAAUUUUAGAGAAAAUGAGCAAUGUUUAGAAAGGAAGAGAAUGAUGAGAAGAAUGACUGUCUAUCUGUAUUCUUUCACACUCUAUUUGCUUACAUAGUAUACUCGGUAGUGAGUAGAGAGAAGAGAUUCUUCUCUAACAGAAUUGCAGCUGUCACCCUAUGAGGUGUUUACACUUGUCAUCCCAAAACUAAGCUAGAGAAUCCACCUGGACUAUGAUCCAAUGGUUCUAAUUACAUCUCAAAUGAAAUAAACAUAAAUGAUAGUAAUAGAGCUUGGUGACUUUAGCUUCAAGGAAAGCAGCUGCAGGAUUACAUUCCAACACUCCCUUCUAAUCCUUUAGCUAUUUUCACACCAAGCAGGCUUCUUAAACUAACGAAGCGAUCCUUAGGCAGAGCCUUGGUCAAAAUAUCAGCAAUUUGAUCUUCUGUCUUGCAGUAGAUUAGUUCAAUUUCUUUUGCUAGAAUAGCUUCCCUGAUGAAGUGAAACUUCCGACUGAUAUGUCUAGUUUUCUGGUGAUGAACUAGAUUCCUUGCCAUUGCAAUAGCAGAGGUGUUAUCACAUAGGAUUUGUGUACCUUCUACUUGUUCUUCACCAAAAUCUUCAAGCACAAAUCUUAGCCACUUAGCUUGUGAAGUUGCUUCUGCAGCACUCACAUACUCAGCUUCUGCCGUGGACAAAGCAACUGUGUUUUGCUUGAUAGAACCCAAGAGAACAUGCCUGAGCCUAGUGUGAAAGCAUAUCCAGAGGUGCUUCUCAUAUCAUCCUCACUCCCUGCCCAAUCACUGUCACAAUACCUUAUUAGAGUAGUUGUUUUCCCUUUCACAAACUCAAUGCCAAAAUCAAGUGUGCCUUGUAUGUAUCUCAAAACUCUUUUGGCAGUUCCCAAAUGCUUCUUUGUGGGAUUGUGCAUGAACCUAGCAAGUAAGCUAGAUGCAAACAUUACAUCUGGUCUUGUGGCAGUCAAGUAGAGCAGGCUCCCUACUAUUUGUCUGAAUUCACUUUCAUUUGCAGCUUCACUUCCAUCUUCUUUACAUAAUUUUUCAUUCACCACAAGUGGAAUUGCCACUGACUUGCAGUCCUUCAUUCCAAACUUCUCAAGAAGUUUCAUUGCAUAUUUCUUUUGGUGAAUGAAAAUGUGCCUAUCUGUUUGAAUCACUCCCAUGCCAAGAAAGUGAUGCAACAACCCCAAGUCUGUCAUCUCAUAGUGUUGCAUCAUAUCUUGCUUAAACGCUUCAAGUAGUUUGGGACAACUACCAGUAUAUAUAAUGUCAUCUACAUAAAGUGAGACAAUAAUAAUACCUGCAGUGUCAUUUGUUUUGACAUAAAGAGUAGCUUCACUAGAGCUCUUUUUGAAUCCUGCAUUGUUGAAAUAGGCAUCUAUUUCAUCACACCAGGCCCUUGGAGCUUGUUUCAGUCCAUAUAUAGCCUUGUUCAACUUGUAAACUUUGGUUUCCUUAUUCUUUUGUUCAUAUCCUUGUGGCUGUUCAACAUAGACUUCCUCCUUUAGAAUGCCAUUGAGAAAGACAGACUUCACAUCCAACUGAUACAAACUCCAUUCCUUUUGUGCAGCAAGGGCAAUCAAGGUUCUGAUGGUAUCUAGCCUUGCCACUGGGGCAAAUGUUUCAUUGUAAUCGAUCCUAGGCUUUUGUGAGUAGCCUUUAGCCACUAGUCUAGCUUUAUUCUUCUGCACAGUGCCAUCUAGAUUAAGCUUGACCUUGUAGACCCACUUGACACCAAUUACUGGUUUGUCAAAUGGUCUGUCAACUAAUUCCCAUGUAUUGUUCUUUUCAAUCAUCUCUAAUUCAGCCUUCAUUGCAUGUCUCCAUGAUUCAUCCAAAUCAGCUUCUUCAAAACUGUCAGGUUCCACAAUGCACAUGUUACAUUUUGCCAUGAUGUCACUAAUACUCCUCCACUUAUGAGGUGUGUGAUCAAACACUUGAGACCUGUCAAGUAUUUCCUCAUCUUGAGGUACAGUUUCUUCUUCCACUUGCAUUUGAGUAUUCAAGAUUUGAGUUGGUUCAUCAACUACCAUCUGUUCAUGUUCUGCAUUAUCCUGGUUUUCCAUUUGCAUAGGCAUUCUCAACUCUUCAUUACUAGUGUUUUCCUAUUUCCAUGAAGUAGUUUCAUCAAAAUAUACAUCUCUAGACAAGAUAAUUUUUCUAGUUCUAGGAUCAUAUAACUUGUACCCCUUUUCACAAAGUCCAUAGCCAACAAGAAUGCAUUUGUGACUGUUUUCUUCCAGCUUGUGCCUUAGUGCCGAAGGAAUGAGCACAUGACAUAAGGCUCCAAACACUUUCAAGUGUGCAAUACCUGGCUUCCUUCUAGUGUAUGCCUCAAAUGGUGUCACUUCUUUAAGAGACUUAGAAGGACAUCUGUUGAGUAGAUAUACUGCAGUAUUGACAGCUUCUGCCCAAAAUUCAUAAGGAAGCCCUUUUUCAUGUAGCAUAGACUUUGCCAUCUCUAUCACAGUCCUGUUCUUCCUCUCAACUACUCCAUUUUGCUGAGGGGAAUAUGCUACAGUCAGCUGCCUUUGUAUUCCAGCUUCACUGCAGUACUCAUGAAACUCAUUUGACAUGAAUUCUCCACCUCUGUCACUUCUAAGAGAUUUCACCUUAUGUCCACUUUGCAGUUCUGUCAUAGCCUUGAACUUCUUGAAACAUUCAAAGGCAUUUGACUUAUUUCUGAGGAAAUAGACCCAAGCCAUUCUAGUACAAUCGUCUAUGAAUAACAGGAAAUACCUGUUUUCUGACAUUAAUGCAGUUUGCAUUGGUCCACAGAUGUCUGUGUGUACCAACUCUAGUGGAAACUGGGCUCUCCAAGUGGAUUCUGCAGGGAAUGAGUCUCUAUGUUGCUUUCCUAGCUUGCAGCCUUCACAAACUUCAAAAUCCUUUUCUAAACUGGGUAAGCCAUGAACCAUGCCUUGAUUUGCAAGUAGCCUAAUGCUUUGAUCAUUUAGAUGCCCCAGUCUUUUGUGCCAAGUUUGCAAGCUGUGUGUCACACUAGCUUUUAGCACCAACUGAGUAGCUGGCACCAUUGUGAGGGGAAAGCACCUGUUGCUAGUCAUUUGAACUUUAGCAAUGGGGUUUUGCAGUGACCAGUCAUCAAAGAUUGUCACCAUUCCCUUUCCAAAUAUCAGGCAAUUUCCAUGCUUCAUCAUCUGCCCAACACUGAGCAAAUUCUCUUCUAAUCCAGGCACCAACAUCACUUCUUGAAUGUGCUUUCUUCCUGCUUUGGUGUCUAUCACAAGUGUGCCUUUCCCUACAACUUGAACUGUCUCUCCAGUCCCCAUUUUCACCUUGGAAUUUACAUCCCUUCUAAUAUCUACCAAUAGCCUUUCAUCUCCAGUCAUGUGGUUACUACAACCACUGUCAACAUACCAUGAAUUGUUCAAUUUCACAUCUGUCACAACAUUGCAUGCAUAAAACAGAGUUCCAGUUUCUUCAAUCUGAUUAGCAUAAUUCACCUUCUGUACAGAUUGAUUCCCAUGGCAAUCUCUGAGUAUGUGUCCAAACUUUCCACACUCUCUGCAUUUUGGUUUUCCUUCAUACCAACACUUGCCAUAGUGUAGUUUCUCACAGUGCUUGCAGGGUGUUUUGGUUCCUUCAUUUGAUGCAUUUGGUUUAGGAUUAGAAUUGGACUUGUUAUUCCAAUUCUUUCCAUUUUACUUCCAGUUCUUCUGAGAUUUGUGAUUUCCAGAAGAACUUCCACUCUUAGAGCUUUUACUCUCUAUGUUCAGGCUAGUAAAAGCCUUUUCUGUGGAAUUUUCAGUAUGCCUAUCCAAUCUGAGCUCAAAGCUCUUCAGAGAUGCAACCACUUCUUGAAUUUCAAGAGUGUCAAGGUCCUUGGAAUGCUCAAUCACAGAGCAUAUAGAAUCAUACGAUUUAGGCAAACUAAUCAGCAAUUUCUGCACAACUCUUUCUCUAGGCAGCUCUUCACCAUAACUUUUCAUUUGAUUAAUUAAAUCAAAUAGUUUAGCAAUGUAAACAGACAAUGGUUCACUAUCCUUCAUACAAGUAUAUUCAAACUCUCUACGUAAACCUUGCAGCUUAACACUUCAUACCUGUUUAUCGCCUCUAAACUCCUGCUUUAGAAUAUCCCAUGCACCCUUUGAGGUUUCUUCAUUCACUAUUCUGGGGAAGAUUUGGUCUGAGACUGCACUUUGGAUCAAUCCAAGUGCACGAGCAUCCUUCAUCAAGAUCUCAGCCAUCGUAGACUUCUCCACUUCAGCAACCUUAGAUCCUUCGUCUUUUUCCAUUCCCUGCUUUGGAUCAGAAACAUCAAAACCAUUUUCAACCAAAUCCCAUAACCCAUGAGAUUUCAAAAUAGUUUUCAUGCGAAUGCUCCAAAACUCAUAGUUUUCUCCAUUGAAAACUGGCUUGCGAAGCUCAGCAGUGCCUGACCCUGCCAUAUUAGACUUUGGAUUCAAACAGAUACGCCUCUUGGAAUAUUGAGUGAGCUCGAUUUCAGCUCAAACAAUCACCAGCUUUCGAUUUGCACAGAUUCACGCCCAGCAACCAAUCGAACCUGGCUCUGAGGCCAUGUUAGAAUUCUAUGGUUGUUUGUAAAUUUUAGAGAAAAUGAGCAAUGUUUAGAAAGGAUAAGAAGGAUGAGAAGAAUGACUGUCUAUCUGUAUUCUUUCACACUCUAUUUGCUUACAUAGUGUACUCGGUAGUGAGUAGAGAGAAGAGAUUCUUCUCUAACAGAAUUGCAGCUGUCACCCUAUGAGGUGUUUACACUUGUCAUCCCAAAACUAAGCUAGAGAAUCCACCUGGACUAUGAUCCAAUGGUUCUAAUUACAUCUCAAAUGAAAUAAACAUAAAUGAUAGUAAUAGAGCUUGGUGACUUCAGCUUCAAGGAAAGCAGCUGCAGGAUUACAUUCCAACAUUAACAUAUGGAAUUAUCAUAUAGUACCAUAGAUGACCUGCAAUGAUUAUUGUUGGCCUAUUGUCAAGAUGCAUAUAGGAUAGUGAUAGAGACUACCCUGUAUCCAGGACCUUAAAACAGAUAUCCCAUCUGGAAAAUUUUGCAUAGACCAUAUAUAAUGCUUUCCCAAAAAUAUUUGCAAAUUGAGUAGACGGGAUAUAUGUGUGUGUGUGCGCAUGCCGGUGGUCUAAGAUGGUUUAUUUUUCUUUAAGAAGUGGCGGUGGAAGUGAAAACAGAUCGAGAAAGGAACAGUUAAUUUUAUUUGAGAUUUAAAAUGAAAUAUUUGACAUGAUUUUUGUAGGGAGAAAUGCAAUAACUUCGAGACAAACUGGCAGUAGCUGAGCGUACUGCAAAGACAGAAGCACAAUUAAAGGUAUCACUACUACAUUUUACACUUUGCGCGACGAAGUUAAUUUCGUCGCGCAAAAUAAAUUGUGGUCGCACAAAUUUCAGCGCCACAAAAAUUUCGUCGCGCAGAAUCCGUCGCGCAAAGACUUUGCGCGACGAAGUUUUUUCAUUGGUCGCGCAAAGUUACUUUGCGCGACGAAAAAAUAUUGGUCGCUCAAAGUAACUUUGCGCGACGAACGCAAAGUGACUUUGCGCGACGAAAAAUAUUGGUAGCGCAAAGUUUUGCGCGACGAAAUACAUUGGUCGCGCAAAGGUUUGCGCGACGAAAUACAUUGGUCGCGCAAAGUUUUGCGCGACGAAAGACAUUGGUCGCGCAAAGUCUUAAAAAAAUUCCCGCGUCAAAUUUUUGGUACCCGCCCAAAUUUUUAGAGUUUUACGCGACAAAUAGUAACGUCGCGCAAAUAUUUGCGCGACGAAAUAUUUUUUGUUUUAAAUUUUUUUAAUUUGAAAUAAACUAAUUUAAUAGUUUGCGCUACGAAAUAUUUUUUCUUUAGUAUGAAUUUAUUUAUAUGAAUUUUUUCAAAUUUUUACUUUUAAAAUUUAAUUUAAUUGUAUGAUUUCUUUUUAAAAUUACUUCAAUUUAAAUUGAUAUUAAUUUUUUCAAAUUUUUACUUUUUAAAUUUAAUUUAAUUGUAAGAUUUUUCUUAAUUACUUUAAUUUAAAUUGACAUAUUCAAAAUAAAAUUACAUAUGAAAAAUAGUGAUCAAAUUAUCCAAUAAAUAUAAAUAUCUAUUCAAAAUGUACAUAUAAAUUAACAAAGUACAAUAAUAAAAUCCUAAUACAAGCGUAUUGUGGUGGUAGUGGCGGAGGAUAUGUUUUGAUAGCUUCCUAAUCCUCAACUUUAGCCGUCAAAGUCUCGAUGAUUCCCUACAAAAAAACAAAUAUAGUCAAAUAACAACAACAACAACAAAAAGAAUGCACAAUCUCCCCUAAAAUUGUUAUACCGCAAAUCCAACCCAAACUCCAAUCUCUCCCCUUUACUCAACCCCAAACCCCACACAAACUCAAAACUAACUCCAAAAACACAUAUUAAUGAAAAAAAUUUAAAAUUUGGAGAGAAUAUACCUUUUGGCAAGAUUGAGAGUGAGUGAGAAUGAGAGGGAGAAGUGAGUGUGAGAGAAUUAGAAAAGAUAGUGAUAGAGAGAUGAGAGAGUGAGAGAUAGUGAAAAGAUAGAUGAGAGAGUGAGUGAGAGUGAGAGAUAGUGAAGAUAGAGAUGAGAGAUUAAGUGAAAGGAGUUAGUGUGAGAGAAAGGGUGGGAUUUGGGGAAAGGGAAAGAGAGAGGAGAGGUAAGAGUAGAGAAAGAAAUUGAGAAAAUGGUGGAGGAGUUAUUUCAGUUUUAAAAAUCGUAUCACUUUGCGCGACGAAAAUAUGGUUGGUCGCGCAAAUUUUUGCGCGACGAAACAUAUUGGUCUCGCAAAGUUUUGCGCGACGAAUAGAGGAAUAUUGGUCGCGCAAAGUCUAAAAAAAAUUAUUUUUUUAAAAAAAAAAUUCCCGCAUCCCAUUUUUGGUACCCGCCAAAAUUUUUAAAUUUUUGCGCGACGAAAAAUAAUUAUUGGUCGCGCAAAGUCUAAAACAAUUAUAUAUAAAAAAUUCCCGCGUCCCAUUUUUGGUACCCGCCCAAAUUUUUGCGCGAAGAAAAAUAUGUAUUGGUCGCGCAAAGUUUUGCACGACGAAACAUAUUGGUCUCGCAAACUUUUGCGCGACGAAUAUAGGAGUAUUGGUCGCGCAAAGUCUAAAAAAAAUUCCCGCAUCCCAUUUUUGGUACCCGCCAAAAUUUUUAAAUUUUUGCGCGACGAAAAAUACAUAUUGGUCGCGCAAAGUCUAAAACAAUUAUAUAAAAAAAUUCCCGCGUCCCAUUUUUGAUACCCGCCCAAAAUUUUUGCGCGACGAAAAAUAUAUAUUGGUCGCGCAAAGUUUUGAGCGACAAAAAAUAUUGGUCGCGCAAAGUCUAAAGUUUUUUUUUUAAUAUUAAAAACCCGCGUCCCAUUUUUGGUACUCGCCCAAAUUUUUUGAGUUUUGCACGAUGAACUGUUGAUCGCGCAAACUUUUGAGAGACGAAAAAUUGGUUCGUAGCACAAUAUUUAUAAAAAUAAUUGUUAUGAAUAAUAAAAAAUAAAAAAAAUUAUUUUAUGAUUUAAAAUAUAAUUAAGGUGAAAGCUACUUAAUAAAUGUAUAUACUAUUCAAUUUCUUAAGUGUUAUACUUACAAAAUAAAUAAAUUUAAAGCUACUUAAUAAAUAUAUGUAUAUAUAUAUAUACACACACCAUUCAACGAUCCAACCAUAAGACUUGUUUGUAUAUACUUCAAGAUCGUAUACCCCAAAAAUCGCAAAAAACAAACAUUCAGAGAUCUAGUAACGGGACAAAACUUUUCGAUAGUUAUAAAUGAAAAAUCACGAUUUAACGGUUAUUUUAACUCCGAUUUUGAUGAUUUUUUUACAGCUACACUCCUUGACCCUAUAUGAAUACAAUGACUGAAUUUGAUCUUCAAUUUAAAACAUUUGCACUAGUGGAUACCACAAAAUCUUAUGUUAUAUUUAACGAAAAUAUAAAUAAACUCUUAAUUGUUAGUGAAUAUAUUGUUUUGAUGGCAUAUGCAUUCUACGAAACUAGUUUCAACGAUCCAACCGUCAAACUUGUUUUUUUAUACUUCGAGAUUAUAUACGCCAAAAAUCGGAAAAAAUAAAUAUUCAUAGAUCAAGUAACGGGACAAAACUUUUCGACGGUUAUAAAUGAAAAAUCAUGAUUUAACGGUUAUUUUAACUCCGAUUUUGAUGAUUUUUUACAGCUACACUCCUUGACCCUAUAUGAAUACAAUGACUGUAUUUGAUCUUCAAUUUAAAAUAUUUACACUAGUGGAUACCACAAAAUCUUAUGUUAUAUUUAACGAAAGUAUAAAUAAACUCUUAAUUGUUAGAGAAUAUAUUGUUUUGAUGGCAUAUGCAUUCUAUGAAACUAAUUUCAACGAUCCAACCGUCAAACUUGUUUUUUUAUACUUCGAGAUCAUAUACGCCAAAAAUCGGAAAAAAUAAACAUUCAAAGAUCAAGCAACGGGACAAAACUUUUCGACGGUUAUAAAUGAAAAAUCAUGAUUUAACGGUUAUUUUAACUCCGAUUUUGAUGAUUUUUUUACAGCUACACUCCUUGACACUAUGUGAAUACAAUGACUGAAUUUGAUCUUCAAUUUAAAAUAUUUACACUAGUGGAUACCACAAAAUCUUAUGUUAUAUUUAACGAAAAUAUAAAUAAACUCUUAAUUGUUAGUGAAUAUAUUGUUUUGAUGGCAUACACAUUCUACGAAACUAGUUUCAACGAUCCAACCGUCAAACUUGUUUGUUUAUACUUCGAGAUCAUAUAUGCCAAAAAUCGGAAAAAAUAAACAUUCAUUGAUCAAGUAAUGGGACAAAAUUUUUUGACGGUUAUAAAUGAAAAAUCAUGAUUUAAUGGUUAUUUUAACUCCGAUUUUGAUGAUUUUUUAUAGCUACACUCCUUGACCCUAUAUGAAUACAAUGACUGAAUUUGAUCUUCAAUUUAAAAUAUUUACACUAGUGGAUACCACAAAAUCUUAUGUUAUACUUACGAAAGUAUAAAUAAACUCCUAAUUGUUAGUGAAUAUAUUGUUAGUGAACAAAAAAAAACUAGUUUCAACGAUCCAACCGUCAAACUUGUUUGUUUAUACUUCGAGAUCAUAUACGCCAAAAAUCGAAAAAAAUAAACAUUCAGAGAUCAAGUAAGGGGACAAAACUUUUCGAUGGUUGUAAUGAAAAAUCACGAUUUAAUGGUUAUUUUAACUCCGAUUUUGAUGAUUUUUUACUGCUACACUCCUUGACCCGAUAUGAAUACAAUGAACUAAUUCGAUCGUCAAUUUAAAAUAUAUAUUUUCUAACAAAAACCCAAUCCGAACAACAAUAAUAUAUUUUUCUAAUAAAAAUCCGAUCCGAUCUAAAAUAAUAAGUUUAAAGCUACUUAAUAAAUAUAUAUACCGUUUAAUUUCUUAAGUGUUAUGCAUACAAAAUAAAAAACAAAAAUAAAUUGGUUUAGGUGACAAAAUGUUUGGAUUACGUCAUGCAAAGAUUCAAAAAAAUAUUUUUUUUAUUCUAUUUAUUUUUGUAAGGACUUUGCGCGACGAAAAGUAAACUUCGUCGCGCAAAGUCGCUUUGAGCGACGAAUUAUUUUUCGUCGCGCAAAAUUGGUCGCGCAAGACUUUGAGCGACGAUGUAUUGUCGUCGCGCAACAGUUUGUCACGCAAAGUGACUUUGCGCGACGAAUUAUUUUUCGUCGCGCAAAAUUUGGUCGCGCAAGACUUUGAGCGACGAAGUUUCAAGUUUCGUCGCGCAAAGUAACUUUGAGCGACGAAUAAUUUUUCGUCGCGCAAAAUUUGGUCGCGCAAGGGGUUUUUUUUACAAGUGCUAACUGUUUUGAAUUUAGUGUUUAAGCCUCUUCUUAACAGUUGAGCAUUAAUUGAUUUCCUAGGAAAAAUACCAACUAAGAUUCAAGGUUUUGGAGGAAAAGUUUAAAGCAUCGAAUGGAAAAUCACGUCCAUCCUCAGAUGCAAGAGUCAUCAGCAAUGGGCCUUCAGUCUCUUGGUGGAGCUGAGAACUUCUCUAGAGCGUCCUCUAAUGGCUAUCUAUCUAGGACAAAAUCGAAUUUACAAUCUGGUUUCAACCGUUCCAACACAGCUACUGCAAUAUUGAAACAAGCCAAGAGUUCAUCUAGAUCGUUUGAUGGUGGUAGUAGAUUGCUAGACAGAUAUAAGCUAGUCCCAGAUGCAACUGGGAAAGAUAACACAAACAGUGCCAGUGAUCAGACUCAGAUGGAUGAGACAAUUGGUAGACAUGAGGAGAGGGCAAAUGGAUCUUUGGCUGAACAAUACA